UUUUUUUUUUUUUUGGGUUGUUGUGAUAAUUGACUAUACAAUUCUUAUCUGGUGUUGCAGAUUUGUCGAACUCUUAUGGCAACUUUCUUUGCAUGCUUUAAGAGAGGUUCAUAGGCGGACAUUUCCAGCCGAUCUGGCUACUAAUCCUUUACCAGCUUCAUUGACGGAUGUAGCUUUCUCCCAUGCUGCCACCCUACUUCCAGUAACAAAGGUAUAAAUGGUUUUUGUGUAUUACUUAUUGGAGAUACCUAUUGUUGUUGCCAUCAUUGCUGGACUAAGGUUGUUAUGAUGUUAAUAAGGCAGUUUAAUUUAGCAUGGGCCUUUUUGUAUCCUUGUCUAUGUGUCUCCAUCUGUGUGCACUGGGCUAUCUUUUGAAAUAUAGACACCACUUUACUCCAAUUGACCCUCAAAGAGCAAAAUAACAGUUAGGAAAUGCAUUUACUAGCAUUGCCCUCCCCUGGUAAUGUGAGUUGCUAAGGUUCCUUCCGGCUGUUUUUUUCUUGGUCGGUGCUUUUAAAAAUAUACAAGUAGAUUUUUUUUACCAAAAAAUAAAAUAAAAUAUACAAGUAGAUUUGGAGACGAGCAAACUCAAGUAUGUAUUAGAAUGAUGGACUCCAUCGAAAAGAAGAAUUAAUGUUUUAGUUCUUUAUCAUGAGCCUUGGGUCUUAUUCAAGAUGUUCUACAAUUUCCUUUGAAAUGGCAACAUCUGGCUUUUGUAUUCCUCAUGUGAAUAGUUGGCAAUAACUAUGGGAGACAGCACAUAUUGACAAAUUUUGUGCUUGGUUUUGGUGAGAUAUGAAUAUUAAUUUCAGGAUGCAAGUGUUGAAAUACAUGCGAUGGUCUCUGUAGGCUUUCAUUUCUUGUUGCUAUACGGUUGAGAUUUUCCAUUUUUACUAUCUUAGACAAACAUACUUUUACUUUGAGACUGAUGAAAUUGAAUUUUAGGAGCUUGACUAAAAUAAUUAACUUUCCAUAGGCUAGAAUUGCGUUGGAAAGAAGAAAGUUCCUGAAAAAUGCUGAAACAGCUGUACAGAGGCAGGCAAUGUGGUCCAAUUUGGCUCAUGAAAUGACUGCAGAGUUCCGAGGCUUGUGUGCUGAGGAGGUAAAACUCUAGCUCAUGGACUAGUGACUCUCAUGAAUAAGCCAUCAUAUGUAGGUCUUUAAUGUGCUUAAGAACCUGGAUCUCAGGCUUACUUGCAGCAAGAACUGGAAAAACUUCACGAUUGGAGAAACAAAGUCAAGUUGGAAGGGGAGCUGUGGGAUGAUCUCGUAUCUAGUUCCAGUCAGAAUUCUCAUUUAGUUUCAAAGGCCACACGCCUAUGGGAGUCCAUAUUAGCAAGAAAGAGUAUGUACAACCACAAAGCUUUCUAUGUAAAAGUUGUGAUAAUUUCUAAUAUUUAAAUCUCUUGCCCAAUUAUUUAGGAGGUGGAUUUCAUGAUUGAGAUAAAACACUACAGAGAUAUUGCUUUGCAUCAUUCAAUCUGAAAAUACCUUCCCCAAUUUUUUUUUUCUUUUUUGUUUUUGUCUAAGAAUCCCAUCCUCCAUUUUCUUUUAAGUGUUGUUUGGCAGUUCGAAUGUUGAGCCCAUUAUUGUGUAAUUGAUGUUGCUAGAAAUCCUUGUUUUGGUAUAGAAAGUACUUGCCAGUUUCUUCAAAUCCUAUGUAGACGCCUGCCAUGGAUAUGUGGACUGAACCAUUGAUUGCAUAUGGCUCAGUUCUGUUGUUUUAGUUUUCCUUGCAUGUUUGGCUUUUAUUGAGAAGUUUUAAUUCAGAGCUGCAAAUGUUCUGUCACCUUUUGAAGACGCUGUUUGGUGUUAAAAAUGGUGUAUUUGGAAUCGCUUUACUUGUUACUUUUUGCUUUUUGUUUUUUUAACUCAUGCGAUACACGUACUUUAACUAAUACACUGGUCUUUGGGGAAUUCUUCAAGCUUUAGUUGAUGGGAUCAAACUUAUUUUCAAAGAGAAUCUGACCCGAAACACACGAAACCUUUCAAACAUUCAAAUGUCGACAUGUAGAUUCGUAUCUAAUGUUCUUUAGUUUCUGAAAUUUGGAUUAUAUUUUAGAUUUUGGCAUGAAAAGAAAAGAGUUAAGUUUUGCUUUCUUUAGUUCCAUGCAAAUGCUCCUGUUGAUAUUCCUAAGCUUCUCAUAGCUUUCACAUUUCCAAUAUUAAUGGUGUUUUUUCUAUAAUGUUCUUCUUGUCUCUCUAUCAUGAUAUUCAUGAACUGUUCACAACCUAAGAGUUACAAGUUACAACCUUCAAGUGCAGGUCAACAUGAAGUGCUCGCUUCAGGUCCCAUUGAGGACUUGAUAGCUCAUCGGGAGCAUAGGUAUUGUUAUCCCCCGUACUAGUUCUGGCUUACAAUUAUUUUCCAUGGACUGGCUGAUUUGAGAUAUAAUUCUGCUCAGGUACCGGAUCUCUGGAUCAUCGUUGCUUGCGGCAAUGGAUCAAAGUUCUCAGGUUCCUCAUGCAGAGAUCCUUUCCGUCCAGCCUAGUGAUGUUGCUUCAGAACAUUCUGAUGACAAAGAACAAAAUAAUGGAUCAUUUGAUAAUAUGGAUAAAGAAAAGUGGAACAACAGCCUGGAUGCAUCCAAUCCUGCAAAUGAUGAAACACAUUUUCGGGUUGAUGAUAGAAGUGGAAGAAUCCACCCGACUGUUGAUGUAGCAGAAGUUAUAAGACGCUGGACGCAUGCUUUACAGCGGAUUCAUAAGCAGUCACUGCUUUUGGUAUGCGAUUCUUCAUUUAUGCUAUGAAAUCUUGCACCUUUCAUUACAUUGUUUGAGAUUGAGAUCCUUUUAACAUAAAGAUUGAGUUUGAGCCUUUAAUGUUCAUCACCAGUUGCCACUCAUUAAAUGUAAACCAUGUUGCUUAUCUUACCCAACACAUGGUAAGAUUUGCAAUUUUCAAUGCUGUCUCAUUUAGAAAAUAGACUACACUUGAUGAACUUUGUCUUGUGAAAAGUGAGGUUUGAAGAGGGGGGGGGGGGGGGUGUUGUUACCUUGGUAAGUUGCUCGUUCAGGAUGUGACGGGCUUUGUUGAAGAUCAUUGGUUUCUGAUCUUGGGGGAAGGAAGCACAGUAAUUGUUGCUGGGUGCAUUUUCUUUAGCAACCAUGUGAAAUUUCAAAUGUGGCCCAUAUGUUCCAGGCUUCGGAGAACAUUGUGGGGAAUCUUUUGUUUAAUCUUGUUUGCCCAUUGAAGUUCACAUGGAGAACAUUACAGGGAUAGAAAAAGAUAUAGUUUCUUAUGCUCAUAGAGAGGGUUUUUCAAAGUGUGAUUCUUCCACCUAUUCAACCUUUUGAAUUGGUACAUUAGGCUAAAGUCUACUAUUGUAACACGAAUUGUUUAUUUUACACGAACCUGUAUUUGUGGGUGCUGAAGUAAGGUAUGAUUUCUUAAUUUCAUUUAAUGUUGCUUCCCCCUACAUAUAAAGUCAUAAAGUCUGAAUGACUGGUCAAUGCAUAUGAAGAUAGAUGCCCUUCCAGAUUUUUAACUUAGGGUUUUACAGAAAGUUCAGGGUAAGAAACUUGUUCUUUUAUGCUAGAUAUUUGACUGCCUUGAAUAUUUUUCUUGAUUAUCGUGAGAGGAAGUGUUUUUUUCACUCAUGCUCAUUAGAAAGGAUCUAUACUCUUCAAAAAGAGAAAACAAAAUUCAGGCAUUGACCUUAUAAAGUGAUAUGAGCAGGCAUUUAUUUUGGGUGUGGUUGAUUAAGAAUAUUUCAGUCAACUGAUGUAAAUUUAUCUUUCAGUUUUAAAACUAAUGCAUUUGGCAACUUACAGUGUAUUAUUUCUCCAAGCCCUACAAUAUUGUCGAGUACAUACUAGUUAGGCUGAGUGUAUACAAUAUGCCAAUAAUUAAUGUUGCAUAACGUAAACUUGCUUCUUUGACAUUGAACCUGCAAACAUGUCUUCAUUUUAACUUGAGGUUGAACUUUUGAGGUUUUGCUUUUCCUUUCUGUCUACAUAACCCAAAAUGUGGAAUUGUCUCUUGCGUAGGCAAAAGCUAAUGAUGGGGAGGGUCCAGAAAUAUUACGAAGUGCAGACGAUGGCAGUACAACUGGUCAUGUGGAGUCAUUAGCAGCAACUCUUGCAGAACAUCAACAACACUUAGCUAGCUUUCAGGUGAUUUAUUAUUAUUAUUAUUAGGAUUAUUAAUUUGGAUCGGGCCUUUCUGGUCCCUUUGCCUGCAUACUAUCGAAGAUGAAACUGAAGAUCAUCUAUUGUUAUAUUCACCAUGUAGGUGCUUAUUAACCAAUUAAAAGAAGUAGCUCCUGCUAUACAAAACUCAAUCUCGGAAUGCACGGAUAAUGUAAAUAGUAUAUCUUCCAGUCUUCCUCCUAUGAUGAAACAUCGUGCUCCAUUGAACUCACCAAGCCAAACACAGAGCAGUGGAAGAGGAAUAGUAAGUGUUCAUGUAACACCCUGUCUUAUGUGAGAACUGUAGGUGUGGCAACUGCCACAUGUCUUCUUUAUGAUGUUGUAUUUCAUGAGCUAAUUUGUUUUCCAUUUGGAUUUUUAUAGGAAAGUAGUGCUGAUGAUAUCAAUGAGAUCAGUUCAAAAAUGUCCAGUGUUCAGCUAGACAAAGUUUCAGCUGCUCCUGCUUUGAAACUCCCACAGUUAUUUACUUUGACACCAAAUUCUUCUGGAAAAGCUGGAAACUUUCAAAAGAGACAAACUUUGGCUGCUCAGAAUAAUCAAGUGGAAAAUGCAUCUGAAAAAAAGUUGCCAAGCCAGAUUUUUCCAAAAAAUCAUCCUGACCAUCAAGCACAAGGUUUGUCUUUUUGAUUGCCUUGCCUGUAAAGGGUUACCAUAAUUGGUGUGUGAAUUUUUUUAUUUUUAUUUUAUUUUUUAUAUAAAUAUAGAAAGGAAUUUGAAUAAAAUCAUUGGAGUUGUUCAAGUUUAUUUCAAUUUAUGCAGAUAGUGAUGAUUCUUACAUUCAGAAUUUGAAGAGAUCUGUUCGAGAAGCAGCUCUGUCAUCUCAAUCCUGUAAUUCGGAAGGGUCACGAGAUAGCCAUUCUGAUGAAGGAUCUGAGCAUUUCUUUUUGCCUUUUCCUGUGACUGGUUUUUCUCAUGUUGGCCUGGAAAAGAAGGAUGCUUCGAGGAGCAAUAGGUUGUUUAGAUCUCAUGUAGACACUUCCUCAAAUGGCAUUUCUGUGACUGAUGAUAACAUUGGUAAUAGGUUUGAUGGAUUACCCGAUGUUAUGAGUGAUCUGGAAUCCCUUAAUGACUUUGAUCAAGUAAACAGUUUUCUCUCGGCUUCUGUUUCUAAGCACACUCCUUCGGCUACACAAAGGUUGUUCUAUGACAUUGAUGGGACUCAGGAUCAGGUCUUUUCACCACCUUUGCUCAUGGAAACGUCUCUGUUAGCUGAUUCUUAUGAGGACUUGCUUGGUAAGUUAUCAUGCUAUUAUAAUUUCAAAAUUUAAUUGCGAUUUGUCUUAGAUGCAACUGUUAGGGACCUUUGUUGUUCUGGUGGUUCUCUAGCAAUGACAAUUACUGGAGAGGAUAUUGUCAACCUUCAUAUUUUUUCACUGGAGAUACUGAAAACAGGAUCAUAUCUCCAUUGAGAACACGAAUUAUGACUUCUUAAAUUACAAUAUUUUCUUAUCAUGCAGCUCCAUUAUCCGAAACUGAAGCUGCUUUGAUGGACCAUUGAAGUUGCAGCCUUGCAUUGGCCACCUUGCAACACACCUUAAGAAAUGGGUUGGUAACUGUGAUUAAGUCCCUUUAAAUCCCAAUUGGAAUUCUCCCAUAUUGUGUUAUUCUUCCACUGCCACGGUAUUGUGCAAUGCCUGCUUCCUUAUUGUUGUAUGCUCGGCCUAUCUCACAAAGUUGACAUCUCUGCUUGGAGGGCAAUGACCAUUAGGCAGAGUUUAACCACUACACAGGAGAUCCAUGGGACUUUGGGGAAUAUUAAUCCGAAGAAGCUUCGAUCUUGUAUUUGGAUGGCCGGUUAGCAAUAGAAAUGCUGUUUUGGCCUUCGGCGAGGUACUGAAAAUUCUACUGACAAAGCAUUCAGGACUCUGCUGUAAAAUCUUUGGGCUUUUGUGGUUGUGCUUUGGGAAAAAAAAUUUGUUCUCUUCCUCCAGAUGUGUAUUCUCAUUGUUGACCAUGUCAUGAUAGGAUAGGAACGAGUUCUUGGAACUUCAUGCUAUUUGUAUUCAUCAUCUGUCCACACACAGUUGUUGUCUUUCUUUUGCGUUAACUUAAUGUAUGGAAGCGAGUCCCCAGCGGCUACAUGCACUGGCAUCCUUCACAUCUCCUUUUUCUUUGAAUAUUUAGCCUAGUCAAUCCCAAGGGCUUCUUUGUAGACUUCUGGUUUUGUCUCUUCGGGGAAACGAUCUCAUGAUAUUGUGGAGAUGUAUCAAUUGUUGCUUUUACUCGUUAUUUUCUAUUCUUAAAUUGGCUGAUGGAGUCUGGUUGAUAUAGUUGAGAAGAGUUGACAUUGGAUCGGAAUUGGACCAUUUCUUGGGUUGUUUUGUUUGGAGUCAGCUGACAGGAAAGUCACGAAGUCAGUCUAUUUGGGAGGCCUAAUAAUUCAAUCCAGCCGAAGUUGCCCGAGUCGAACCCUUCCGGACACGACUGUCUCUCCAUGAUUUGCAAUCUUAUCUUAUAAUAUACUCUUCCCAUACAGCUUGCUCUCUUUGACUCUCAAAAUUGUUUAUGUGCUAAGAAAAGGAAUGGCCUAAUCCUUAGGGGUCAAGUCACAAGGAGGCAUUUCUCUAAAAUCCCUUAAUCUCGGGUGUUAAAUGUCUCUUUUUGAUCGGAUUGGAGAGAUGUAUUCAGUACGAUGCAUCAUCGAAAUUCACCCACAAGCAAAGGGAAGAAAAGAAAAGAUAAUCAAAAGCUCCUAUUGGCUAUUCUUUUGUCAAUGUAAAGAUGAUUAUUUGAGAGGUGGGACAUUGGGGUAAGACCAGGAUUUGAUUGAGUCUUAUCUUGACCUGACAUUGGUUCUUUGUUUAUAUUCUUUUGAUUGGAUGGAGCUUCCUUUCAUCGGGACUGUAAUGCUAAUCACGCAUUUCUGACUUUGCCUUGCUCUUCUUUUCCUCUUUUUUUUUUUUUUUAAUUAUUAUUAUUAUUAUAAAUUUUUUGGAACAUUUUCUUCUCUUGCAACCUUGGACUACAAGUGCGCAUGAUGGGAUCCCUUCACCUACUUCGAAUUCCAUUGAUUAAACCCGAACUGAGCGUUUUAUCCAUACUCGGUUGACUAGCGGUCAAAAAAUUUGAAGAAAGUCACACCUCCCAUUAUCGAUUCUUGAAAAGCAUCACGGGUUUUAUCACAAGAGCCAAAGUAAUUUUGUUGGUGGCAAAGAGAUAAUAUAGAAAUCGGCCAAGUCAAAAAUGUGGGGAGUGAGCUGUGAAAUUGAUGGGAAAAGAAGACAUUUUUUUUUCACUGUAUUCUUUUUAUUAUUAUUAUUAUUUUGGGUAAGCUUGUAGGGCUUUUCAUUUACGAGCUUAAAAAGCUCAAAGCUUCAUAUGGCCACACAAGGAGCAGGUGGGGAUCCUCCUUUUGUCUUUUUUCAUGGUUUGAACGUCGGCAUUUCCUAGGACACCGUCGAUUACGGGGUGGUCGUUUGUUGGUCGGACCGAUUCAUCAAACCUCUCGACAAAAAGGCCGUGCGCAAAACGGCAUGAGGCCGCAGGUUUGAAAGUCGCAAGUACGUCUCGGCUUUGAAAAGAAAAUGUGUUGAACUUCAGGUUUGCCCCACCCCACACUGUCUUAAUUUCUGAAGGAUGGGGUAGAUUACAAAAUUCAUCUUUGGAAAAGCGAUAUUUUGAACUCUUAUUUGAAUAUACUUUGAGUGUCAUUAUUUUAAUAGUUAAUUGUGGUUUUUGAUCACAGUACGCAAUAACUUGACUUAUAAAAGAGCUUGCUUACGUGAUACUCGAAAAAGAAAAAUAAUAGUCAAUGAGAAAACAAAAAAUGCUUAAUAUCAUAAUCUCGAUUGAAAAUUUUAGUACAACAUCCUCGUUCACUCGCAUCGAUGGUUCGGUGUCAAGCUUGAUCGUUUCUAAAGAACUUAAUUUUCUAUUUUUCGGUUUAAAGCGACUAGGAUUGCAAAAAAGCCCUAAAGAAUUUUCAAGUCAUGAUGGAGUUGAAUUUCAAUUUUUUUUUUGUAGGAUGGUCGAACCAUAAGUGGGGUCAUUUUUGUAAUUUUUCCGAAAACAAGGGUCGGAAAUUGGAACUCUCGAGUUGCUGGUGCACCGCCGGCACGCGCGACUGGCGUGGCGCGUGAGAUGCAUAAAAAAAAACUUCCCCGAAAUUCAGACAGGCACGGUUUACCGUUUUUAACCCCUUUCCAUCGUCUCGAAGUUGGCGGAGGUGGUUCCUCGGGACAGCUCGAGGGGCAAUCUCGUCAAAUCGCGGGUUGAAAAAAAUUGGAAAUUCCCUUCGGAUCGAGCGGAGGGGGGAAGAAGAAGAAGGAGGAGGAGGAGAAGAAGCUGAACAAAAAGUUUUUUCAAGAAAAGGAGAUAAAACAAAAAUUAAUCGCAAAUUCCAGUUAGAACGAAAACAGCAGCCAGAGACUGCUGUUCGUAAAUACCCUUCUCUCUCUCUCUCUCUCUCUCUCUCUCCCUUCUCUCUCUUGUCUCUCUUCUCUCGAAAGGAAAGGGAAUAUCGAGCUCGACUUUCUCUGUAAGCAUGCGGAGGGGAGGAAAAAAAUCCCAUCUUUUUUCUAUCUUAUUGUGAAUGAAUUUCGACCCAUCUCUUCCUUUCGAUGCUGUGAUUCUGGGUAGGUCGCUUUUGUCCGUUGUGGGUUUCGUUAGAUCUGCUAUCGUCUCGAUUGUGGCUGGGUCGUCUGAGCUUCUCAUCGAUUCUUGGGUCGCCUGAGGGGAAGAGAGAGAGGGAGGGAGGGAGGGAGAAAGGUGUGGAUUCUGUCUUCACGCCUUUCCCUUUCGAGCGGUGGGUGGCUGUACGGGGGGGCCGAAAGGCGAAGCGAGCUGGAAAAAUUCGUUGUUUUGUCUCGUUCCUUUUUCUCGAUUGAACCUUGCUGAAUUGUGAUGUUAUCUCAUUUGGAGUGCUUUUUGCUAUAUGGGUCGGUGUUGAUAAGUCGAGCGGGCGUGUUCUCGCCGUCCUGGAGGAAAAAGAGGGAAUACUCUGCUGGAUUUUCCUGAUGCGGGAAAAGUGAAUUAGGGGCUUUGGUUGCUGAUUCGAUCGAGGGUUAGGUCGGUCGUGUGAAGUAUUUGUCGCUAGGAUGGCUUGGUGAUCCUAUUCCACACAAGGUAAAGCUGGCUUAAAGUACUUUUCUAGAUAAAGAAGUUACUUUUCCUAUCUGGAUUGGAGUAGCUUUUCUCUCUGUAUGUGGAGCUGGAUGUGUAAAACUUGAAGCUUUGGGGUGGAUUGUCUGUGGCGAAGAGAAUUAGUCUCCUUUUUCAGAUCAUCAUCAGAGGAGUUGUGGGGAUUAUAUUGGCAAUAGUACACCGAAAGAGCUUCUUUCGUCAUUUCAGCUAUGAUUAAUAAGAUAUUGAAUAGGCUGCCAAAGAAGCCAUCUAAGUCUGCAGAUAAUCGUGAAGGUGGGGGAACCUCUACGUCCUCGUAUGGUGCUUCUACAGUUUCAAGAAGCAAUGAUGGAGUGGGUAGCCAAUACGGGAGUUUGAGUGGAUCUUCUCAUCCAGGCGUUAAUUCCAAUUCGGGAUUGGGGUUGAACUAUGGAAGUAAGCUCCCUCAGGUUUCGAACUUUAAGCUGAAUGGCACAUUUUCAGCUUCUUCAUAUGAGGCUCUGCCUAGUUUUAAAGAUGUCGCCAACUCGGAGAAGCAAAAUUUGUUAAUCAGAAAGUUAAAUUUGUGUUGUGUGAAUUUUGAUUUUACUGAUCCUACAAAGCAUAUCAAGGAAAAAGAAAUUAAGCGUCAGACCUUGGUGGAGCUGGUUGAUUAUGUUACUUCUGCAAAUGGAAAAUUUCCUGAAGUUGUGAUGCAAGAAACUAUAAGGAUGGUGUCAAUGAAUCUGUUCAGGACAUUAACUUCUCCUCCACGUGAGAACAAAGUCCUAGAAGCCUUCGAUUUGGAAGAAGAGGAACCUUCAAUGGACCCUGCUUGGCCUCACUUGCAAAUUGUGUAUGAAUUCCUUCUCAGAUUUGUGGCAUCGCCAGAAACUGAUGCCAAGCUGGCCAAGAGGUAUGUGGACCACUCUUUUGUUCUCAGGCUAUUGGAUCUUUUUGACUCCGAGGACCCGAGAGAAAGGGAGUACUUGAAAACUAUACUUCAUCGCAUCUAUGGGAAAUUCAUGGUGCACCGACCAUAUAUCCGGAAAGCUAUCAACAACAUCUUCUUUCGCUUUAUAUUUGAAACUGAGAAGCAUAAUGGAAUUGCUGAACUUCUGGAAAUUUUGGGAAGCAUUAUCAAUGGUUUUGCUCUGCCACUGAAGGAAGAGCACAAGCUCUUUCUUGUUAGAGCCCUCAUUCCACUUCACAAACCAAAAUGUAUUCCGAUGUACCACCAGCAGCUAUCCUACUGCAUUACACAAUUCGUGGAGAAAGAUUGCAAGCUUGCCGAUACUGUUAUAAGGGGUUUGCUAAAGUAUUGGCCAAUUACAAAUAGUUCAAAGGAAGUCAUGUUUCUUGGAGAGCUGGAGGAAGUUUUAGAAGCAACUCAAGCCCCAGAAUUUCAGCGCUGUAUGGUUCCUUUGUUUCGUCGGAUAGCACAUUGCUUAAGCAGCUCACAUUUUCAGGUUCUCUCUCCCACUCUCUCUGAUGAACUUCAUCUUAUUGCAAAGAAUCUGGUUUUUAGGGUAUUUAUGUGUUUGCCCUUUUGUUUUUGGUCAUCUUUGCGCACGCGUGCGUCCGACUGUGUAAAAUGUUUCUUCCACCUCAAAGGAAAAAAGUAUUAUAAUCUAUAGAAUUGAGGAGUAUACCCUGUUUUCAAACUAUAAUAAUAACUUGACCUAUUAGCUAAAGGAAAUCUGGAUUAUACUUGUGUUGUGUUAUACGUAUCUUACUUCUACUUGAUUCCCCUUGAGCAUAUUGAGCUUUUGUAGUAUUACAUUGCCAGAAAGAGAAUUCUACUAUGUAUUUGGUUCCAGCAGUUGUCCCUAAUUAUAUUUUUAGACCGACGCUUGAACUUUUGCUUUAUGGGUUUAUGCACAUGUGUUUGGUGCUUUAUUGCCUCCUGUGAUUAUGCUCAUGGGCACUAAUUCUAAACUGAUCGAGAAAGUGGUAGAAUAAUGCGUGAGGCUGUCUCUGAUAUUUACAGGCAUUGAUGGUACCAAUGUUAUUCCUAUUGGACUGGUUGAUCUUAUAGGUUGAGGAAGUUGAUAGACAUUUUUACCUGAUAGGUCCUCUAAAAGAAUGCUAAAAGAAUAUUUCAUCCGGUUGUCAUGGCUCUCAUAAGUUCUUAAUAAAGUGCUCUUGUCAGGCUCUUGAACCUAUCAGAUUCAUCUGGAAAGUGUGUGUUUGGAGAAGACAAGGGUUGCUGAAGUUUUAUUUUGUUUUUUUGGGUUUGUGUUGGGGGGAUGCUAAGCUUACAUACUUGGUUGAUUGUAGUUUGUGAUGGAAUCAAAGUACCCUUCCCCUUUAAAGUUCCCUUCACAACCAUACUUUUGCAUUCGGAUGGAAAUGUAACUGUCAAAUUUGCUGAGCUUGCUUAGUUCCAAUAUGGAUCCCUUUUCUAGGCCGUGCCGAUUGUCUAAAUGGUGGUUGAUUUGAUCUAUUUUAUGGGUGAAGAAGGACCUUUCUGUUAUAGUCCCAUUAGGCAUAGGGAUGGAUAUCGCCUAAUUUGGAAAACAAUAUGGAUUAUUUGUGUAUGUGGUCUUUUUCCAGACCAAACUGUACUACAUUCUGUGUGAAAUCAAAUAUAACCUAAGCAAGAUGUUAGGUUGGUUUGGUUCCCUAUUUGGUUGCUCAUUGUUGCUUAAACUGUGAUAAAUAUCUCUCUGAGGGGGAGUUCUUUGAGUGAUGGUGUAAAUACCAUUGGCUUUGUCUUUUAACAUGCAGUGUCUCCAACUGCCAAAAAAUUAAAAAACCAAGUGAGAGGUUUUGGGUAACUAAAUUAAACAGAAUGAUAAUUUUUAUCAUUUUGGUGGUGUGAUUACAAAUGAGUCUUUUAUGGCAGUCAUUCCUGAAAAUUUUAAUCUGCAAUGACAUUUGUCUGGUAUGUACUUUAUGCCUGCAUGAUGUAAAUUACUGGUUUCUAUAGGGAGCAGCUACCUAUAAACGCCUCAUUGCAUUAAUAAGUAGUAUUCAGGUUGCUGUUAUAAAAAUUUAUGAUAUAUCUGAGGUCGUUGGCUAGCAAAAAAAGAAAUAAAAAGGUUGGAUUUUCGGUUUGCUGUAGAUACCUAUGGGUAGUUGUUUUAACUUAAGAUUUAAAUUUACAAUAAUUUGGUUUGGUUGUGAACUUGUGAUAAAUACUGUUGUUGCUGUCAGUUGCUAUUUGAAUGGUGAAUGAAAUUGACACUUGUGGUUUGAAUGAUGGGCAUAGUGGGUAUUACAGACUGGUUGGAAGUAACAGCUAUGGAUGUCAAUUUUUGCAUUCCAAACUAAAAAAUCUCUGUGUCCUUGGGUCCUCUGUUUCCUUUUUCAUUUUUUCAUUAAUGAAAUGAAGAGCACCUUGUUGACUUCCUACACCUAUCAAUUAAUGGCAUUCUUUCAAAUUUUUAUGGGAUUGCAUUGAGUUGGUCAUCAAAACAUGUUGUAGCUCAUCAGAAUAGGAACAGUAAUCAUCCCACUCAUAGUCGUCGUAUCAUAAUUAAAUGCUUGGCUAUUUGUAAUGGUUCUUAGAAUUCAUCAAUUAUGAAAGUUUUAUGCUUGAAAUUAAGAAUCUAGCUGUGUUUACAUUCAAUCUAUUAAACUCAUGUGUCAUGGAUUGUAUUGGGAAUGGCCAUAGAUUCCCCAGUUAGGCAUCCAGUAUGACUGACUGCUCCAUAACACCUACAAAGCAACUGGUGCUGCAAUUUAAGGAAUUGGCUCUUAAUAUGCUUCUGUGAAUCUCCAACUGAUAGCCCUUGAGGGAUCACUUCUGGUACUACAAUCUCUGGAGUGAGUGCAUGGGGGCAUGCCCAUGCGCGCGAGAGAGCUAGUGUCCCAUCCCAUUUCUAAUAGAAAAUAUCUGAUGUAAACAUGGCCAAUGACAUAUCUUCUGUAUAGUACGUAGCUAAAUCAUAAUAGGGUAGAAAGGUCCCUUGGCUUCUCUGCCCUUGAUAGUGUCAACCAAUCUUUCAUGUUCGGUCUUGGUAAUUUUAACCUAUAUGGAAUGCUGACAACGCUUGCAUGUAAUCAGUUAUUCAUUCUUCUUAUUACAUUAUUUUCUGUGUGGGAAGGGCUUCUUUUUUAGUUAGGGUGCACGAAGGAAGAGUGAAUGGGUCCUUGAGCCCAGUGGUAGCAGAGUGUAUUAUGCAGUAAAUAAAAAUAAGUAAAUUUAAAAAAGAUUGUAGGCUUUUCAUCUUGACAUUUGUAUGCUUAAUUUUUCUGGUUCUUUAGUAACUGCUUAACAUAAUGCACAAUCGUGGGUAUUCAUGACACGUGGUAACAACAAAUGAAUGAGUUUAAAUUUUGAAACAAAAGCAUAUUUUCACGCUGAAUUGCUAGCAUAUGUGCAUUCCAGCAAGAAAAUAUUCAAAACACAUGGUAGAUAAAUUAAGCAUUCUUGUUUGUGGUCUGUUGACUGUUAUUGGCUGAAUAUCCCAUAUCUCCCUUGGUAAAAGAUUUCUGUCUUUGCUUGUGGGUGAAAAAUAGCACUGGUGAUUUCGGAUCAAUUGGUGUUUUAAGGAAUGCUGGAAAUGCCAACAUGGCUAUUGGUUCAGCUUCAUAAGGAUGGUAUGUACGCUAUGGAACCAAACUUGAAUGAACAUGUGAUUUAGUAUCUUGAAAUUCUGGUCCAGUUGAUUGGUCUGAUGAAAUAAGAAGAUUUCUUUCUUUUAGUAUUCGAUGAUGGUCGCUGGUUAUCUUGAGCAGAUGAUGAUGUUUUUGUCCCAUUCCGAAAGCAUGAGACGGACUACCUAUCAUGCAUUUAGAAAUGCAGUCAUUGAAACAUUGUGAUUAUUUAGAGCAAUUUUGGUACUCUUGUCCCGACAGUUCAUCUUCACCAUUGAGAGAACAACAAUCUUGUGGCGUAUCUGAGGUCAUUUUGUUCUCCUCCCUUUAGUUUGAUAUCUUUUCAAACUUCAAAGUAGAGGAGGAAUAACCGUAAUAGGAAUUUGAUAAAAAUGCUGAAUUUGGCACAAUGAUAUCUUAUUUGGCCGAAAAACAGAAUGUCUUUCUGAGCAUUGAAAGGGAUCAAAGUUACCUAGGUACAUAUGAAUGUCAGAUUUGUUUUGUCUAUAUCUGCAGUUGUUCAGCUCAAUCUUAUUUUUUAAAAAAUUGUUCUAUUAUUGGAUGAUGUCUCGAAUUGGUCAUGGUAGGUAGUGAAAAUUCGGUGUUCCAGGUUUGUCUUUGCAAUGUCAACAUUGUUGAGGUUUGACAAUGUGAGCAUUCCAUACCUGACCAUUUCUCCCUUUACAGGUUGCAGAGAGGGCUCUUUUCUUAUGGAACAACGAUCACAUUGAGAAUCUAAUCAAGCAAAAUCGCAAAGUGAUACUGCCAAUUAUCUUCCCUGCCCUGGAAAGGAAUGCUAGAAGCCACUGGAAUCAAGCAGUUCAGAGCUUGACUCUGAAUGUGCGCAAGAUCUACUCUGACGUUGACCCGGAGCUCUUUGAGGAGUGUCUGGCCAAAUUCCAGGAAGAUGAGGUGCAAGAAAAGGAUGUCAAGUUGCAGCGCGAAGCCACGUGGAAACGACUAGAAGAAAUCGCUGCAAUGAAAGCUGCCAGUAACGAACCUGUGCUUGUGCCCCGCAGAUUAGCACAUGCACCUUCUGGCUAGGAUGGUCCAUGAUCUUUUCGAAGUUUCCGAUGCAAGCUACUUCUGAUCCUUGUGCGAGCCCCCUCUGUUUGGUCCCUGCAGCUUAACAUGUGGAAUACUCCCACACUGUUGCUAGAUGCAUGGAUUCAGCAGCUCACGGUCCUCCUCUACAUGCGAUUUUGGCGGUCACUUAUGGCCGUCAAAUGAGGUGCGCAAAAUGCCUCAUUUUGAGCUUUGUAUGCAGUUGCUGUACAUAGCAGAUUGGGUGGCCAAGACGAAUGGGCUCACAUGUUUGUGUGGUGCUCCCGUUAAUAGUAUUGGUAAGCUUGCUUCUUUUCCUCUCUUAAAGCUGUUAUUAAAGAUGACGAUAGAUAGCGCGUCGGAGAUGAUUGUUUGUAUGUUGUUAAAUUUGGUUCAUUGGAGAUUGGUCGCUCUCCGCUCAAUUUUAUGCCACCCUAAAGUUGUUGAGUUCGAGAUGGGAUUGCUGGUUGCUCCCAUGUUUAUGUAUGAAGAAGCUUGGUUAUUAUUUUGGUGACAUUACACUUUUCUACAUUGUGAGAAACGUCUGAUUGAUUUCACUCUUGGUGAUCAAGCUUUGGGCUAGUCGCAGUACGGACACGGUAGGCAAAGAGGUGCACUUGCUUAUCCGGUGAUAUGCAUUUGUGCACAAGUUAUACCUAUAUCUUUGCUUGGUUAUGCUUUGCCAAAUGUUUAGCGCUCAGUGAGACUCAGCGACAUGCGAUUGAUGAAACCGAGUUCCUUUCCUUGCAAAUAAAUCUGUAUAUCAAGUGUUGAAUUGUUAAGCAGAUUAAAUCCUUCCAGGUACUUAUCAGUCAAGAAAUCUUUAAAGUAAUUUUCAGGAAAGGUGUUAAUCUUACUUAACUUCACAUUAAGCUCUGCGCCCCAAGGGACGCGAUUGCCUGUGCUAGUUACUCAUCUUUUGCUGCCUUUUCUGCUUGUGUACUCUACAGAUAGAAUGUCUUUGUAUUUGAGCUGUUGAUCCAUCCUGUGCCGGAUAUGACAAUCUUUCUCUUGCAACGCGCACUGUCGUGUUCAUUCCGCCUGGGUUAACCGAAGAAAGGAUUGAGACAGGCACGUUCGAGCGUUUUGUUAUGUUUGAUGUUCAUGUUAUUUUUGCUUUUCUUGUUUGAAACUGAGUUGGGGGUAGGUGAAAGAGUGAACCGUUCAACAUGUUUCGUAAUCAGCAUACUUGGUCUUGUCUUGUCUUGUCUUGUCUUGAUUCAUAUAGUUUGACAAAUCUAACCUACUCAUUUCCAUUUUUAUAUAAAGCCUAUUGCCGUGUUGCUUCUAUCGAUAUUGCAUGUCCGAGACGUGAUGUCACUAGAAAGGGGAAAAAACCAAAUAUUAAACCCAAAGCUAUACAUAGAAGACUAUAGGGUGGCUCCAUAAUAGAUGACUACCAUAGUUAAUUUAGCUUAAAUUAGUAAUUUAUCGGUCACCCACGGCCCUAUUGGCAAGUGCGUCGCUGUCAUCUCGUCAUAGUUAUCCCGUGACAUAUGUGGAUCAUUUCGAUUUCAAUUAAGAUUUCGAUAAAUUCGAGCACCAUGUACUAUGGUCAAUGGAUCUAUUGAAUGAACCGAAUUAUAGGAGAAUCAAAAUCUUGUCUGUAUAUGCUCGUGCAAUUUGUGAUAUGAGUUGUAUAUUAAGACGUGCCAUCCAAUCAUGUCAUGCCCCGUGUAAAAUCCUAGGACGAAUAAUUUUAAUAAAGUUUCAUUUGCUUCGAACACUAAAUGGGACACAGGAUGGGUUGAUGCCCAAUUACCAAAAUCUAGAUUUACGUGCGCAGCCUUUAUUAUAUUACAUAUUCCAACUCAGCAAGCCUUGUCAUAAAGAGAACUUAUAACCAAAUAUCUCACUAACCUACCGACCAAAAAAAAAAAGAAGAAGAAGAAAAUACUCACUACCCUUAAUAAAUAAUCUCGUGUGGUCAGAACACCUGCUCAACAAAUACUUUAAAGUAUCCACAGUUAGUACCGAGUUAUCAAGGUCCAAUUCAUUCUAAGAAAUAUGGUAAUUUAAAUAGAGCGUUACCAUAAUGCCCUCGACAUCAUUUUAUGUUUUUUUUACUAGAUUGAAACAAAUUUCAUUAUUCGAGUGAAUAUCACAUCGCGAGUAUUAUAGAUCUUCAAAUUUUUUUAUCUCUUUCUAAAUUGAUAUAACUCUGAUUAACUAAUUUUAAACUUAAAAUUAGAAUAUGGGAAUUACCAAAGACCUAAUUCACCAGAUCCUUGCCUUCUUCUCAUCACUCGUACCUGGCACAGAUUGGAAUCCCACAAUAGCCCCAAUAAUUAAACUAAUUCGAUAAAAUAAACAAAUAUAAAAAACAGAAAAAGCGUAAAUUUGAAAAAGAGAUAAAGGCCCCUCACCAGUCACCACCCCCCCAAAAAGAAAAAAGAAAAAAAAUCCCACCUUCAAGUUUCAUUCACCUUCUGUUCAAAAAAAAAAAAAAGUUUCAUUUACCUUCAUGUUAUGUCGCCAUGCGAUGCAACGCAUCAUCACCGCCAUCAUCAUCAUCACCACCGUCUUCAUCACCUCCAACCUCUCCAUCUCGCCAUCUGAAUCUCUCUCCCUCUCCCUCGUUGCAGACUCUCAUGCCGUUGCAGCAUUCCUCAGAUUCGAUCGAUCCCGCAAGUGCCGUCGAGGAACCCUAAUCUGGGCUCGCUUCUUCUUCGCUCCGCAGCUCGGAAUCCGCAUCAAAAUGUGAUUUUUGAUCGGUCGCGAGCGCACGAACCGCCGAGAACUCCACGACCCACGAUUCGAUCGCGCCGCCGCAUCCUCGUUCCCUGCGAAUUCGUCCCUGUUUGAGAGAGAUUGAGGCGGGAACGGAGAGUGAGAGAGAGAGAGAGAGAGAGAGAGAGAGAUUGGAAGGAGGUGGUGGGAGAUGCCGAGUGUGACUGUGAAGCUCUACAGCGUCUUCUUCAAGCUGCUCCUGAAGCACCGGCUGCAGAACCGGAUUCAGUCCCAACCCGACGAUUCCGACCCGUUCGGCGUCACCUCCCGCCCCGAGGAGUCCGUCGCCGCCGUGAACCCCUCCUUCGUCGACGGCGUCGCCACCAAGGACAUCCACAUCGACCCCUUCACCUCCCUCUCCGUCCGCAUCUUCCUCCCCGAAUCCGCCCUCUCCCCGCCCGAGCCCGACCCCAAGUCCCAACCCCAACCCCGGCCUAGGGCUCGGAUCCCGUCCAGGGCCGCCGAUCUCAACGGCAAUUCGCAGGGUAAUCAACCUUCCCGCCGCCACAGCUACGGCACCCCGACCGCCGCCGCGAGAGAUGAUCCCGGGAAGCCCCCCAAUCUUGAGGAGAGCUCGCAAUUGAGCCUCGGGCGGCGCAAUAGCUUCGGAUCCUCCGCGACAGACCCGCACAAUGCCAAGCUGAAUGGUAAUCAUUUUAGAGGGUUUGGCAACGAUGCAGAGAGCUUGAGUUUGAGAUCGUCUGAUGGCGGUGGUUUGCCAUACCGAGGGUAUUCGCCCUUGAUGGGAAACGCGAGGAAAUUGCCGGUGAUGUUGCAGUUUCAUGGUGGAGGUUGGGUGAGCGGUUCAAAUGAUUCGGUGGUGAAUGAUGUCUUCUGUCGGAGGAUGGCGAAGUUGUGUGAUGUGAUUGUUGUUGCGGUCGGCUAUCGGCUCGCGCCAGAAAAUAAGUACCCAGCUGCAUUUGAGGAUGGGAUGAAGGUAUUGAAUUGGUUGGCAAAGCAGGCAAAUUUGGCAGAAUGUAGUAAAUCCAUGGGUAGUUCACGUGGAGUUACCACCGAGUCUAAGAAAUCUGACCUUCACAGGAAUAUUGUUGAUACUUUUGGGGCACAGAUGGUUGAGCCCUGGUUGGCAGCUCAUGGAGAUCUCUCCAGGUUACGUUUUUGAUCCUCUUCUGAUCUUCUUCCUUUGAAUGAUUUUUCAGUUUGUGAAUUGGAGUCUGUGCAUGGUAUGUUUUUUAUCCAUCUCGAUGUUAUUAUUGUACUGCUUCUUUUGCAUAUACAUAGGGAUCUGAUUUGAUGAAUUUCAUGGGCUUUAUUUUUCAGUAAUUGGCGAAUGCGAAGAAAAAGAGAAUUUAAAAGUUUGGUGAUGCAGUGAGGAAGUAGGAUGCAGAUGAUAUUGAGAAAGAAAGCCAGUACCAUAAUUCCGUUGCCAUGCCAAAAGCAUAUAAGUCAUGUUCUCUUGAGGAAUUUUGUAGAUUUGAUAUUGUGAUUAUGACUCACUUUUGGAAUGAACUAAUUUCAAAAAAACUGACUCAAGCUUCUUACCUGGAGUGAUUCCUAGUUACCAGUGUGAACGUGGAAUAUUGUAGAUCGGGGAAGGACUUAUUAUUUUACACUAAAAUCCGAAGACUCCAUUUUCUGUAGCCAAAGUGUUUACGGAAAUAGGCCUCGCUAGCUUCGUAUUUGCUACCUUUGUGCAAGGACGGAAAAUAACCUUAUAUCUGGCUCCAAUUUGCUUGAUUAGAGGGAAUUUCCUAUUUAUAUUACGAAUUUCAAUUGCAAGUCACGUUGCAUAGAGCUGCUGUUUUAGAUAAUUGAAUAGAUUUAUAGAUGUACAAAGGCAUCCUGAUGGUUGUUGAUUGGUGAGGUGGCAAUGGCAACUGGAACCCCCAUGAGCCUCCCCCUUAUGCAAAACUUCAUUCUUAAGCUAGUGAAUUGCAAAGGGGAAUUCAAUUGCUUGUUGGAAAGGUGAUAUUGGUGCAUUCUUUUCUGAAUCCGCAAGAUUAGCCUUUAGUGUCUGUUGCUCUACUAGGAGGUUUAGUUACCAUUUUGCCCUUAUUUUUGCUUGAAGUUUGCAAGCUUGGAGCAGCUAUAAAAAGUUCUGUUAUCUGAUUUAUGGGCCAAACUGCCAGGUUCUGAUAUCCUUUGGCAGAUAUCUGAAUUCCUGUUGUCUCCGUGAAUCUUUGGUUGUUUAAUAUCUCAAGAUCUGCUUUACUGGUGUUAAGGCCAAACUUGAACGGGAAAAUCCCGUUACAGUGCCUGGGCACUGUAGCAAAACCUUUCUUUCUGCUUCUCUGCAACACUACUUUCUAGGUUAAUGAUGUCUUUGAUGUAUUUCUUAGAAUUUGGAUCUGUUGGAGAAUGCAAGUUAGCAUACGGUUCAUUGAGUAUGAUCAUAGAAAUGUUGGAUAUGGAUGAGUAGAUUUUACUUUAUUGGAUCUUGAUGAACUAUCUUAGUCUGUUAAUAGAGUCAUGAGAUGCAUUUGAAGAUAUAGGGAGGUUUGAAGUGGUUUUUCCCCUUUUGGCGCUUUUCAUAAUGUUGCUAAUAGAAUCUUGCACUGUUAGCAACUUGGUCUUAUUACACCAAGCUGAAGCAUCCAUACGCACACAAACAAUGCAGCAUAUAUUUGCUGCUUCACUUUGUAUUUUAAGAGAAGCAGAUUCCUUUCGUAGUUUUGCAGCCUUGUAUUUCUUAUAUCCCCCCAUUCUAUUUGCAAUGACAAUAUUUGCGGUGGAAUGCUUCAAAAUGUCCUACUCGCAGAAUGGAUCAGCAGUUGGCACCCUUUAAUGCCAUUAAAAUGGAAUCUCUUGCUCAUCCUAUCAAGUACACAUACCAUAGCUUUUGCUAACUUAACAAAACCUUCUAGAACGAAUUCAGCAGCGCUGUGUUGUGUACAGUUAUGCCUAUUUUUGAAGUUAAGCAGCAUAAGACAUGAUUGGGUCCAGUUGAGUUUUUCCCUUUUGCAUGGCUUGCUAUAUGGUUAUGUACACACACACACACACACACACACAAAUAUAUGUGUGUGUGUGUGUGUCAUCUUUAAUUUCCCUCACCCCAAUAGAUUACAUCGAUCCAAUCUUUCUGCUGUUUUCUCACGUUGAAUUAAAGCAUUUGCAACAACAAAUGUUGGAUUUUACAUGGGGGAUGUCCUAUUUUUAUGAGAUAUGGCUUUUGCCUGUGGAUGGCUUAUGAUACCUUUCAAUGCGUUGUAGGUGACCAAUUGUAACACUUAUUAGGCCGUUGCAUUGCCUAUUCUAUAGUUGUAGGUAAACUUCAGAGCUGGUGGCUUUUACAUAAUUAUGAUUUGGACAUUUUUAUGAGGUGUACAUAUUUUAUAAUUUUUGUUAUAGUUUGUCCCUAUUUGCAAGUGAGGCGAACCCUCCUUUGGAGCAUGUUUUUGUUCGUGCAUCAAGAACUCUAAAUCUUUUUUUCCAUCGUUGAAACAGAUGUGUUCUCCUGGGCGUGAGUUGUGGUGCGAACAUUGCGGACUAUGUGGCACGGAAAGCUGUAGAGGCAGGUAGAUUAUUGGAUCCUAUCAAGGUUGUCGCUCAGGUUCUCUUGUAUCCAUUUUUCAUGGGAAGUGUCCCUACGCAUUCCGAGAUAAAGCUAGCAAAUUCGUAUUUCUACGACAAAGAUACGUGCCUACUUGCCUGGAAACUCUUCUUACCCGAAGAAGAGUUCAGCCUGGACCAUCCAGCUGCAAACCCACUCAUCCCUGGCAGAGGACCACCCUUAAAGCUCAUGCCUCCAACACUCACAGUGGUGGCAGAACACGACUGGAUGAGAGAUAGAGCCAUUGCUUACUCAGAGGAACUUCGGAAGGUAAAUGUCGAUGCUCCUGUUUAUGACUAUAAGGAUGCAGUUCAUGAAUUUGCGACACUUGAUAUGCUUAUCAAGGCCCCCCAGGCUCAGGCGUGUGCAGAAGACAUUGCUAUUUGGGUCAAGAAGUACAUCUCAUUCCGGGGACACGAGUUUUCUUACUAGGCAGGAGAUACAACUGGAAUGACUUGUAACUGGACUCUUGGCAGUCUUGCUCGAGAUGGCUGAAAUAGCAAGUUCUUGCUGCCACCACCUCUGAAUUUUGACACAGCAGUUGGGAUGACAGCUCAUCGAUUUUAAUACCUAACCCAUAUCGGGUUUAUUUGUGAGAAAUAUGUAAUGAGAGAUUAGGAUAGAUUUGGGCGUGAGAUGCAUAUGCUCCUGAUAUAUAGCUAAUAUGCCUGAUCAGAACAUUGUCUUCGGCAACUUUUUUUUCCUGUGAAUUAAGAUGUACAAUGCUUCAUUUAAUUCAGUUGGUACAAUUAAGUACCUUGUACGAUUUCUUUCCAUCAACUCUCUUCAUCUGCUGGCAUUUCAGCGUGAGAGAUUUAUCUUAACUAGUCAAGGAAAGUGGUGAAAUCUGAGUUCGAUCUAUUGUGAAAUUUGAGAUGCUCAAUAUUUGGUUCUAAAUCGUUGCUGGCACCACAUCUGUUAGGUAUACGGAUCCUGUUUUCUUGUCUAUCUGGUGUUUGGCUGCACUUUACCCUGGCAAAAGGACAUUCUGCCUCUUUAUUAAAACUCAUUUUGUGGAGACCAUGAAACAUCGUCAUUUUACCUAGGUACCAUAAAGUGGGUUGGCGGUGGCACUUCAUAGCAACAUUUCCAUUGUCUUUAUAACUUGGUAAACUUCUUAUUUCCUUUCGACCAAGAAAAAAAAGACUUUCCUAUUUCCUGCUAAAUUCAGGGAUAGUCUUUCCCGCUAAAACUGUCCUACAACUACCGCUCCUCUCGCAUUUGGCUUUUCUUGGUGGUCCUUGCUGGUUAAGUCGUGAUAUAAAUAAUAUGACUCUCUUGAAUGAGAAAGAAUCAGAACAACUUUUUAUUUAGUCGAUGGAGAAUUAAUGAUCUUACGCUCCAUGACAAAAUGAUUAAUGAUCUUACGCUCCAUGACAAAAUGAUCCUUGCCAUAAACCUUGAACCAUAAGAAAAGCCAGCGCUAGUCUCUAGAUUUGCUGGCUUCUUAUCCUAAUGUUGAUGGCUCUGGAAGCCAUGGCUCUUAAGUUUGCUCUGGCCGAGGAUAUUGAAGUCCUGGAACUCUCAUUAAUUCCCUGAAAAGCCUCCAUGAACUCUUCUCUCUGCAACCUCAGAGCAAAUGCGGCAUCCUCAUCCUGGCUCGGCAAUCCUCUUCUCCUCCUUGGAUACGCGUCUCUGCUUGUUGCAACUGAUGGUCGAAGACUCCUGUCCAAAUGGUUGCGACUCUCUCUUCUUUCUGGUUUUUGAGAUUCAGGUUCUCGAGUUUCUGCUUCACUGGUUUUGGUGGUGGCCCUCCUUGUUUCGAUCUCCUUUGGGAACAGAAGCUGUAUUGUGUUCCACAGGACUGUGUUCACAGUGCAGGAUCUUCCGUUGCUGCAAAUUCAGAAACAAUGUGUAAUAGUGACAAACCGUCCAAAUCAAUAGGUGAUCAAUAUCAGCCACUCUUUGGGGUUUAACUUGGGUGGUUUUAGUUCCAUUUCAGUCCCCGUGAGUAAUACGAAAAGCAGGUCAGCAUUAAAAUUAUCAUGCUGAUUAAAUCUUGCCAAAUAGUCUCUUUGGAGAUGUGGCUUCAUUACCUGAUUAUCUGCCUGCACUUUGGGCAUCGCUUCCCGCAUUUGUCUGCAGCGGAUCGCAGACAUUUCUUGCAAAAACUACAGAAAAAUAUGAAGCAUUCACUUAGCAUCUGUUCAUCCACCAAAAAAUCAAGCUGAAGACACAAGCAUUGUGAGCAAGCAUUCUAAGCGAGUGGUCGAAGGCUGUUGCUUUGUUUACCUAUGACCACAAGAUGUGGUACUGGGUUCAAAGCAAACUUCCAGACAGAUCUGCAAAAUCAAGAACCACCCGAUUAACACAAACAAUUCCAGAAUUUCGACUUGCAGGAAUUAAGCAAAGAGUAACUUGAUUUCCGCAGAAAACACGAGAAAGAAAGAGUUGGGUUACUUACUGCACAUGAAAGUUCUUCCCUGAGUCGGUCCAAGCAUGGAAUGGCUGGACUCGGGUCACACGAUCCUGGCUCGGGUAUUUCGCCUUUCUCUUCGUUUUUUGCCGCUUCUUUCACUAAGGUUUCAUUCUCCUUCCUCUCUGUCAAUAAGGUUGAUUCAAAAAAUAAUUUUCCAUAAGAUUCAAAAAGCAAAACGGAAAAUUUCAGUCUUUCCAAUCAAUCAACACGACAAAUUUGACUGUGAUAAGAUACCGGUAGCUUUAGUUUCUUCAUCAUCUAGAUCAAGAAUGGUCGCGGGCAACGGAGCAGGACUCUUCCUCUGAUCCCUUCGUUUCCUGAAACAUACAUAAAGAUCAUCAAUCUAAGGAUCUGUCUCUUUGGAUUGAUUAAAUAAAAAACAAGGAAUCAAAAUCCAUAGAAAAGGAAAAUCAAAUGAUCGUUCAGUACCUCCUCGAAUUUGAAGGGGGAGUCUUGAAAUUCAGAUCCGACCGCUUCUUUUGCUUGAACUCACGAACUGGCGUGUCGUCAACAAUGAGGCUCGCGAUCAUGAGCGUCUCCUCGUCCCAACCGGCCAUGGCGGCCGCCGACUUGAGCCUGGGGCUGAACAAAGUUUCCUCCUUUGCGCCAUUUUGGGACUGAUUCGGAUGUGCCCGCGGGUUCUUCGGGUCCUUGGGGCUUUGCUUUGGUUCCUCCAUCACCAUUUCUUGCGAGGGUUUUUCCUACUUUGUAGAAUCGAUUCGCUUCAAGAUCGAGCAAGAGGACGAAAUGGAGAUGGGAAGGCGAUCUCGUUGUUUUGAUUAUUUGGUCGCAAAGUGUCUCUGCCAAGACUCCAACGGUCGGAUGUCAUAUUUAAAAAAUGGUUUCCUCUAACGGCUAUAAUCUCGGGGAUGGUGAACAACUGUGAAGGCGGGGGAGAGAUAACGAGAAAACUUUCCUCAAAACAAAAGUCAUAGUUUUAUCUUAGUUAAAGAAAAUCGUUAAAAUAAAAAAAUCAAUCAACUUGAAAUGCUACUAUGCAGCAGUUUCCAAACGAGUUAAUAUCACGAAAUUUUUUAAACUGAUAUACUUAUAAUAAAUUUAUCAUUUGUCAAAUUAUUUGGUUGAAUAAUAUGUGACAAUUAACAUAUAUCUUAAUUUAAGGUAUUAUUGUAUAACAAUUAGUGAUUUCCCAUUUUUACCAAAAAAAAAAAUUAGUGAUUUCUCAUAAUAUUAAUUUAAUUUAAUGGAAACUAAUAAAAGGUAAAUUUAUCAUAAAUAUGCUAGUUUGAGGUUUAUGGUAGUUAAAAGAUUAGUUUGAAAUAAAUUUGUGACAUGUGUACUAAUUUGAUUCUUUGUAAUAUUAACCUUUUCCAAAAAUUAAAAGUAUUUGAUAUUUCAUGAAUACCCCAUUACAAUCCGUAAAUACUAGUCGUACCAGCCAAAAAUUUGAGUGAAUGAUCCUAACAUUUGAACCAAAAAAAGAAAAAGAAAAAAGAAUGGUCCUAACAUAUAUUUUUUAAGAUAUGGAAUUCUUCAUAAAAAUCACAUGUAUAAAAUUGAGGUAAAACUAGAGCACGCCCACCAGAAUGUAACCACCGGUGUCGCUGAAUUUUAUUGCUCAAUAUCUACAAAUCUAAUCGAAGACCAUCUCUAGAAGGAGGUACUUUACAACGUCAAAAAAUGCACCAACCCACCAAAAAUUGAGAAAGAGAGCCCGAAAAGAAAACCCAAAAAAAAAUUCAGUGUCUCAACCCCGCCCGCUCAUCCCACCUCCUCCUGCCACGGCAAGAGCAGCGUCCGCGGGUCGGCGAAGACGUGCAGCACCCGGUCCCUGAGGCCCGUGUCCUCGACCUCGCAGAACCGGCUCGGCCAGUCCGGGGGCUCCACGGCCUUGGUCCCAAGGCCCGGGGCCCGGUCCUUGGACCCGACGUUCUGCUCCUCCUUCCAGUCCGCGACGUAGGUGGCCACCCUCCGGUAGAACUUCUCCUUGAACACCUCCCAGACCUGGUACUUGUAGUGGUUGAUCACCAUCGCCCCUCGGUCCAAGUUCGCGAAGUCGAACCCGCGCCUCAGGUGGAAAUGGUGCACCACGUUGAUGAGCGUGGAGUUGAGCGCCUCGGGCCGGACUAUGCUCUUGUGCCGCUCCGGGGCCGCCAGCCUGCAGGUGUACCCCGCCAUGACCCCUUGCCUCGGGGCGUGCUUGAGCCCCGACGGGCCGAAACUGUGGCACGAGACCCUCAGUUCGGCCACGUUCCUGGGCCUCGACUCGUUCCUCAGGAUGUCGUCCAGGAACAGACCUGUGGGCAAGUGAAAGAACUCAUCCACGUCGAUGAACCCGACCCACUCGCACGCGUCCCGUGCCCGCAUCGCGCAAUGGGCGAACCCGGCUUCCUGCGUCUUGAUCCAUGGCCACAAGUGCCUCGAGAUGUUGUAAUCGGAGCCGGCAAGGGACUCGAUUACGUCGUCCGUGUCAUCCUCGCUGUUGUUGUCGUAGAUGAACCAGCGCUGCACCCCGAUCCGGGCGUGGUACAUGACCCAUUCCCUGAUGAACCGGCCCUGGUUCCUCACCAUCGUGCAAAUGCACAUGUUAUGAAGCUUCCUAGCGGUUGGCUUGAGCGCAGCCCGACAGCCCGGCCGGGCUAUGGACCGCAUCGUCCGGCCGCCCUUUACCCUGACCGAGACCUUGACGGCGGUGCCGUUCCUCUGUGGACUACUAAAGACACUAAGGGGAGUUUUACACCGCACGAUCUCCUGCGCGAUCGACUCGACCUCGGUUCGCAACAAGAACCUCGGCUUCCCGAAAUCCCAGCCGAAGACGCACUCGAACCUCGAUGCGUCGGAGACCCUCUCGGGCCGGAGAUUGAGGCCCUUCACGAAGAUGACCGUGGUGUUGUCGCGGUCGAUCAUGGCGUCGUACACCAGCGAGUCCCACCUAUGGCUCGGCCCCGGCGGGACGUGCUCCUUCGACUCGAACGCAAGAGAGACCAAGGACCCGUUCUCGGCGAGCGGGCACCGCACGAUCUGCUCGCCGGAGUCCUCGCCGUCCACUCCAGCCGGCGGCUGCCUGAGCCGCAGCUUGGUCGAGUCGGCGGCCUCUACGUAGACGCAGUGGAUGUCCUCCUUCGUAAAUAACCGGGACGACGGAGGGUACUCGAGGAAAAUCACGGCCUGGUCGGGGAAUAUGACCAUUUCCCUUAUCGAGACCGACGGAGCGGGCUCGGAGUCGCCGGAGACGGCUCUCAUCACCGGAUUCCGCCAUGAGGGGACGACCACCGGUUCAAAAGUUUCUGCACAGAUAUCGACGACGGCGAUAUCAACACAUAAAACUUUCAAUUGUGUAAAAGAUGGAUUUUUCUAAAGCACCGCGAGAAUCGAUUCCGACGAAUUAUUCAAAUUAGAAGGUUAUCCGCAACAGAAAAUCGCGCAAAGCCCUCGAUUUUACAGAAGAGUUCUGGUUACGCAAAAUCCGCGCAAGAAGUGGGGAAACGGAAUGGGCAAAAUUUGGUUUUUGAGCUCGUUAUCGCAGUCGACGAUUACAAGAAAUAGAACGAAGAAGAAACCAGAUAACUGGAAUUGAACCACGAAAUUCACACUCGAAAACAGAGCAUCUCGUGGAAUUCAUUCGAGCAUAAGAAAUCCCACGCCAAACAAAGUCACAAUCGGCGAAGUUAAUCACCAAUCAAUCGGAGCUCGUAAUGCAAGUUCUUAACUUUUUGCCCCACGUCGGCGAUAAUUGUCGAUUCUGGAUAGAAGUGAUGAAUUUUAAGGAAGGACGAGAUGGAAGAGAGAGAGAGAGAGAGAGAGAGAGAGAGAGAGAGUUGAUAACUAACCUCCGACGGAGAAGCGGAGGGUGGAGAAGGUGAAGACAGUGAAGAGAACGCAGGAGAGGACGGCGAAGAUGGUGCACCAGAAGAACCUGCUCCACGAGACCGAGACGCCGUCCCCGCCGCCGCCGCCGCCGCCGCCGAACCCCCCGCCGCUGCCCCAUCUCCGACGGUCCCUCGCCGCCAUGGAAACAACCGCUUCCGCUUCCGCUUACGAUGAGCGCACCGAACAAACCCCCCCGUCUCCGUUCUCAUUCAUGAAAACCACCUGAAAAAUAAAGAAGAUAAAAAAAUCCCACCUUUCCCACCUUCUCUCUCCUGCCCCCUUUUUUUUCUAACUUCCACUCGAACCCUCCACGAAUAUCUUGGCUUUCGAGAGAGAGAAAAUCGCGGUUGAGAUCGAGGGCAGGAGGAGAGAGGAGGUGGGAGGAUCUGGUGUUUCGACCGUUCAUGUCGGUUUACAUGCGGUCGUUAGCUCGUCAUCAUGGUCGAGAGCUUGCCUUCGCCUUUGCUUUUUCAUGCCUCCUUUUUGUAGCUGCGAUGGAGAAUCGCGCCCCAGAUGGCGUCGCGCCACUGGUCGGUCGGUCGAUGAUGGCGACACUUGCUGUCGAUUUACAUUAAGCAAUCUCGCGAACUUAGCAUGCAUGCAUGCAUCAACAUCGAUUUCGAUCGAGUCGAUCCAUCGGACAACUCCGUUCGAUGUCAUUACUAAGUUCGUGCAAUGCAUUUCUCUCGUUUUUCACUAGGUUUAAUGUCUCUCUCCCACCCUAGUCGGCCAGAUUAAGAAACUAUGGAAAGUGUCGUGGUGCAUAAAAGCACUUGAAAAAAGUUUUGAUAGGACGGCCGAAAGCUUAAUGUAGAUUUUGCUAAUUAUCUGAGCCGAUGGUCACCUUUGAGUAACGGUUUUUUCUUUUCCAAAUUGAAGAAGUGCCCUACCCUAGCCUUAUAAUCUGGAUUGCUGUAUAAGAUAAGGAGGAGCUUCUAAUUUUUAAAGCAGUUCCGGUAUUUUUCUUCUUCUGUAAUCAUCCUUAAUUACUUGUUUUACAAUUUUUCCAUCAUGGACAAAUGGUAAGCUAGUAAUUUUUCCAUGCAUGGACAAAUGUCAUGAUAUUAAAAUAUGAAUAUCUUCUAUCUCACAACAAUCUUCUUGAAAAAAAAAUCAAAUCUUAAAAUAUUUCUCUCUUUACACAUGUACCGUAUAAUCUUUCUGUGUUGUUGAUUUAUCUUAUCAAUGAUUUUUUCUCCUCGUUUAGCAUCUUUAAUAAGUUAUUUUUGCUUAACUUUUCAAGCGUCAUUUGCACAAGCGUCACGUGUGCACAUUUGCUAGUUAAUAAGGACAGAAAGUAGAGCAAAUAAGCUAGUAAAUAGAAGAUCAAUUUCCGCAAAUUAGGUAGCAAAUAUUUGACUACCUUGUAUUAUACUAGUUUUGUUAGCUCCAUUAUGCUCGUAUUUCAAAAGACUAGAUAUGCAGAGAAUAUAAGGAUUCAUUUCGUAUACUCUUCAAAUUUGAAAUAUUUGAUAGUCGUAGUGUUACAUGAAACCUUAGAUUAGCAGUCAAUUGAUUUAAAAAAUAACUACGUGGGGCGCAUCAACUUUAAAACUAAGAUUUGUAGUAUAUUUUAGCCAAGAAAAUAUCGAAUGGCCAACAAAUAUCGAUCUAAAGUUUUUCCGGUCACUCAAGAAACGAUUAAUUAAAAAAUGUAUAUUUUUAAAAAUUAUCAACAUGUAACAUAAUUUUCAAGACACGAAGUGUUGUAAGGCGUAAAAUUGAUUUUUCUUUUUCCUCCAAUGGUUUAGAGCAAUCGCCCCAGUUGGGCCAGUAAUUAACAAAAAUUAAAAAGGUAAUAUAUUAUAAAGCAUGCGUACGGUACAAAAUUUUUGACCAUGCAAAUCAAUUGUUUUAUUCUCUCGUCAAUAAGAUAUGAGAUCAUUAUGAUAUGUCAAACACGUAUAGGUGUUUCAUUUAUAUAUGAAUUGCUCGAGUCUUCACUGAGGAAAAAUCGGACGGAGGGUGGAAAAUUUUGAUUUGGAAACUAAUCGAUCAUCUCAUUGAUGACGUCAUAUCUCCAUGUGGUGUGGGACCCACCACUUUCUCCAAUUUUACGGAAAUUAUAAUAAUAGAAAAAAUAUGAAUGGAAAAUCUAUAUUUUAAUUAUCAAUAACGAAGGGGUCAAUUUCUAUGGACACGGGUGGCAUGUGAGAUGCGUGGCUUUGGCCGGGGCACGUCAAACUCAUUUAGUCGCAUUCGUGCGUCGCUCGAGCGCUUUCGAUUUCGCUAGAUCUCUCUUGAGAUGUUAAGGUAAAACUUACUUAUCUAAUUCCUAGCUAAAUCACACGUACAUAAUUUAUACAUAUACAUACGUGGCAAAGAAGCAAAAUCAAUUACAUAGUACAUUUUGGAUUAUUUUGGAAAAAGGAGAGUAAAUUGUUUAAGUCAAAUAAAAUAUUAUUUAAGUUUGGGAUCUUGAGAUAACAUCGUUAGUAUGCUUAUCCUUUUAAAUCAACAUUCGUUUAUUUGUAAUACGUUAUUAUUAUUAUUAUUAUUUUUGUUGCAUACUCGACAUGAGCUUCAUAGGAAUUUUCUAAUAUAAGUUUCGAGGAUGAACACUCACUUUGAUUUCGACCCAUGAUUGGAAGAGAUCUCGAGAGAGCUACUUAUCAUCGGGUUUAUAUUUACUCUAAUUACUAUAUUUAGGAAAAAAUCAUUUUCCAAAUACCUAUUUCGAAUCUUUAAACAUCCUCUCCCUCUCACGAUUAAAAUGCGCUUUUAGUUCCUUUUUCUUUAUAUGCAACCAAGUGUGUUAGUCGGCUAGUGAUUAUCAAGAUUUUAUUAAGAGAGCUACUUAUCUUCUUUAAGAUGGAUAUAUAUCAACUUAUAUAUCCACACAGAUUUUAUUCCAAUAAUCUUUUUUUUUUUAAAAUUGAAUAAUGCAUUGUUUCCCAUAGUUUUAUUGACAUCGAUAUGAUGUGGUUGGCCAUGUUUGCUUUUCCAUCGAUGAACAAUGAAAUCAUCGAUAAGUGCAUUACUUUUAUUGCAAACCAUCAUCCAAAUUUUCCGUGACAGCACAUUCAGAGUAAACGUAAUUACAUAAAGUAAAGAAAACCUUUUACUAUUAAGGGAUUAUAAAGACAUCAUCAAUUAAUUAUUUAAUAAAUGGUCUUCAAUGGUUAAAUGCAUGAAUUAAUAAUCCUAUUGGAUUAAAUAUUUAUUAUAAUAUAAAAAUUCAAUUUUUAUCUAUCUUAUAAACAAUCUUUGCACAAAAAAAAAAAUAAAUUCAAACCUUGAAAUAAUUGUUUAUUUUCACAUAUAUGUGUGCAAUUUCUUCACGUCGUAUCGGUAACUCUUUUGCAUUCAUUAAUAGUUCAAAAAUUUUGUAAUAAUUUUUUUUACGAAAUCUCAAAUUUUAAGAGCAAUAUUUGAAAUUCUGUGACAAAAUAUGAUGGGAAAAUGACAUAAAUGAUCUAUGAACUAUGAACCAAUGUGUAAUGUAUGACCUUUGAACUUUUAAUUUGUUUAAUUCGAUCCCUUAAAUUUAGCUCAAUGUGCAAUAUUGUCUAUGAACUUUUAAUUUGUUCAAUAAGAUCCUUGAAUUUUUUAGACAUGUUCAAACCAAUCCUUGAACUACAUAAAAUCGUUCAAUAUUGUCCCUAAACUUAAAUUAAUGUAAGGAUGAUAUGAGGCAUUUUCAUAUAGUUCAUGAAUUAAUUUGAACAUUUUCAAAAAAUCUAGGGAUCAUAUUGAACCAAUUAAAAGUUCAGGGAGCAUAUUACACAUUUGGCUAAAAUUCAUGGAUCAUAUUAACUAAAUUAAAAAUUUAAGGAUCAUAUUUAAUAUUAAUCUAAAAUAUAAAGAUUAUUUAUGUUAUUAUCCCGGAUAUAAUUUACAAAAACGGUUAUCAACUCUAGUGACAAGGAAAAAUACUGCUGUUGGGCUUAUGCAACAUCCGGGUCUUGUCAUUUCAGGCCAUACCCGGCCUGUUUUUUUUUUUUUCCUGAUGAAAAGAAGCAGCAGGUUCUGUCACAUUUCUUUUGUGUUUUUAAGAAUGCUUAUGGUUUGUUCCAUCCCAUUUAAUAAGAUGUUCCGCUUCUAAUUGAUAUGAUACAAAUAUGAUAUUACUAGAGGUGUAAAUGGGUCGGAUAUUCCGACCCGCGACAACUGAAACUUCCGAUUGGAUGCUCGAAACACAUAGAUCUCAAGUCGUUGGGUCGGGUUUCGGAUUUCUUCUUCUUCUUCUUUUUUGGGUAGAACUUAUCUAUAGUGCUCUGUGUUGUUUUUAUCAAAUAAAAUACUAACUUCAUCCAUUUCUCACAAUUCCUUUAUUUAUAUUAGUCGACUUGAUUGUCAAAGUCAAUAAUUUGGCUUAGUUUUUAUUUUAACUUUUUAGCUUUAUCUUUUGAAAAAACGACUUAGUCUUUUAUAUUCAAAGAUUUCUUUUAUGGUUUGGUGGCCUCUAUCAUUUCCGACGAAAUUGAUUUGUCUUUGUAGUCGGUCGCAUCAUUGGUUGUAUUGAUCUCAUGGAUGAACUCGAUAUAUCUAAAAGUACUAUUCUCUUUGCUUGCAUUAAUGACACGAGUCUCUUGGUCAUUCUUUACAAGAUAAUUAAUAUUUUUUUUUUUUUGCACGCAACUUGUGAAUAAAUGAGUUGUGUAUAAACAAUAAUGCUUGUGUGGCGUGUGCUUCAAAAAGAUCACACAAGUGAGAAAGCAAGAAGAAAAAGAAAAGAAAAUAAAACACGAAGCACGAAACCCGCCGAAGAACAACCCGAAUUUUUUUACUUAUUAACCGAACUGAAAAUACCUGAAAAAAAAUUGGUUCAGUUUGGGUUGGGUAAUUUUGACACCUUUAGAUAUUACCCACUUUCAAUUUCAUUUAAACUUGCAUGUGAAUGAUGUCCUUAACUUGUAAUCCACCAAUCAAAGAUGGGUCUUAAGACAUUUUCCUCUAUUUUUAUUGAUUAUUCGUUAUGAAUAUAAUGUUCGUAUUCCUUAAAAAAGACUAUCAUUAUGAUAUAUGAAUCAUGAGGGAUUCGAUAAUUCUAAGGAAGCAAUAACAAGAACAGCAACGUGGGAAGCAUGGGGAUGCAAGAUUCUUCUACCGUAGAAUUUGUCAAUAUCAAUCUUUAAUUUAAGUUAUUGUUGGAUUCGUCUGUUCAUGAACUUGUCGGAUCGACAAAGAACAUGGAACGCUCAUGUUGCCAGUUUCUCGAUUCUGGAGGCGGAAGAGGUGCCAACUGAGGCAGCAUUCAUCUCCCUGCUCGUUUCACACUCAUUCAAGGGAAAUUUGAUGGCGUGUUGAUUUUGUCAUUUAGUUCCAAAGCGGUAUCUUUUAUCUGCUGUGGUCAUGAAUGACAUGGAUCGGAUCAUCGUGAUUCUCCUGAUAUAUGAUCUACUUCAUCUACUCAACCGAGAUUAUGAUGGAUCACUAUCGCCCGCUGUUGUCCGUUAAAUCUACAGUCUACCAUAUGACGCAGAAUUUUUUUAGUUGGUGGUUUGUUUAAACUAAAUCACGAUCCGAGAAAGUACACAAGAUCGCAUCAGUCCCGUAUGGCUCUAUUUAUGACGACUUCGCAUCAAGGAACAGAUACACGGGGCUCACUCUCGUCAUGUCCUUUUAUUGAACAUGAAGUGGCAUUGGAUUCUCCUUCCUUUCUUUGCUCUAAUACUGUCAAUUCUCUGUCACCCCUCUCUAAUCGUAGUCAUUAUAUUUUUCUCAAGUACUUAAUCACACUUCGUCACUAAUUGGUCCCUUCGUUUUCUGCCCUUAAUUAAGCUUUUUCUAAAUACAUGAACUGGCCCACUGAAUCAUAGAGAAUGCGCAUAAUGAGGCAGGCAUGUUUCUUUCUGUAAGUUCAUUGAAUGAGAGACUUUUUUUUGGCUCUAAGGUCAAGAUUGAAUUAUUUUCACAUGACUUAAGUCAAUGUCGUCCAUCUUAUUAAACUUUUCCAAAGGUCAAGUUCGUACGUUUCUCUGUCUCGCUGUUGAGUUGUUGUUUUGUCAUGUUCCUAGUUCUGCAAGUCUUCUCAAAUCUAGUCGCUCCAACUUCGAAGUAAAUCCAUUGAUGGAAUAUUAACACGGGCAUGAGAACUUGUUAAAAGCAUCUCUCGUUUUCCUCGUUCAUCACACGAGCAGUGACAACUGACAAGCCACCUCCAAACAGCAACAAAAAAAGAAGCAGAAAGAAACCCUAAAUGCCAAGGAAUCUCCUGCAAUAAAGAAUGCAUGUCUUCUUGUCUUCAAUAAUUAAACCCAGUAAGAGAGGGCUUUGGUCUGCAAAAAUAAUGGACACACACACAAAGUGAAGAUUGUCAAUGGGAACACACCCACGUCUGGUUCGUCUUUACCAUCACACAUUAGGUCACUCGUUGAACCAAAAGGCGGUACCCAAAUUGUUAUCAAUAAUUUUGGAGUUAUUGCCAUUUCUUUAUCAUGCUUUGCCACUUAAUCAUGCUUCACCCCACUCGAGGAACAUCCUAGUUUUAUAAUGCCGGGGUGAUCUGUCGGAAUCUUUGGUUGACUAUAAAUGAUUUUGCAAGCUCUGGCUUGAAUUUUUCAAACAAGCUCUGGCUUGAUUUUUUCAAACUCAAGCUCGCUUGCAAACUCUUUUUCUCAUUUCUGCAGUGCUUGAAGCAUUGGAAAACCGAAUAAUGGGAAGGCAACCCUGUUGUGACAAGGUCGGGCUGAAGCGCGGUCCGUGGACUAUCGAGGAAGACCAUAAGCUCAUAAGCUUCAUCAUGAAUAAUGGCAUCCAUUGCUGGAGGACGAUUCCUAAACUUGCAGGUUAGUUUAGUCUCUCUCCAAUUUUUUGAGAGUCAGAUUAGUAGACACUGAUUGGAUGGUGUGAUGAGUUUUAUAGGUUUGCUGAGAUGUGGCAAGAGUUGCAGAUUGAGGUGGAUCAAUUACUUGAGGCCUGAUGUUAAGAGAGGCGGUUUCACUGAGCCGGAGGAAGAUCAAAUCAUUCAACUUCAUUCACGUCUUGGCAACAGGUCGCUAAUAUACAUUCAGUAAUGCUAGAGUUACAAAGAAAAGUUCGUGAUUUGAAAUGAGCCACUUUUUAAAAUAUGCACUGCACGUUACUGUAGCAGCGUCCAGCAAGAAAGUUCUUGUAUUUUUAUCAAGUCCUGAAAGGUUUUGGAACUUCCUUUUUGCGGUUACAGAUGGUCCAAGAUUGCUUCGCAUUUUCCGGGUCGCACCGACAAUGAGAUCAAGAACCAUUGGAACACCAGAAUCAAGAAGAAGCUGAAGCUUCUCGGGCUAGACCCAGUGACCCACCAGCCGAUUCAAGAAGACGAAAACAAUGCACAAGAGAUCGUAAACGAGACAGACGUGGACCCGAAUUCAAUUACAGAAGGAAGCUCGCACAGUGAUGAUAAACCCACGGUAUUAGAGGCUGAUCAAGACAAGGUGGAGGCUUUUUCAAUGGAGGAUGAGAUCGGACUAAUGACGUUCGAAGAAACUGCCAACCUGCUGGAGAAUUUCGAGUGGUUGUGUGGAAGCUUCAAUGAAGAUCAAGAAGGGUCACGGAGAAAUCAGCAAGAAAUGGACACCCAUGUUUCGCAGAGUUCAUCAUCUUCUGUGGAAGAUUCUCAUUUGCUUCAGCAACAUCAGCAACAACAGCAGCAACAAUGGGUUGAUAGCGGGGAGUCUGUAGUGUCAUGGGAUGGGCUUGAUUACUUAGAACAAGAGCUUUUCUUCUUGGAAAAUGGAGAGUUACCAUGAACAUACUACACACUUUUUUCCUUCUGUUUUGUGAACUUCGUAAUUUUUCAUCACGUCGUCGAAGAUUGGAACACGUACCGAUUGUGAUAGCUACUAGUGUCUACUUUUUACUUCAUUACGCUUCUUCAUAUCACGGGUCCUCUCUUUGUACUUGAUUAAAAUGCAAAAUCUUUAGUUAUGUACUCCAAGACUUUCGUUUUCUAAUUUUAUUAGUAUGUCUUCAAAGCACUUGUUAAAUCUUACUAAGUAUACUUUGAAAAUGUAUAAAUCCAUCAUGUUGAUUUGUAAGAAUAUUAGUACUUUUAACUCGAAUCAAUGACUAUAGGUCGAAUGUACAUACUUUGCUCGUUUUGCAUUUGAUGCACCAAAUUCGCUCAAUCCCACAUGUGCAAAACUCUUAUAUCGAAUUAUGCAAGUAAACAUGUACAAAUAAAAAAAAUCAUGCCCAAUACCAGUUCCCUUUGAAUUGAUAAGGAAAGAUUAGAUAUUUAGUAAUCAAUCGACCAAAUUAAAUCCGCAUCCAUAUCGAAGAAACAAGCAGUCUAAACCCUAACUAGAAGGGCAAACAAAUCGUGAAACACCGCCUCCCCGGCAUCUAAAACGGUCUCCCUCAUGAACUGUCGUCGAUCGAUUUUUAUGCAAGAUUUGCACAAUAUCGUGAGGACAUAACCAUCCUCCAAAUGGGUCAAGGUAAAAGGCGUGCCGAGCCGUGGAAAAAGAUGUUGAGAGUCCAUAUCUUCGCAAACGAAGGGCGAUGUGGAUUUGUCAACCACUAGUCUAUAUUUUUCUCAGGUACAUUUCUCCGGCAUCAUAGUAAAUGCAGCCGACUACGUAGAUUUCCUCGAAGAUAUUACGCUUGCUUCGUUGGAGAUUUGGAGCCGAAAAAAUUCACGAAACACCGCCUCCCCGGCCGCCUCCCACAUUUAAAACGGUCUCUCCUCAUGAACUAUCUUCGAUCGACUUUUAUGCAAGAUUUGCACUAUAUCCCGAGGACUUAACCAUCCUCCAAAUGGGUCAAAGUAAAAGGCGUGCUGAGCCGUGGAAAAAUAUGUUGAGCGUCCACAUCUUCGCAAUCGAAGGACGAUUUGGAUUUGUCAACCACUAAUCUAUGAUUUUCUCAGGCACAUUUCUCCGGCAUCAUGGUAAAUGCGGCCCACUACAUAGAUUCCCUCGACGAUACACGCUUUGCUUGGUUGGAGAUUUGGAGCCGAAACGGCAGGAGGAGUUAGGUCGUGCCUAGCACCUAGAAAAUCGGAAGCCGCUCUCCCUUCUGAACGCAAAAUGUCAAUUCGCUCUUGAUCACCUCCGCGUGCAUGCACCUAAACCCUAGACAAGUAACAUAGCGUCUCCAAUAAUUUGGCACGAUCCCCCACCCCCGAAACCCCCGCGCAAUCAGUCAGUCAGAUUGAAUGUACGUUAGAAUACAUAAAACCAAACAGCUUGUGCUGUUGUUAUGCGCCAUUGUUUAAAGAAGCACGGUGCCCAUGUAGAAAAAUGUUUUUGCAAUGAUUUUCCAUCCUUAAUAAGACGUACCAACUAAUCCCGGGUUGUAACUGGACACGAGAAGAAAAUAGAGGAAGAAAUCAGUGAGCUGGUUCAGAAUAUUAUCAACAUUUCAAUUUUCCAAUGGGCUCUCCUCGUCCCUCCAGAUGCGACCGUUCAAGCAAAUCUUCCGGUAGGUACUCCGGCUAAUCAUGUAUGCGCAGCUUCCAGCUAAUUUCACAUAUAGAUGUAUUUGACUUCUUUGCUUACAUAUAUAUUUUUUUCAGCUGAGCUAUCUUUAUUGUUCUUUCUAUUUGGCUCCAUAUGGUUACAAACUUUAGUUUUUGUAGGAUCAUGUGAAAUGGUCCCUUCCAAUGAACAACUGACCGAUUACACAUGAACAUUGUAAGCAAUGCUUUCUAUUUUACAUGUGAUGGGCUUUGUUUUGUGUUUUGUGCCGGUGUCGGCUGCUAAAGUGCUCAUUAACCGUGGCUUUGGUAGCGUGAAGACUUGAUCGCAUCAAGUCAAGCGUGCAAUUAAUCUAAAACACCCAUGUGAUAAUAAUCUACUAUUGCCUGCAAUUAAUUUAAAAUGAGGUAAUGUUCAGGAUAGUUGCAUAUUAACUAAUAUACACACCGACCCUAAUGAUAAUUAUUUCGAUGUGGUUUUGGCUCUUUGCUAGCAGCAAGCAAGAGCAAACCCUAAAUCAAUGUAUUAGACUAUAUAUAUUUCAGUUGAGCUAUCUUUAUUAUUCUUUCUAUUAGUCUCCAUAUGAUUAGAAACUUUAGUUUUUGUAGGAUCAUGUAUGAUGGUCCCUUCCAAUGAACAACUGACUGAUUACACUUGAACAUGUGAAGUAAUGCUUUCUUUUUCACAUGUUAUGGGCUUCGUUUUGUAUCGGUGUCAGCUGCUAAGGUGGUCAUAACCGUGGCUUUGGUAGCGUGAAGACUUGAUGGCAUCAAGUCAAGCAUGUGAUAAUAAUCUACUAUUGCCUGCAAUAAAUCUAAAACACCCAUGUCAGGUUCAGGACAGUUGCAUGUUAACAAGUGUACACACCGACCCCAAUCAUAAUUUUUUCGAUGUGGUUUUGGCUCUUUGCUGGAAGCCAGCAAGGAAAGAGCCAACCCUAAACCAAUGACAAAGCUCCUGCGAAUGCGAAGAUGCCAACUGCGAGAUUAACAAGUGGUCCAAGAAUAAGAAAGAUAAGUGGGCAGGUCUUAAUUUAACUUCCUUCCUUGUACUUGCUAGUGUUGUGAUUACAUAGUUCAUUGCUGAUGCAGAUAAUUUGACGUCACGGUGUGUAAGUAGCUUUCGAUAUGACUGACAUGAUCAUAACAUGUGAGGGAACGACAUCCUAUCGAGUACCGGGUCAUAGGUGAAGAUCGUAAUGGAAUUCAUCUUCGUUCGCAUUAAUUACUUGCACCGAAAAUAGAUUGUUUUCAUCUGUACGCCUAUCGACUACGAGGUCUAAGAGGAGGAUUGAUAUUCCACUUAGGUCCAGUGUGUCUAAUUUCCCGACAAAUGCAUUGUGGUAUGAUACGGGCAUGAUCGGUUCUUCAAACUCGACAUAAUUUCACCCGUUGGACGACAACAGACUAUGCACCGACAUACAACGAGGUCGACAAAGAUAUGGUUGAUUUGAUCCAUCUAUGGAUUAAAUUUGAUUAUUCUACUUGUUGAAGAUGACUUAUAAAAAAUGAAAAUAAAAAAGUUAGGGUAAUCGUGACACAUUUAUUCUACACUUUUUUCUGUGGCACAAAAAAUAUAAAUUUAUAUGUGCAUGACACAUUUACUCUCCAUUAAAGUUUUUUUUUUUAAUGAAAACCGUCAAAAAUCUGUCUACAUAAAUGCUAGAAAGCAAACGAUAUUGACAUAGCGCUCAUAUGACUUAAGGAAAAAAAAAACAUUGUUUUAAUUGAAAAAUCAUUUUAAACAAGAUCUUGAAAGAAAGUAAAUGUAUUACAUAAAUACAAAUUUGGAGUUUUUUUUAUCAUAAGAACAAAUUUAGAGUAAUUGUGUCAUGGUGAGCAUAAUUUAGGAUUUUUGAUAUCACAAUAUAAAAUUUGGAUAAAUGCGUGAUAGUAGGCAUAAUUUAAGAUUUUUUUUAUAACCUUUUCGCAUACAAAUUUAGCUGUUAGUAAAUAUGUUCGACGGCCUUUUAGGCUCUGUUUGGUAACGUUUCUAUACCUCCCAAUUUCUGUUCUUUUAUUUUUCAGAACAAAAAAAGAAUAGAAAUCAGUUUGGUAAUGUCAAUUAAUCUUUCUACUUCUUGGAAUAGAAAAGUGGCUGGGGAAUAGAUUUGGAACAAAAAUGAGAUGUAAAAAAAAAUAGUUUCUUACUCCCGGGAAUAAUUUCUAGAAAUAAGUUAUUUUUUCUUUUAUUUUUUUAUUUUCUUCUUCCUUGUUACCCCUCGCUUCUGGCCAUUGCCCCUGUUAUCUAGCCAUCACUCCUGCCGACCAUCGGAUGAUUGCCGUCGGCUGACUGCCUAUCGCCCUAGCCUAUCGCCUUUGCCGUCCGCCGCUCGUUGGUUGAUAGUCGACUGCCUCUUGCCACUCAUCGAUCGACCGUCGGCCACUGACCUCCCUUGUCAAUCAAUCGCUGUCGCCACCGCUCGCCAUGGCCCACCGCCAAUGACCAUUGAGGCCACCACUCACCGAUUGGCUGACAACCAACCGUCGUCAUUGUCAAUUGCUGCCAUCCACCGUCGAUGAUUGUUGAUGCCACAACUGAUCGUCAUUGCCCACCACCAACCCCACCCGCGGAUGACUGUCGACGAUGCUGAUCGCCGCCCAUCUUCAUCGACAACUGUUGCCGAUGCUGGCCUUUGGCUAGCCAUGAUCGGCAGUCGACUGCAACGGUUGGUGGUGGCAGGCGACAGUCGAUAUCAUUGGCAGCUGGGUUGGCAGCAGGCAGUGACAAUCAGCGAUGACGGUGGCGGCGGCGAUAAGGAAGAAUAAGAAAAAAUUUAAAAGAAAAUCUACAUUAUAAAUCAUAUCAAAUACAUUCUUAUUAUUUUUCAUUCCAAAAAUAUAAAUUUUAUAUAGUUACAAAAUGUGCUUUUAUUGAGAAAUUGUUAUCGGAAACAAAAAAAGUAAAAAAAUAUUUUUGUAAAGAAAUUAUUUCCUGAAAUAGAAGCGUUAUCAAACGGGAGCCUAUGAGACACGCCUACAUGAAUUAUUAUUUUUUUUUUUUGGUAAAUGGUAAGAAUAUAUUAAGCAAAGGACAAAAAUACAAGAAUUCGAAGCCAAAGCUCACACUCUAGCUGCGGGAGAACAGGGAGAGUGAGAGGGAGCCAAAUCAAAUGAAACAAAGGCAAAAAGAACAAGCAAAACAACCCACGGCACUACAAACUACCACAAACCAGACCACCAACUCUCAAUCAAAAGGCGAAGAACGGAGGGGUAUUAGGAAGAUGUAGCCGAUUCAAACACAGAGGGAUCGAAUCCCCAGCUUCUCUGGAGUCUUUUGUUUCUUGGAGUAGGUGGAGCAUUAUUAAACAUAAGAGCCUUGUCCUUCACAACCUUGAUUAGGUGAUUUUUCAUAGCUGGGAUCACCAAGGAAUCUUCCAGAAAAAUGAUGGAAAUCCUCUUCUUCCAAAUAAGGUGGCACAUGGCCCCGAAAGAGAAACGUGCAAUACUAUGAAAGAAAUCCUUUCCAGUUAGAAAUUUUAAUGCCCAAGCUAGGUUAUCCACCCACGUCCUAUUCCUCCAAGGAAGAUUACACCUAGAAGCCCAAAAAUAUGCAAGAGUUGCGGAGGUCUCACAUUCAAAAAACAAGUGAUCAACGGAAUCAGGAAUGGAACUGCAGAAGGCGCACACUGAAAACUCGAUUCUUCCAUGAGAAAGGAGUAAGGUUUGAGUUGGCAGCCGAUAUUUAGUGAUUAGCCACAUAUUAAAUUGAAACCUAGGGGCAAUCGCAUUAUCCCAAAUAAAAGAAGCCCAAGGCACACGUUCCUUUUUAAUCCUGAUAGUAUUCCAGGCGAAAGCAACCGAAAACGAACCUGAAGGGUCAUUGUGCCAAGUGAAGCGGUCAUGGGUCGUGGAGCGAUCGGGAAUAGGGAUGCCCCACGUUGCGAGGAAGAGUCUGAGCGAUCGACCUGCAGGGGAGAAGAGAUCGGCCACCACUGCAUAGCUUGGAAUGUCGAAACUCGCCAUAAGAUUCGGUGGUACAAACAAAUGUAAUGGUCCACAAGUUAGCCAAUGGUCGUGCCAUAGAGAAACUGAGUAACCAUGACCAAUCUGCCAAAAGAAAGACGACCUGAAAAAUCUUCGAAUCUGCAGAAUUUUUUUCCACGUCCACGAACACACAGUGGGUUGGGAAGAAUUCCAAAAAUUGUCCUUCUUUAAGAAAUACGAGUGAACCCAGCGACACUAUAGAGACUCUUUAUCAGUGAAGAGAAACCAAAUAUAUUUAAGCAAGGAGGCUGUAUUGCAAUCUUUCAGCUUACGAAUACCUAAACCACCUUCCUCCUUAGGGAGACAAAUAUCAUCCCAAGACACUUUGGCCCAGCCACGACCAAGUGAGGUGCCCUUCCACAAAAAUUGUCUUAACAACUGUUCAAUCUUAUCAAUGACAGAAGCAGGCAAAGAAAAAACACUUGCCCAAAAGGCCUGGAUAGAAUGCAACACUGACCUUAUAAGUUGAAGCCUUCCUGCAAAGGAUAAAAAUCGAUGGUUCCAAGAUUGAAUCCUUGCGGUGAUACGAUCAAUCAGCAUAAUACAAUCACCUUUCCCGAGUCUAGAAGAGAUGAUAGGAACUCCCAGGUAACGAACUGGAAGUGUACCUUCCUGGAAGCCAAAUGCAAGCCGAAUAUUAUCUCUAAUAGAAACGGAACCGCCCGAGAGAAACACUUCGCUCUUGUUUUUGUUCGGAUUCAGCCCACUCCAAGAUGAGAAAAUGUCUAAACUUCUCUUAAGCACAGUAGCUGAGACCCAAUCAGCUUGGCAAAAAAGAAAAACGUCAUCGGCAAAAAAAAGGUGCGAGAGCUUCACUUUCUUGCAUCUCCAAAAGUAUUUAAACUCCUUCACCGACGAACGGGCAUUUAAAAUCCCUGAGAACACCUCCAUAACAAGCGUAAAUAGAUAGGGCGACAAGGGAUCACCUUGGCGAAGUCCACGACCGCCAGAGAAAAAACCAUGUAAUUCACCAUUAAUAGAUACAGAGAAUUUAGGCAUUCUAACACAAACCAUAAUCAAGCGGGUAAUCCAAUCAGGAAACCUGAAAGCCAGUAGCGUGAGUUCCAAGAAAUCCCAAUCGACGGUAUCAUACGCCUUUUGAAAAUCGACUUUUAUGGCACAUUUCGGAAGAUAUGGCUCUAAGUGGAAACCAGAAAACAAUUCCUGAGCUAGGAGAAUGUUAUCUCUGAUUCUUCUACCUUUAACGAACGCGUUUUGGGAAGAGCUAAUCAAAUCAUUUAACACAACAGCCACUCGAUUGGCAAGGAUUUUUGUAAUAACCUUAUAAAUGGUGUUACAACACGCAAUAGACCUAUAUUCUGUGACAGCAGAAGCAUUCGGAACUUUGGGAAUCAAAGCAAUGAUAGUGUUGUUUACCUCUUUUAGAAGAUAUCCUGAAGAAAAGAAGUCCUUAACUGCUUCUAAGACGAGUGACCCGACUAUUCCCCAAUUGGUUUUGAAAAAUUCAACAGAGAAACCAUCAGGACCCGGGGCUUUACCCCUUGCAAGAGAGAAAAGGGUUUCCUUUAUCUCGACAUCAGUAACUGGACAGGCGAUAGAGCAGCAUUGCGCAUCCGAGAGUGGCCGGUGGAUGAAUGUCUUCAACUCUUGAAGAGAAGGCUUAGAAAGACCCACCUGAGGUGAAAGCAACUCAGAGAAAUAGGAUACAAAUACUUGUGGCACAAGAAAAGGGUCUGUGAUGAUGGAGCCGGAUGGAUCUUUCACUGAAAGGAUGUGGUUAUUGAGUUGUCUAUUCUUCAUAGAGUGAUGAAAGAACUUGGUGUUUUGAUCACCCUCCUUUAGCCAUUUCACCCGAGACUUUUGACAGUAAAAUGAUUCUUCUUGGAGGCGUAGUUCAACAAAAGCACGACGCUGAAAUUUCUCAAGAUCUGCAAGAGAAGAAUUAGCGGGAUCAUCCUGAAGACCAACUUGAGUGCUGCGAAGAGCUUCUCUAGCUUCCGCCGUUCUCACCGAGAUGUUCGAGAAAGAUUCUUUGUUGAGGGUCUUGAGGCAACCUUUUACAAUCUUCAGUUUAGACACAAGGCGAAACAUUGGUACUCCCCACACCGGGCUAUCCCAAGCAUGAUUGAUAAUUUAUGAGAAAUCCGGGUGUUCUGACCAAAAGUCAAAGUAUUUAAAAGGCUUUCUUCUUAGCACCGGAUCAAGAACUCUGACAAUCAUAGGAGAGUGAUCGGAGAUCCCCGGGUUAAGAAAAGAAGCUUCAGAGAAGGAGAACUGAUGGUUCCAUUUAGAGUUAAUCAGAACCCUGUCAAUCUUACGCAUCUUCCUUGCAGCACCGAACGAUGUAGACCAGGUAAAACGGAGGCCAACAUAACGAAGAUCCACCAAAUCAGUCCGAGCUAAGCAUAACCGAAACUCAUCAAAAUUAGGAACCCAAGAAUUUGAACCCCCAACCCUAUCCGAGGGGUCUCUUAUGGCAUUGAAAUCACCGGUCACAAGCCAAGCUGAGUCCUGCAAGACUUCAUUGUAAUGGAUAAGAUCAUCCCAUAAGGGUCUAUGUCGCACAAAAGUAUGAUCUCCAUAGACUGCCGAAAUGUAGCAACUCAUGCUAGAGAUGUUGAAAGUAAGGAAACCAUGAAUAGCUUGCGCAUUAGAAGAGAGGGGAUCAAAAGCAACAACAUCGGGGUCCCACCCGACCCAUAUUCUACCUCGCGGAGAGUAGUCAUAAUUAGCCGUCCACUUCCAUCCUCUUAAUAAGGUCGAGGAGAUGGAGUCAAACAAAGGUUCGGGGACAUGUGUCUCAAAAAUGCCAAUCAAGUACAAAUUGUUCGAGUAAACAAGCUUCCUGAUCUCAGCUCGUCUAAUAGGACCAAGAAUACCCCUAACAUUCCAAAACCCAAAAAACAUAUUUACAAAAGGAAGGGAGAGAAUCACCUCUUUUUAGAGGCCUUACGACUAGUAGAGGUCGCAUUGGUGUUCAUCGAAGGGGGCGGGUCCGGUGGGAGAAGCAACAGUUGCUCCUGGAGACUUUCUGGCCUUACAUCUGAAAUCUGUGCUCGAGGAGAAGAAUUGAUGGAAAGUAAAUCUUCAUCGUCCAAAGCAGCAUGUAAACUGGAACUACCAAUUUCAUCGGAGCACUGAGCAGUAUCUGAGUGGGAAAUCGGGUGUGACAUUUUUACACGACCAUCAUGCACCUUGGAAGGGGCCUUCAAGAGGCCUUUAGAAAUCUACAUAGGUGGAAGGAGUGGUGGUUUAAUUGGUGCCGAAGUCUUCAAUUUCAACUUCAACUGCUGCCUACCUUCACUAGGUCUAGCUAAACCGAAAGAAUCCGCCUCUUUAGUUGCAGGUUGCUUUUUCUUCUUCCCUUUUACUUGUUGCCAUCCCUCAUCAACCAAAGAUGAAUUAGUCACAAAAGGAGUCGAGGCAAGAGGUAGGGGCACCUUGCGAGCAACAGCAGAGUUCGCUUGAGGAGCAUUAUGUUCAUCAAUAGGGUCUGCAAUCAUGUGCCGAUCUGAAGUGGUCUCCCCUGCUGGGCAAUGUCCAGCAUCCGGCCUAUUAAUAAAUAAGGGAUUGUCUCGCGUACUGUCUUUAGUCUGUACAUGCUGAGGGGGAUUUGCAUGACCUGGAGACAAAGCAGGAGGAGAAGGGGCCAAAGACACAUAUUGAGGGAUUGGAGGUGUAAUGUUCAAGGGUUGUUGAACAUUCUUUUCAAUAGAACACGUAGCAACUGGAUUGCAUUUAUGGCAAAAAAUGCCACACCCUGCACAAGUCGUGGGUCUCCAUUCAUAUUCUAUAUCAACCACGCAUGAUUCACCAUGAUGAACCACCUCAAUUGUUUCACACGAAGGCUGCUUUGCUGUGAUUUCUACACAGACUCUCGCGUAGGCUAACAUUUUCAUCUGUUCCGUUCUUUGGUCUACAUAGAGCGGCCUCCCAAUGGCGCUAGCAACUUUGCUAAUUGCCUGAGAGGAAAAAAAAGCAGCAGGAAGAUUUAUAAGUUUUACCCACACAGGAACGGUUAGAUGAGCAUCCAUCCUCAGCUCUAAGGCCGGCCUCCAUUGUUGAAGAACGAUAGGCCCUUUUGAGACGGUAAAAUGCCCACCUUCUAAUACCUUCCUUCGAAACUCAUUGUCCGGAAUGUGGAAAAAAGAAAAAUCCAUUUCCAUUGGCCAUAACUUCAACCAAGUUCACGCCCCAAACUUUCUUGAAAGUAGCUUCAGUGACUUUGAAGGGAAUUCUCCUCCCAAUAUAGUAGCCAACAAGACAAUCUUGAAGUUUAGGAUCGGCGACUUGAAGAUCUUCGUCGGUCAUUUCAAUAACUGGUUUAUUAUCAACAUAAGUUGGAGGGCAGAACUCCAAAUCGUAUCCUUUGGUUGACACCCUAGCCACAGCCACACUCGCCCAAGUACGAAGAUUGGAGCUCGUUGAGGUUGCUCCUUGAGGCCGUUUAGAACCCGACCUGCCUCUACUCCUACCCCUCGGCCCACCUUGAGCUUGGGUAGAUCGAGCACGCGCAGAAGCAUCAUUCAAACCAUCAGGGUUCUGGGCGGUAACACCCCUAUUCUCAUUCACGGGACCACCAGAAGGGGAUGGACCAUUACCGAGAUGGGGAAGGCUACGAAUUCCAGACCCUGGCCCCUCAUUUUGGGCCAAAGCCAUUCCGGGAAUCAUAGCUGCACAGAAACGAAACCGCAGAAACAGAGCCGGAAAACCCUAGCUAAAACCGGCCAUCGAACCCAAGGAGGAGCACAUACCAGGCCGAGCUUGAAUGGGUUUUGAAGACGCCUUCAAGGCGCCACAGAUCCCCGAAAAUCGGCCUCAACGAACGCUCAACACUUCGGGAAUCAGCCACGCAAGAAAUCGGAUGAACAGAGAAAAACUCGCCAAAGCCCUUUUCUCUUUCAAACUGCUACAGUGCAAAGGGUUCUCCCCGCCUACAUGAAUUAAUUGAUCGGUCAGCAGACCUGCUGCUCUGUUCAUGGGCCUGGGCCUUAUGUUGGGCCCGAAGAUUUGAUAUCGGGCAUAGUAAAGUACUCUACACGUGUGGACCCGGCCCGUUCACUGUUUCGCCUGGUUCGACCCGAUCGGGCUCGUUCGGUUCGGCCGCAGGUCACCAGGCAGCGUUCGCCGUUCAGCGUCCGCGUUCCUUGGUUCCUCCGACCGAAUUCCGUCGUCGGGUCGUCUGCAAUUUCGAAGCUUUUUCCAGUUUUAAGCUCGCCCAUGUCGGAAUCUUUCCUGCGCCGACACUGACAUCGUAGAAACCGAACGCGGAACACGGUCUUCGAAGCGUGGAACUUUUGAGAGAGAGAGAGAGUCGUGACCGAGGAAAAGCAGUAUGAUAUCCCUGCAGCGAGCGGCUAAAUCCAUCCACACGGCCGUCGCUGCCCCGCGCCUCUCUAAAUUCUCUCUCCACGCUCCUAAAUGCGUAAGCUUUUUUGCUCACCUUGUCCUCUCGAAAUCUCGUUAUUCUUGAUCUCGCGUUCUUGGUUUUGAGCAUGUCGUCUGAUUGUUCCGAGUUCCAUUGCUGUUGGGUCGAUUCCAUUGUGUGGUGGAGAUGGGUUUGGGUUCAUCCUUUGUGUUCCACAGAAACGUAAAUGGGCCAUAACGUGAAUGUUGGUUGAGGGCAGAUUUUAUGUAGGGACCUUGGACCUUGAUUUAUAAGGUGGAAUCUUGUGAAAUGAGCAGUUGGUGGAUUGGUGAACGGUUCGGGACUUUGUUAAGAUCAGUGGGUUGCUCAAGUCAUUGUCCUUCUCGGAGAGCACAAGUCAUAUAAUCUCGGGUCGCCUUCAUAAUAGAGGAUGUCAAAACUAUAAUAGUUUGGUGCCACAUCGAGAGAAAAGUGAUAAGUAGUAAGCUAUCAUAGUUUUAUUUCCCUAAAGUUGUGGUUUAGGUUGUCUCUGCUGAAUGAUGAAUAAUAAGCAUUUGAAGCGUGGUUUAAGCAUUCAUAAACUUCUCUAGGUGUUUCUGUGGAAAAAAAACAGAUAGCGAUUUGCUAUGCUUUUAUUGCUACACGAAUGUCAUACAAACCUGGACUGCAAGCUAUCAGUAAUCUGUUGCUUAUGGUUCAGUAGUUCGUGUUGUUUUUCCUGUUACCCCUGUAUUGUAUCCUUAGACUUGUUGUAAGGUGUUGCACAACAAUGCACAAGCAAGCUUCAGUUUAUAUGUUAACUAAUGGUUGAGGAUUGGCAGAAAGCUUCAGUUUAUAUGUUAACUAAUGGUUGAGGAUUGGCAGAAAUGCAUCCUAUCAAGCUGCUUAUCGCAUCAAGUAAACUUGCUUAUCCAAAUUUUAUGUAGUGUGUUUUCACUUCAAAUAUGCUUGUCCUAUUUCAGGUGGAGGUGGAAUUCACUAAUGGUAGCACAUUUAGGUUGUCCGCUGAAUUUCUCAGAAUUUGCAGUCCUGCUGCAGAUGGCAAGAUGAGGUCUAUAGGAGGUGAAAAGGUUGAUAUUCAAAAUAUAUGCAUUAAUCUCUUGUGUAUUCAGCAAUGCAACAAUCUACUUUCGUUUACAAAAAGAGAAGAAUACAUGCAUGCAUUCUCUUAACAUGUGAAACUUUUUUUUUUGCUUGCCAUGUGAAGGGUUACUGCAAAAUUAAAGUGAACAACUUAGCCAUAUCUACCUCUAUGAUGGUUGUUCAUCUCGCAGCCUUAGUUCGUGUUCACAUUUGUGGGGUCAAAUUAACUUCAUCACGAAGACUAGAAUGAUGGAUUCAAAUAUUCUGUCUUGUGGAUCAGAUAAGUUUGUCGAUAAAUAUUACAAUCGUUUACUUGGCAGAUGCUAGUAUUGGAAUAAGUUCUACUGUUCAGUAUGUUCUCUGUUCAGAUCUGCGCUUGAAAAAUUGAACCUGAUGGGAAAGGCUAUCCUGUGUUGCUUGCACUUUUCUUAUAAUAAAAAAACCGGCAGUGCUACUCUGGAGUCAAUAGGAACUUGUUCUGAUGAUAAGAGACAAGUCUCUAUCAACUGAGUUAACUGAACCAAAUCUGUUCUUCUCCUAAGAUCAUAUCACAAUUUGGAAAUUCCUGACCCUUUGGAUAACUGAUUUCUUUGUUCUCAGAUUCUAGGUGUUUCCUGAGCCACCAAUUCCUAAGAUGGUGCUCAUGUUAAUGGGAAAAGUAUGAAAGGCUUUGAUUGCGUACAUAGUUAGCUGAUGGACCAGUAUUUUGGGUUAUAGCCUGCAUGCAAGGAUGGAUUUAGUGGGAAGAAGGUUUUUUACCACUGUGCUAAGUGAUGCACACACCUUUGGACUUCAACAAAGUAGAGAGUCUUUGCAACCUAGGCAUAUUGAGUUGCUAAUUUCAGUUAACUUCGAUUAAUUUCUGUACAUAUGUUGUGUUAUACCAUAGGGAAAUUGGCUAUCCUAUUUGCCCAUAAAUAAACAAAGAAACGUCAAAAGUUAGCUAAGAUUGUAGUAGGAGACCAACCCAAAAAAGAAAAAAAAGAAAAAAGAAAAGAGAAGAAAAAAGGAUCACAGUAAGAAAUCUUCCCUUAUGUAUUGGCCUCCUAAAGAUCGGCAUUGAAUCUGUCCAGAGCUGAACUGAUUUUGUUUUCUUUGAUACCAUCAUUUCAUUUAAUGUGUUACCUCUCGAGUCUCACAGUUGAUAUGAUUCUUAUGUGGCCAAAAAACAUGCCUGUUGUUGUUCAUGCUCCAAUAUUAUUUGGCUCAAGCGCUUCAUGUUCCUCAUCAGGUAAUAUUUGGGCGUCGUCAUGUUGGAAUUAUGAAAGUCGAACCUAUAGGAAACUACGGGGCGAGGUAAUUUCAGGAUGGUUCCUCAAAAGGAAAAAUUGUUACAGCUUGAAUGUCUUGUGAUUUUCCUACUAAACCUAGAUUCUGUAAUCUUAAUGGUGCAGGAUAAUUUUUGAUGACUUGCAUAAAACUGGGAUCUAUACAUGGGACUAUUUUUAUCAUCUUGGAAGCAACAAAUUCACCCUCAUGAGAGAUUACAUUAAUACGCUCAAGAAGCAUGGACUUAGCCGGGAUCCUUCCAGAAGAAAAUGAUAGCGACUUUUCUUCCUUGGUUGUAACUGGUAGUUUUCAUGGAAGUGGUCAUUUCAGCAAGGGAUAAGGUCAACUCUUCGAUUCAAUUACUUGCAUGCGCUGCUCAAGAGUAAGAGCUGAUUGCUUGAAAAUGGAAAUGGAAAUUUAUUAUAUAGACAAGUGAAGAUUGUAAUUUUAGGCAUGUUGGGCUUCAGUCUGCACCGAUGAGGUAUCCGAAACAGGUUCUUUCAGCUUGUGCUUCUCUGGCCUCUUGGUUGGUGUGGUUUUGAAGAUUUUUAAGUCUUCUCUUAGAUUCAAGGGAAAAUCUCCCAGUUCUGAAUUUUGACAAGAAAGCUUGAUAAUUGUUCUGAUUCAGUACAAUCGGAAUUAAAAAUGGUUGUAGAUGAAAAUGGAUCUCCUUGGAGCCAUGGAAAAUGUAAAGGGAUUGCAUUGGCAGAAAAGUUCAAGGAGAUCGAAGCAGAGGUAAUAAAAAUGGUGUAUUGUCUGUAAUAUCAUAGAAAAUUAUGUCUACAAUCAAUGCAAUUUGAGUACUAUAUUCUCAAAUGCUAAUAUAGAUUUUGCAAGAGAAUGUUGUCGUCUAGUUUGUUAGAGCAUUUGGUAUGACUUUCCUUUUCUCAGAAGAAUGUAGUGAUAAACUAGCAGUUUGCACGGUUACAUCACGUUUGAGUUCAUGGUCUAUGUUGUAGUGGAGGUAACGUAGUUUAUAUGUAUGUAGCAUUCAACAGAUUGAUGCAUUCCUUAUGUUUCUUGGUGGAAGUUUACGCUUCAAGGAAAAGAAAAUUUAUGUGCUUAGGUCCAACUCACAGACUAAAUCGGGAAAAAAUAAAAAGAAUCAAGUUUCCUUCUUAAUGCAUUGGCCGUUCAAGAAUUUAAAGAUGUUGGGUAUGAUAAAUGCGUAACUUACUUCCAGAUCUUUGGUAGUUGGUAUAAUCGCCAAAGGCCUUUACAGAUUAAACUUGUGCAAAUCCUCACGAACAGAAUUAGCUCCAAAGUAUAACAGUGGAGGAUUGAUGGUCCUUGUUCUGUUAUGCGGAGGUUGACAUUUCAACUGCUGGUGGUUCAGCCGUUGACAUCUUUGUCCCCUGAAUCAGCGGUGCUGGCCAUGGCCAUUGGGCACCCACAUGACUUUAGCCCGCAAAAGAGUGAGAAAAGUAUCGCUUUAGACUAAUCCUAUAGGUGAUGCGGGCGGCGAAUCGAGUUUAACCCUCGAGCAAGAUGUGCAUGCUUGCACGGGGAAUGUGUUUUUUUGGGCGGGAUCUCGCGUGGAGAUCCCUCUGCUUCCUAAUUCGAGCUGAAUACGUGCGAACUCUUCGACUGAGUUCUGGCGCGGACUGCCUGAUCCUGGAUUUAUGUCUCUCUCUCUCUUUUUUUUUUUUUUUAAGCAUUGUGAAUGAGAUAACAAUUUCGUCAACUUGGGCAAUGUUUGUAGUGUGGAACUGUCAAGCAUUUGCUUCCCUGAUCCGCUACUUUCUCCAACAGCAUGACAAAUACAUUCGGUGGGGGCUCCAGAAAGAUUAGCACCAGUCAAGCCAACAGCUUUUUUUUUUCUUUUGCCUUAAAGGAAAAUACUUGAAGAUGUUUGAUGAUAUUAAUAAAGUUUCUAACGUUAACGUCAACUAAGCGGGGCCCAAGCAAGCCGAAAAAGAGAGAAGCACUUGAAAACUAACCGAAGCUUGUUGCAAAUGAGACCCCACUUUUGGGGUGAUAUUAAAAAAGAGCACGCUUCACUUUCAUCCCCAUUGACAGUAGACACAUGAUGAUGAGGUCUACAUUGAGAACGUGGGCUGUGCACCUUUUGCUUUACUUUUGAAUUUCAAAUUCAAUUCAAACAAAAAAAAAGGAAAAAAAAAAUAUCCGAAGAGAGGGGAAACGUCAAUCUUGGUGUUUCCAGUUCCGAGUUUGUAUCUUGUCUGAGGUUUUGCAGCAUUGCUUAAGCCCCAGCCAUGGGAGAUUCAAGCUGUCUCAUGAUGCAGCCCCUGUCUCACCCUUCGGUCUUCACCAAUGAUGCCACUGAGGUAACUCCAGGAAACUGCACUGUGAAUUUAUCUUCCUCCUUUACGUUCUUUUUUUCUUCUUUUGUAUUCAGAUUGUUGUGUUUCAUGUCUAUGAUCAACUUCAUCUGAUCAUUGCAUGAUCAAGAUAAACUUAGCUGGAGGGUUGGUGUAAAAUGAUGCUUUUUCUACUCAUCACACAUUAUAUAGAUAAUUCUUCAUGACUCGUGUUCGUUCGGGUAGUCUGCUAAAAUUUUUGUCUGCUUGAAAUGAAUGAGCAGGUACUUGAUAUAGGAGAACUUUAAGUAUCUAUGGUUAUUGGGAACAUUUGGAUCUGAACUUUGCAUUAAAUGUAGGAAAUCUUCCUUGAUGCAGGGGAACCCAAUUCAUGCUCUCGGGCAGUCCGUCUCAUUUGGCAGGUUCGUGUCAGAAGAGUCCUUGUCAUGGGAGAAGUGGUCAAGCUUCUCUCGGAAGCGCUAUGUUGAAGAGGCUGAGAAGCAUUCCCGGCCCGGAUCAGUCGCAGAAAAGAAAGCCUUUUUUGAGGCUCACUACAAGAAAUUGGCCGAGAAGAAAGCAGCAGCCUUGCUUGAGCAAGGGAAUGCGGACUCAAGCGAUGUUGCAGACUUGGAACGUGAAGGUGAUGUCUUAGACUCUCAAGAAAUUGUCAAUCCUAACCAAGAGGUGAAGAAUUUAAGGCAAGUGCAUAAUCUGGGUGGUGAGAUGGAGAAAAAUGAUAUCUGCGAGGAUGGAGGAUCACAGUUAACUGAUAAAUCCGUCGUGAUUGUGGAAGAUGCCAAGGAUGAAUCAUUGAAAGAGCUUGGAACGGACUCUUCCCCAGCCAAAUCCUCUGAGGUGAGCUUUGCUACUUCUAGCAGUGACGAAUAUGGAAUGAGUGAUUUAAAUGAGAAGGGCCUCAAUUCACAAAUAAAUUCUGUAAGUGACUGUCGCAACGGCUGGUCAUAAGUGAACUCAAGGCUCAUAUGAAACUCUAAAUAUCAGCAGAGGCAGAAAUUCUUGCGGGCACUUGCUCUAAUUCUUAUGAUAAGUCGUGUCGAUUUUUCUUAUUGCCCUGUAUCACAACAAUGAAUACCUUAUUUGUGGACUGCAGGCAGUUAAAAGCACAACAUCGGCAUACCCUUCAGCCACUUCUUUGUCCAGGAAGAGGUACCCUGUUUAUUUUUGUUUGCAGGGUGCAAAUUCUGUUGUUUUGGUUUUAAUGAAUUCGAUCAUUAAAGCAUGGCAAUCUCCAAGAUCCAUUCAACAUUUUCGAGUUGUAUUGCAGGAUACUGGGGGAUCACUUAGCCACUAGAAAGAAAACCGGCCAAAAAAGGGGCUCUCUUGCUGCCAAGUAAGAAGUCUUGACUCUCAUUCCAAAUUUUCACGAUCACAUAGCAUUUCAUUUCACCUCAGGUUCUGCAGAAUAGGAUUAUUGGAGAAUUUAACUGUGUUGACCGUACUUGGGUGGAGUCAGAUAUUGGAAUGUCAUCUCAAGUCUCAGCUUGUCUUACUGAGUUCUGUAUAUAAAAUACUAUGAUGGCAAAAGUAAUAGUUUCCGCUAAUUGCAUCCUCACAGAUGUUCUGCGACCAAAUUUUCCUUUUCUUUUGCGAAGUUGGAGGCCAAAAACAUGUUCAAAUUGGUGCUCAUGUUUCCAUAUAGGCUAAAUAUUGUGAGACAGGAUCAAUUCUCCUGUUGUGCACAUUGGAAUUCUUAAUCAUUAGCGAAAAUAUAUAAGGCUAUAUUAAGAUCAUCUUAGUCACAUUUUUUUCUUAUAGAAGCAUCAACUGCUUGGGGCACAUCCCCAUCCGAGUCCCUGUUAAAGUAGAACACAGUUAUAUUGACUCUCUUAUUCUUUUUACCAGGUUUUCAAAGUUUCUGUCUGCAUGCAAAAGCAAUUCACAAUCAUUAAAGUCAUCUCCACCCAGAUCGAGCACCAAAGGAAAAACUGCAAAAGGCAAGGAGGUAACGCAGCAUCUGUCUCUGUCUCUCUGUCUCUGUCUCUGUCUCUGUCUCUCUCGUGCCAUUUCUAGAAGGUGGAGAGCAGGGCAAAAUCAUGUAGGCUAGGAAAAUAAUGUAAAGAUGUAGCAAGAUUAGAGGUCAUCUUCUCUAAAAUGAGACUUUAUUAAUCUUGAACAUUUUGUAUGAAAAUCAUGCGUAGUAACUUGAUUGCAUAAAAAAGCCAAGCUAAAAAUAUCCCAUUCUCAAGUAGUAGAACUUGCCUUGGCCUUUCUUUUCAUAUUUUUUCUCAUCUAAAGCAACUCGGUUCGGCUUGCGACACUUACAUUUACUUACACAGGACAAAGCAAUUAAAGAACCAAGUAAAUGGAGUCCUGGCUUUUGUUUUUGCGCGGGGAACUCUUCAAGUAUUCACAAAGGCAAAGAAAGAGCAGAGCAUCAGAUGAAAAGUGUAUGUUCCCAGUUCAUGUCGAACGAUUUUCCUUACUCCAGUCUAGACAGUAGACAGAUCUAUUUGGAGCUACGUUUUUUUCCUUUUCCUCUUCAUAUCUAAUUUUGCAGGUCCAACACUCCUUCCCAAUCCAGCAGGAUAGGAAGAAAGCUCAUGACAACAACGAUGAUGCAAAGCACGAUCUCUCCAUCUCCUCAAAGAUCUUUGAUGAAUGAUGAUCACCCAAGACAUGUCAAGGGAAGGAAGGGUCAAGCGCCAACCAAGUCCCGAUGCUUUGGAGGCUUGUUAAUAUACUAUGUCCUAAAAAAUAUUCAAGUGUAAAGAUGUGUAGCUACAACUACUGCCAGAGGAAUUGCACCGAACGCUGUUCAGGAGGCUAAAUUUCUGUCGAACAGAUAGAAGAACAAUCUCUUAUUGUCGUGAAGCAAAUAUCAACCCGAGGAAAAUGCAUGGGCAUGGACUGGAUUGAUUUGGAGAGCUCACUGUAUGCAUAGCCUCAUUUUGUUAGUAGUCAGUAAGCUGUAAAGAUUUGGAUUUUCUGUUCCCAAAACCUUGUGAUUCGUAUGAGAAUUGUCGUCCCUAGUGAUUCGAUCAGAAAUAAAGAGAGAAUGAACGAGUACAAAGCAAAAAUGCGCACUUACUCUUGCCAUGUUCGGAUCGAUUGAGGGAAGUGAACAGAAGCAAUUACUAAGAUUAAUAUCAAGACUAUAAUCCAAGUAACGCAGUAGGAUAUUUUCGUGGGUAUCCAGCAUGACCCUCUCCCUUAUAACAUCCACUCACAGUCCCACCGCAUCGUUUUGCGAAUUAGUUCCUCUGAGCACAAGAGCUGACUCAGUAGAUCAAAAAGACUUCUGCAGAAUUUAAGGAGAAGAGAUCAAGGUGUCUGCCGAGAAGUCAACAGACAAGACACAAAACUUAUGGGCAAGUGUUGUUUGUUUCAUUCUCCUGCCCAUGGCCAAUGGGCUUCAGCCAAACCAAACUCGAAACUUGAAAGAUUCUUGCAGAUCCAGGCCCGGCCUCAUGCUCUCCCGGUCCUGCUCUCUCCUUUCUGUCUCUGCUCAGUGCCGGAUGCGUGCUACUGCGCAGGUCCCAAACCCCCCGUUAAAACCUUUCGCUGCUUCCCAUAGCAAUCUUGCGGUCGUUCUUGGUGCACCCCGGUAAUCCAUCCAUGGCUAAUCCGUCGCUGCUGAUGCGCAAGACCCUGAAAUCGCUUCGAAAUCCCUCCAUCUUGGCAUCCCUGUCGACCUCCCAUUCUCGGCGGCUCAGCUCCGCCGCCCCCGCCCCCUCCCCCUCCCAGACCCAAGCCGACGGCGGCCCGUCUUCGUCCUCCUUCGAGUUCUCCGGCGGCGGCGGCGGUGACAAGGCUGACGACGCGAUAUACGUCAGGGCCCCGAGCCCGAAGCCGGCGUCCGCCUCCGACCCUUCUUCGGUGACGAUGCCGAUGGCGUUCAUGACGGGGUCCAUCGUGGGGAAGCGGUUCUACAAGCAGGUGACGACGAGGGAGGCCGACGACGGGAACGGCUGGACCGUGAUGCUCGAUUACCGGACCCUGAAGACGCCUUCCAAGAGGCCCCUCAAGCUUCCGACCCUCGCUCUCGCCAAGGCCAUCGCUGCUGAGUGGGAAUAUCAGGUGCUUAAGACCCAUCAUUUGUCUCAGCUCAAGUUCAUUCCUUUCCAUGGAUUUUCUUGAAUUUGAAAUGAUUAGGGGGUGUUUAGCUCGUUUCGUCUGUGCAAAGUUGAUCUGGCGUUGAUUCCUUGUAUAGUAGUCUCUAGUUCUGAGAGUGUGCUUCAAGCUCAUAUGGUUGGGGCUGUGUAAUGAAAUGUUGAUCAUUGUAGCAAACAGAUGGGAUAAGGCCUUUCACGAUGCCUCUGAUGAAACUCGCUUGUACGGCACUGGAGAGAGUUCCGCUUACUCGGCCGAAGAUCAUUGAACACCUGAUGAAGAAAUUCAAUCAGGACCUGGUCUUCUGCCGUGCACCGGAGGACAAUGUCUUGACAAGUGAUGUUCACGGUAUGUUAUUAGUAAAUGAGGCUUGUGAGGUCUGAUUUGCUCGAGUAUGUUUUUCAGUUCUUCGAUUUUGAGUUGGCAAUUACAUAUGGAACUUCAUGAGUUUAUGUUCCUCUUUUAACCAAAACUAACAUCGUGCUGGAGCUCGGUGAAAUCUCUGCUGAUGCAUUUCAACCAAAAUGAAUCCAUAGGCCUCGUCCAAUGUUUCAGGGAUAAUAUGCAGAAUGUAUCUCUCUGAACUCUUGAGCGACAUAUUCUGCAAUUUUUUGUUUGCUUAAUGUAUUUUUCAUGUUAACUUAGCACAACCCAAUUAGCUUUGGCUUUCCAUAGCUAUGGUGACCAACUAAUCUGUUACAUAAAUUUAUUAGAUAGACAGGUGGAGAAAAUCGAUCCUUUGCUCAAUUGGUUGAAGUCAGAAUUUGGAUUUCAGCCUGUUCUGUACUCGAGCUUUUUCGGCGGCAAGCAGGACGAGGGAUUGAUAAAGGCCAUUGAGAACCUUUUGAAGAACACUGAUGACUGUGAACUGGCGGCGAUUGAUGCAAUGGCUGCAGCAGCACACUCUCUGGUUAUUGCUCUUGGAAUUUUUCGUGGGAGGUUGCAGAUAGAGGGAGCUAUUGAGUUAAUCAGACUUGAAGAAGACUUCCAGGUACUUCUAUUUGAUUUUUUCUUUGUCAUUGCCCUGUAACUCUCUCGUUGUCUCUCUACCCAUAUACUACCCAUCCUCGCCCACUUUCAUAUACUACUCAUAUGGAGGCAUCGCAUAUAAUGACCGACAUAUGCCUCAGAUUGAGGAUCGCACAGUGAGCCAGACAGCGGCACUUCAGUUCAUGGUGAUAUAUAGCUUUCGAGAGUUAAGUCAUCUUAUAUGUCCUUGCAGGUGGACAGGUGGGGUCUAGUUGAAGGCGGGCACGACCUUGAUAUUGCAGAUCUCAAGGUGCAGAUAUCAUCUGCAGCUGUUUUUCUUGCACUCUCGAGAAGGAUCUAGUUCUCGUACUCCCAAUCCUUGCCCUCUCGGAUUUUGUUAUAACUUUGUAGUGUGAGGCACAGCAUUUGUCGGUUUAGUUUUUUAUACUUGUUCUGUUUAUACGUCCAUGGGCAGCCAAAUAAUUUGUAACAAUAAAAUUUUUGCCUGGUUUGCGAAUUGAGAUAUUAUGCUCAAAUGGUCAAAUCUCCCUGAUCACAUUGGCGCAUGCUUAAGACUCCUAUUGACGUAAAGCACUUGUGCAAGAGACUUCUUUUUGUAUCUAACGACUGUUCUCUCUGUUGAUGGAACUAGAGUCCUGAAAAUCCAAAAUGAGGAAGAAUUUGAAGGAAAAGAAUCGGCAUUCUGCCGUUAUACACUUAAUUUAACUAUACUCGCCUGCUGUUAUGAGAUAUCCAUUAGAAUUAUGUAACCUUUUUUCUUGAAUGUCUCUCCCAUUCAGCAUUUGGUGAGUCUAUAAGCUAGGAAUUCUGUAUAUAGAGGAUUCCCUGCCUUUGGCGAGGGAAGAAGUUGAGCUCUAGAUUUAAUUCUCAACUUUUCUGGCUAUAAGGACUUCUGCUACACGACUCAGCUGACCAGAAGCGCCGACUGCCUCGAGUUGAGGCGCAAAAAAGAAUCAUCCAAAAGAAAAUGAGAAGGCGGGGAGCGUUGUAAUUCAGGGCUCCUCUUUACAGCACUUGACGCAUACAGGUGGCUGCUUCGCGAUGUCACAGUCACAGCAUGCUGUAUCACAGUUAUUGUUGCAUCCUGUCAAAAGACAGAAAUUUUGAGGAUCGGAGAUUGCAGUCCGUGCUUCAAAUAUGGCUCAUCUUAACUCAUCAAAGUGCAUGCAUGAAUUGGAAACUCAACAUGGAAGUGUAAUGGACAAGACCUGGUGCAUUACCUGUUACAGUGACAUAUCGAGUUGUCUCAUAGUCCUGGUAAUUCACGAAUAAUUGGAGCCGAGGACUCGACUGGACAAGAUUCGUUCUGAAAUAGACGGAGAUCAAGAGAACCGCAAAACAGGAUCUUAUGACAUUCAUGAUUUUGAAGAUUGUAAUCUAUUAGCCUGAUGUGAGUUAGCAAUUCGGUGGGUGAAGUUGCCGUCAUUCUCAGAGUUUAUAUAGCACAUAAGAGGUGUAGACAUUAUAUUCAAACAUUCUCUUUUACAUCCAUCUGCAAUGUCAUCCUAAAUCUGUGUGAUCAGAAAUAAUUCGGAUGAUGCUCUUUCAUAUUAUUUUAAUCCUAACUGGAGCUCAGAAACAGCAUCAUUACAAGGAUGUGAACGGCCUUGCUUACUAAGUUUUGGAUAGAUAAUGCCCUUUCAUGUGCUUUUAUAUAAGAAUCUGCUUUAAUAUAUUGUGAGUGCUCUUGAUUGCAUUCCUCCAUUUCAUCAUAUACUAGAGAUGGUUGAGCAACUUCUCUACUAACCAAGCAUUCCAGAAUGAUCCUAACAACUUUCUCGAAAAGGUUUCCAUUCCCUAAUGCAGAAGAAAUGAGAUACUGAAUUGAUACUUAAAACUUCCAUGAAAGGUAACGAGGAGAUAAAAGUACCAAGUAAAACAGAGUCUCAUUCUUCUCGUCAUCAUAUUUUGUGGCUUAAUGAUAAUCAUCCAUUACCGAGAGAUCCAAGAUUCAAGAAGUUAUGACUUAUAUUCCUAACAGGUAAAAACAAGAAUUAUGAUGAGGCCAUUCAUAUGCCCAUACAAUGCCAAAACUGGUUUAGUUUCUAUAGGGAAACAUUUGAAUCUAAAGAAUGAUCAGUCCAACUCUUGCUUCCACUUCCGAAUCACCGGAUAAAAGCUGAUGACCACGUAAACACUGCUUGCCACAACUCGGUGAAAAUAAUCCCAAACAAAGUCUAAAACAAGUAAAAGAAAAGCGCAAGGGGCUUGAGUAGUUUGCAGAGUCCCAGGAAAAUGCAGAGAUAUAGCACCAAUGUCACUGCCAUAUCCAGGCGAGUUAGAACCAUGCAGGUGGAUCUUCAAGAGGAUUUAUUCCAAAAGAAGAGGAGCCAGAAUCUUCCGGAACUGGAUGAUCGAACAAGCAAGCGCUUCCAUAUUUACAGAGCCCAAACUGUGCAUAAUUCCUACAAGUUCUCCUAUCCUGCAAAAAUGACCGCAUAGUGCUAAGCAAUCAAUUUUUCAGAGCAUGGCACAAGAAUGAAACUUAAGUUUGAUGGGAAUAGUUAGAUCAGAAUAUAUAAAAAUGUCAAAGUUCUGGUAAAUUCAUUUGAUUGUGGUCCACUGGAGAUGAAAAAUCAGAAGAGAUUUUAGCCUAAAUAGAUAAAAUCAAUGCAUGAAAACCGAAAACCUUUUAACUUUAAAUAACAAGUCGCACAGUUCUUUUGGGCAAUGCAGUGACUUACUGAUCUCGAAGGAAGCGCCUUAUCAGUUUGAUAAUAGGAGGGUACCAUCGAAACUCGAUCCUUUGGAUGGUGAAAUUUACAAGUAUGUCUGUAUUUGCAAUAACCUGUCUUCAUGAAAUAAGCACACUCAGGUUGACCGGGUCGUUGAGGGUAUUCUUCAGGAGGUAGCAGCCCUUUGCUGUGCCCUGCCCUUUCUUGUGGAUAAGCCAAAGCCUAUAAAACAACAAUUGGUGCAAAAUUACUCAUUUUGCAGAUAAUUCAAUCCUUCUUUCCCAAGUUAUAGCACUUCGAAACAUUCUUGAGGUAGCAAUGGCGAUAGCAUACACCCAGAAAGAUGGAAAGCAGGAAUAUAUAUAUAUAUAUAAAGUAGCAAUUACAGGACCAACAAGAAAGAAGAUGCAGAAAUGGAAAAAUGGAUCAACACUCAUUAAAAAAUAUACAAGAACACAAAAGCAUAAACUAAUCAAAUAGAUUUGUGAACUCUUCUGUGUGUAGAAAAAUGCACCUUUUGGGAACUUUGAGAAAUCCCAGGGACAUGGGACAGUCCAUUAUCCCAGUAAGGCUGGGUCCCAGAAGCCGUGUUCAAAGACCGGGAUGCUAAAUAUUCCUGUAGAAUUCCAUUGUAUCUCAGAUAAUCAGAGUCUUCCAUAGGACCCUCCUUAGGAUACUUCGGUUCCCUUCCAACUGGUGCAAGAUUGGCUGAGGUCUUAUCAGGACUGAAGUCCCCAACCGUUGUAGGAUCAGGAUGGUGAAACCUGCAAUCAAUUCCAUAUCGACACGUGCCAUGCUGCAUGUAGAAGGGGCACUCUGCUCUUCCCUGAAGUGAACCAUGAAAAUCAUGUAAGUCGCACAAAUUACUAUUUAUGUGUGCUUCAAAUGGAGCUCAUAAAUCAAUUAGUCAAUGGAGGGAGAAAAAGGCCUAACAAGUCAACAAAAUUGAACUUGUGAAUUUGUAGCAUGAAAGAAUGUACUCUUUACCAAUCGUAUUGGCAGGCCAACGAAAUUAAGUUGUGGUUGGUCUGUGAUUUCAUUUCUUUCUUUGGAAUGGCUAUAUCUGCAAGCUUCUCCAAACUUGCACCCUCCAGCAAUCGAGUAAUACUACAAAUUAAGCAGAUAACUCAAUUUUCAGGACAACACAUGUGCAUACAUGUGUGUGCACAAAAGAAAGAAAGAAAGAAGCAAUCAGAUGUCAUUUUGAGCCUUUGAGGUAAAUGUAGGAGGCUGCUAUAUUGCACAAAGCCAAAAGGCAAGUAAUUGCUGUCACUAUCAGAUAUAUGAAGCGCAUUUCUAAUCUAGCCCUCAUAUGCCUAGACAGAUAAACUGAAAAGGAUCUUAUAUGAAGGCCAUUUGUCACGAAAUACAUCUCCAGUUGUGGGUGAACGUCACAGCAUCAUUAGGACAUAAACCGCAUAACUACAUAUCUAGGGAACAAGCAAACAUUGACUAGUGAUUAUCAAGAAAGUCCAGCCCCAAAAGGAGUAGUCAUUAAGCAGCCAUUCAGAUGUCGCUAACACCUGCACAAUGCUGUGAGUUUUGCAAGUAAAACCGGUACAUUUCCUAUUUAAAUUUCCUUGAACUCCUUACCUACUACAUCAUCGAUUUAUCAUGCCUCGGCUUGACUGAACUAAAGACAGAGCAACACAACACCGUUAAAACGAGUGGCACAAAUCCUGACCUUGCACUCAAUCUGCUUGGUAGGCUCCAAGAACUCUCCUCUUUCCCGCUUCUCCUCGAAAACCUUCAAGAAUCACGCCCACAGGUCAACCGGUUCAUACAUCAACCCACCGUAAAUUCCCAAGAACGCAAAACACACACACACACACACAAAGGAAAACGAACGAAACUGACGAAAAGCCCAAGAACACAUACCGUCCUCUUGACAGGGUGACCGAACCUGCAAUUCGCGCCGAACUUGCACCACCCGUUCCGGAGAUAAAACUGGCAAUCCCGCGCGUAAAUCCCAAAAGGGUAGUGCGAUUUCGGCCCCCGAUCGUCGAAAUUCCCGUCUUUCUCUUCGCCCGUCCCGUCUCCCGCCUCCCCCAAGGCCACAUUCCGCAUACCCUCCACGAGCGCAGAUUCCACGGCCGGGCCGACGGCGGGCGGCGGAGAGGGAAAGAACGGCGGCGGCUCAUCCGGGUCGGGCCGCGCCGGCCGGUGCCGCUGGAGGAGCUCGAGGGAGGAGGGAAAGAUUUCGGCCUCGCCCUCGAAAGUUGCCAUCUUUCGUCCCCUGUUCAGAAGAACAAGACGCAGAGUGAGCGAGCGAAAGCGAACGUGCUUCUCCUCACUUCCGCUCGCGCUUGGUACGGUCUCGCCUCGUCAAGCAAUCGCCGUCAUACAUUCACUCAUCAAUGCGAAUGCAAAAAGUAAUCUUUUUUUUUUUUCCUUUUUUUUUUCUUGUAAUUCUUUUUGCUUGACGACGCAAGAGAAUUCCCAAGAAUCGAGAAAAGACGCACUAAAUUUCAAGCUGCAAACGUGCACGGCGAGGAGAGCACCUGAUUGAAAAGAAGGCUGCAACUUCCGAGAGAUUGAAUUCACAAAAUAUGAUUCGAAGACCACAUGACUUGAUAUGUUUUCGUCUAAAAUAUAUGAUAUGAUGCAAUACAAGUUUGUUGGUUUUACCUCAAUUUCACGAAUUUCCGGCGAGUGGCGGAGUACAUGAGUUAAUGUUUCUGAGAUGACUCCAGAAUAAUAUAUAGGAAUGGCGAUUCAAAUCCGAGCUUUGAAUAGAGAAGUCUCGCACCGAGGACAUUUGCAAUUUGUUCAGUAUAAGUACUCGUCUCCUAAGUCUCGAGAAAAGGAAGGAUAUCAUUAUCGAAUCUCUUACUUUUGCAACUUGAAUGACUUCCUUUAAAUUUUAUAUUGAGAUUUAGAUUUACUUCGAUAUUUAGAAUCAACCAUUUACGCAUGGUACCGAAACGGAAAUGGUAAAACUUUUAAUACAAUGGUGGCGUGGCAUUCGUGUUGAAAUCGCUAAUUUAUAUUAACCGUGUUUAAAUUAUAUGUUAAGGUUCAGAGUUUUUUCGAUAUUUGGAAUCGACCCUUUAUCGCAUCGUACUUGAAUGGAAAUAGCAAAAACUUUUUAACAUGGUGGUGGUGUGGCAUUCGUGUUAAAAUCACUAAUUUAUAUUAAGCAUGUUUAAACUUAAACCGGGGAUAAUUCAAUAUAAUUCAAUUGAUGUACUGUUGUACGUGUUGAAUUGUAAUCGAGGUCAAUCUAAUGAGAUCAUUGACCAAGUUGAAAUUUUAUAAGCUACUAAUCGCAAGAACAGACCAGAAAAUAGGCGCAUAACCCCCUCGGCCAGGCCACAGGUGAGAGCUUGAGAAGUGAGAGGUCGUAUCUUAUAACGAACGAGUCGAGUGUCGAGUUUAGAAAGCCUUCUCAUAAAGAUAAGUUAGGUGCAAGGAGGCUUGGCAGAUCGAGCGGGCGAUCGGAACCCUUACUAGCUCUGCAGAUGACAAAGUCGAUGUUGGCUUAGUUCAAUCGUUUAAUGCAGUCACAACUCCAGGAACAGUUAUAACUAUGCAUCUCUUUAAUGUUACCUCUUCAUUGGCAUCUUGCUGCAUAAUUUUUCAUGAGGUUACAAUUACAAGCUCUGAUCUGUCAUCAGAAUUCGUCUAUUUCCAAUCUCUUUUGAGAAACAAAGAAUAGACUCACUCUACAGAAAACUAGAAACUACACUUGAUCCUAAUUGAAAUGGGCCGGGGAAGAAGGUAGGGAAAUAUUACACUUGUGAAGGAUAAACAUCGACCAGUCGCAUGGUCAUCAUGCAAUAUCAACGUCUCUGGGAGCGUGUUGCGACUCUUGAACGGACCCGUCAUUAGACUUUUCAACCUUGAAAGAUUUUUGGCUGAAUAUUCGUACAAUGGCGCUCUUCGAUCUUGAAGUGCUAAUGCUUUGACUCCCGCCAUUGGAUUUGUUUCCAACAUUCUUCUUGGCAAGAUCCUCCAACAAUACCUUUAUGAGAGCAUCGAAUCGACGCCUAAAUGUUGGAUACCUCGAUAUGGACUUGGUGAUCCCUCGGAGCCUUCAUUAUAACAUCAAAUUUAUGGAACAUGCAAACAGACUUAAGUGGGAAAAGUAUUGAAAUCCAAAUAUAAACAUUGCAGACAAGUGAUCUCAUUCUGCUUACCUUCGAGCUAAAGCUUCGAGCUCAGCUCUUUUACGCUCGGGUUCAGGAGGUGGGCCUAUAUAUGAAUUCUUGAACCUCUCGGGGUCAGCACCUAGCAAAACAAGCUUACAAAGAUAGUCCUCCUCGGCCACAUUGAGGGUCUCUGCUUUAAUCUGCUCCUUGAUAAUCAAAAGGGGAUUAAGGAACCAUUCAAAUAUUGCAUUUUUAGGUCUAUUGGUGCUUGUUACUUCAGUAUUAUCACCUGCAUUUUCACAACAUGAUUCCAGCAAAUAUUCAAAUACCUCAGAUUAUAGCAUGCAAAGGAAAAAUUAAAAAGAAAAUUGCGGAAAAUCGUAAAAAUCCUAUCCUUUUAGGAAAGAACUUACGCAGUAAGAUGCCCAUAGAAUUGGCUUUUACUGAACGCAAGAGCACUUGUAGCAGGCAAUAAGUUGGCAAGCCUAUGCUUAUCACUCCACUACCUCUGCUUGCUUUGGCAUCUUCAAUGUCUCGAGGGGUUAUCAAUCCCUCAGCUACCAUGCUUUCUCCAUGGCGUUGACACUCGUCAAACAAGCCGUCAAGUAACUACACGAACACAAUUUUCUAUUCGCUUGGUGAAAGCAAUUAAAAGAGAGUGAGAGAAAACAGCGUACAGAGUUUAUUCAACAUGGAUCUAUGGAGGCAGCAGAUGUGGAUGCCCAUUUCUUGAUUCACACAUGAAUGCUGCAGACAUUCAUUCCCCAAAUAUGAGGUCCUUGAAGCAAAGAGGGAUAUGACAAGCUACCUGAAUUGGUUUUAACUCGAUAAUGGUGUCUUUUAUUGAAUCUGCACGAGCUGGGGGCCUUUUAAAAGAAGCAGCACGAGCGGAAGUCUUUGACAGCUCGGCCUUUUGUCUCCUGUAGUUUGGCCUGAUGGACCAAGAAUUCUAUAAGCAUGUAUGGAAUCCACAAUUCCAUCAAAUUGGAUCUCAAAUCAGGAAAAAAAAAAAAAAAAGGUAAGUACCUAGGAAAGCAGGACCCUUCUCGCAUGUCAAGAAUGUCAUUGCUGUAUUCGUCAUAGAUCGACAAGGAUGCCAUAACAUAACAGAGCCCCAACCAGAAGGAGGACUCCUGUAAUGUAAUUCCAUCACCAGAUGAGUUUGACCACACAGUACAUACAAAACAGUUGUUACCAAUCUCCAGAUUUGCUUUUCUUAAGGUGUUCCUUGAGAACCCCCAAAUGACUCUUUAUUCUAGUCAAGAUGUCCUCUUGAUUGGGCGUACUAUGAAGAAUUUAGGGAAAGACACGCUACAUUUAAGUUGAACCACUGAGCUGCAAUAUCAAUGCCGUGACAUCCAACUUUCUUCAUGCUAUAUGUAUUCAGAAGAUCUACCUUGACAACUCUUAAGACUCCAUUUUGGUCAUAUUCAAUAUUAGUUUCACUGUUAACCGAGCAGAACAACCUCGUAAUCCUGGUUCUGCCAACUGAUGAGGUGCAUAAACAGGACAUACUCCAAAGGCCAGAAUGGAGGAAUUUAAUAGUAGAAAGAAAGAGGAAUUUAACCUGAUAAACAACAACUCCUGCAAAGGCGCCAAGGAAGAUGCUGGAUAGCAUGGAGGCCAAUACGGCUCCAGCCACCGCCAAAGGCCAGAAUAUAAUGGCAAGACCAGCGAAUGGAACACAAAUCGUCUCCAGGAAUGGGCCUUCACGACCAAUGAGAUCGUGAAACAAACGGUGCCAUCCCCUGAAGAGCAUGUAAGGACUUUUGUAUAGGGCAAUGAGUGAGAUCAUAAACAUGUCAACCAUAAAUCCAAGCACUCCAAUUAUAACAGUACCCGGAAGAUAUAGCAACCUGCAAAGCAAUUUCGCAUUAAUAAAUAAAAAUAAGUAAAAAUAAUUUUAGGAAAAACUUGCUAAUGAUGUAAAGUGGAAAACUCCAACUUAGAGAACAAGUUGCGUCCAUUAUAUUUAGGUGGAUGGGUGACCACAUGCUUUUUGCAGCUGCUCAGGGCUUAUAUCAAAGGGACUCGUUCUAGGCAAUGAUCUCUCAAUAGUGGGUUCAGAGUUCAAUGGGAUCCACAUGAGCUCAAAACUCCUGAAAAGCACUAUGUAUCUUCAUCCUAGGAGAUAUUUGUACUUCAGAGAAAUUAUCACAGUAUAAAUUGUCAUUCUUGACCUGAAAUUAGAGCCUUUGAUCUGCACACUGUUUAUUUACACUCUUAAAGCUUGGAAUACCCAAGUGUAGAUGCUGAAUAUAUUGGUUGAUGUCUUACUUAAUAAAGCUAAACAUUCAGUGAGAACAAGCUCAAUGUGCCUACCUGUAAGAGUUGUAACAGAGACUGAAACAUUGGCUCUAGGCAAGCACUAUUUAUGUGCACCCAGGAUAUAUAUAUAAUUUUUUUGGCCUUUGUUGCUCAAGGAAUUUGACUUAGCUCAAAAUUGAAAUACAGGAACAGGCACAAAGAUCAGACCUAAUCUCAUAAUAUUUCCCUUCCGCAGGCCCCUGAUGCCACAGGUCAUUCAUAUAAGAUAAGUAAGAGUGGAAGCAAAAAUCCCCAAAAUCCCGGACAAUAGUGAAACUCCCUUUGAUUGUGCUCCAAGUUCCAUCCUGGGAAACAUUGGAAAAUUGUCAAUAUUCUUGGUCCAGGCACAGGAAUAGCAAAACAAAGACUUCAUACAUAGAAACAGUGGAAAAACUUAUCGGUCUUCCCCUCUCCAACAGCAUCAAAAGUGGCAAAUAUUGGUGAAAGAAACCCAUACGCUAUCCCACCAAUGACGCUGCCAGCAAUGCCAACCACUGGCCACAACACCAAGGGAAUAGGCAUGCACAGUACAAGGACAAGCUUCAAUCCAGGCCCUAAUUGCUUUGAUCUGCUAAAUAGACAACAGUUAAAAUAGAGGACCUCCAAUUAUGAAUGAGGCAACUUUCAGUGAUAGGUUCAAGGAAUCACCUCAGGAUACAAUGACAGGUCCAGAAACAGUGAAUGGGCCAAAGACCCAAUAUAAUAGCAGAGUUGCCAAUUGUUAUGAUAAGGCACGCCAAGGGACAAAAUAUGACACCUGAAAUACAAGAGUCAUACAUUCAACUUCCAGCACUCAAUAUCAUAUUUUUAUGCAUUGACAAGAGAACUUAGAAACCAGGGUUGGGGGUCAUGACCUAGAAACUACGGUUGCCAUCAUCUAAAUAAAAGGCUUCUUCACAAUUUAAUCAGCCCAGGGAAACCAGGAAACACAAAACAAUGAGUUGAUGCAGGAUGAUUAUUCAAGUGGUCUAGUUGGGGAAACACAUUGCAAGCGGCUCCUGCCUUCAAUCUUGUAUUCAGCAAGUCACUGAGAUGUCCCGUCGAUUCACAAGAAAACGCCACUCAACAACGUCUAGCCAAAGAAGAGUUACGUACUUGCCAAUUUAGCAUGCCGAACUAAAUCGAGCCAACAUUAUCGCCAACAUUCUAUAAUGAUGAGAGUUGAAGUCGAAACAUCAGCGAAUUAAUUGUUCUUUCCCGAACGACUGUUUCUGACAUUCGGAUCGGAAACAAACCCAGUGCACUCACGUUCUUCAAUAGCACAGGAGAAAAACGGAAGCAAACAACAAGCAAAGGAGGCACGGAUUUCUGACCUUUGAAAUUGCCCAAGAGCAGCAGCCCAAUGAAGUAAGGCAAGAAGCAAAUGAAGUUCCAUAUCUUAGCCAGAGCCCCCCUCGGAGGCUCCAUGAUCUCUCCUCAAUCCCGCAAGAUCUCCCUCAAUCAAUGCCCACCCACUUCACAUCAAGUCCCAAUGCCUCGUUCCGACCCAGAAAGACAACAAAUUUCCAACCCCGCAAAACAAUCAAUUCACGUCGCGCAAGGAGGAGACGGAAAGAAAACCAGCAAACGAGACCCACAAAAGAAAGGCGAGCGGAAUUCACACUACCUCUUCGAUGCAGUCAUCCCCUGACUUCUGGCGUUGGAAUAAAGCAAAGGAUUGAGUAAAGUUCGAUAUUUUGCAGCUCUCGGUACUGGGGAAAUCGAAGCUCCGGAUGAACAGAGAAUGCGAAAACUUGGAGGGGCGGUCCUGGAGGAUAGAACAGAAGGGAAGGAGAGCACGAGGCACGUUAGCAACCGUUGGAAGGCUCCCAAAACCCGGAGCGACGAAUUGCAGAUAGAACAGUUACUGUCGGAUUUCCGGAAAGGAAACAAAUCUUCUACACCCUCCUCAAGCCAAAUCUCUCUCUCUCUCUCUCUGUUAUUUUGGCUGGAACCCUCGAAUUUUUUAUCUUCAAAAAUCGGAUCCUUCGCUUUGGAACCAUUUCAACUGUGUAAAUAAACGCUAAACUCGAAACGACGCGCCUCGUCCGUGUCCCAUUUCACUGUCGUCAAGCAUUGAAACAUUGCGUGGGAAUCGGGGAAAAACCCCACUUUGAGGACGAGGAGGAGUUCAAUGUUCAUCAACCGAUGUCGACAGCUCUCGUGUGGGUUUUCUUAUUUGUUUCUUCUUUUUUGGCAAUCUUUUUUUUCGGGGGUUUCUUGAGAAGAUUUAAGGUGAAUACAUUAGUUUAUAAAACAAAUUCGUACGAAAAAACGUGAUGAAUUAUGAAUGGACCAAGUGAAACGUAUUCAAAAUAAUAAGUACUCUGUAAUGGCUCGAUUUAAAACAAUUCCGAAUUUCUCUUUUAUGUUCUAGGAAAUGAUGUCAAGUUUUGUUUAGUAACAUGACAACCGAUAUAGGAAUGUUUGAUUUUUGUCGCCAUUGAUGACGAUGAAUGGUGGUUACUCAGUUGUUUUCAGCCUGCAAAUGGGAAUAGCAACUCAUUCUUUUCAUGUCAUGCUUUAUUUUGAGUUGCCAACUAUAGUCAUUUCUUGUAUGUAGAGUCAGAUCGGGUAGUCCUUUGUCUUUGUUUAAGAAUAGGAAGUGAUGAGAAUUAGGUUAGAAAACGUAGGGCUAGACCACAAAUACUUUGUCAAAUCAUAGCAUAGACAAAAAGGGUUUCAUCAAAAGCGACAUUUCACCGCUACAAUAUGAAAGAAAAGACCGGACUCCAUCAACGGAAGUGGAGCGUUAUGCCGAUGUAUUCAAUCAUAAGCUCGGAAGAUCCAACCAUAUUGAAUUUUGAAUCUAGUUUUUCCGAUCACGGCAAAAGACGGAAACCAAUAGGUCAAGUAGUACCCUACGCGGUGAUGGAUGAGUCAAUUCUAGCUAGUGUAAACCAUUGUAUAUUUUUUAGGGAAAAUGUCACAAAUAGUCCCUAAGGACUACUCAAGAUACGUGACCGUGUCGGCAUCGUACUUGUCGACUGAGGUCUUCAUCGCUGUCCAACUUUAGGAGAUGAGUGCGGUAGGUGGAGCGUUAUGCGGUAGUAGCUUGUCGGGCAUUAAUAUAAUAAUAAUCAACUUUGUUUUGCCAAGAGGUUUCAAUUUAAGACAAGGGCGGUGGGGAAGAUAACGAGCGGGUGGAUCAAGAUACGAAAGGACUUAUUUGCUCGAAAGAACAAGUGAUUGAAGUUAUUUAAGAAUAUUUUUCAAGCCAUUCAUUUUCUAUGAAACUAAUUAAGCCUUCGGAAAGAUAUUUUCCUCAUUUUUUGGCAUUCGAAAUGCUUAGGAAAUUGAAUUAAUGGAAAAUCUAUACUUAAAUACAAGAAAAUGAUUUUCUCUUUAGAAAAACGAAAAUCAUUUUUUAAAAUAUGAUUAGACAUUAGUGCUUUAAUUAAAAACUUUGUGUUUGGGCACGGGAACUCUAACGCUUGCUCUCAAGUCAUUGGUAGCAAACCCGAGUCUAGAGACCACGGUUGGUUCCUUCGGGUUUCAUCGAGAUGAAGCCCGAGUUCUAAGUCCUGGUGCCUAAGCCGAGGUCCACAGAGGUUGGGCUAGAGACACUCACACUAGUGGCUAGGCCUAAGACUCUAGUACUAUUGUUCGACUCCCUAGCGGCCCGGCCCAGGUCCACAAAUGUUGGGUCCAAGACCUUGAUGCUUGUGCUUGGGCCUCUAGUACCCAAGCAAGUGUCCUCAAGCUUAGGCCCGAGAUCUUGCACUAGGUCCAUCAAGAUUAUGCCUUGGAUCCCAAAUCCCAUGCUUGGUCCAUCAAGACUAGACCCAAGAUCAAUGCCCAUAUUCUUUUCUAAGACCCAAGUACUUGUGCCUGAUUCGAGGUUGAUCAAGGCUGAACUUGAGGCCCUAAUGCUCAUGUAUAAUUUUUAAGCUGCCAAUGCGCAAGUCACUAAAGCCCGAAUAAGGUACUUCUAUUUAGGAAAAAAAUUAGAUUUUUCUAAACAAACAACAUAAACUAUUUUCCAAUUCAUUUUCAGAUUUUAGCUAAAUACUAUAAAUUAUUAUCAUUAUUUUAGAAAAUGACUCGCUGGAAUUUUUUUUUCAAAAUUGUCACAUUUUUCAUGAAACAAAUGAAGUCUAAAUUUCAAUUUUCCUUUAUCUCCCUUUCUUUUGAAAAUUUUAAAAUUUCCCCUUUUCUAUCUAGAUUUUCUUUCUCCCAUUUCCUUUAUUUCCACAUGUAAUUGAAGACAAGUGUUCAUGCAUUCUAAAUGAAUAAUAACAUAAAUAACUCAUAAACUUUAAUCUAAUAUACAAUUUGAUCCUCGAACUUGAAUUAAUGAAAGAAUAAUAUUAAAUAUUUAGGAACUACAUUGAACACGUACCACACUUUAAGCGUAUUUCUAUUUGUAUAAAUAUUGUAAAUGAUUUAGUAGUCUCUCCAACUAAAGUAUCACUUUUCUUAAGAAAAUGAAAAUGAUUUUUAAAUUUUUUGUGAAGAGUUGAUCAAAUGUUAAUUUUUCCAUGAUUUAACACUAAAAAAGCCAAUUGAUUAUUCAGACUUCGAUUUUUUUUCUCGAAAAUACAAAGUGUAAAUGACUAAUUGUGAAUGAAAAUGUCAAAUUGACACUUAUUUAGGACUUUUUAUGCAAAAUGCCAAUUUCUUCACUGAGGGUUGACCAGAGUUUGCUGAAUUCGAUAUGACAAAGUCAUGUGAGUACCAUAUGGGGAGAAAGGCCAUUAUACCGACAAUUGUCUUGCCCUGAAGAUCAAAGUGCAAAAACUUGCUUCACAAAGGAAUUCUGUCUUCUAAAGACGUCGCUCCUAAUGUGCAAAAACCCUUUACCAAAUCAUCUAAAAGCUAUCAAUCUAACUUUCGAGAAGGUUGAUAAGAACUAGCAAGCCUUUUAUGGUAGAUGCCACGAAAUUAUCACAACCCAAAUUGAAUAAACUUGAGAAUCAACCAGAAUUAGUUGUUUGGUGUUAAGAACAUAAUGUUGAUACAAUAAUAAGUAUAGACAUGUAAUUUCUCAACUUAUAUUACUAUUGGAAAGUGAGGAACUUGACUUUUCAACUUAUUGGUUAGCGAUUCCUCCGUCCGAGCCAUUAAGAUAUCACUAAAACAUAUGAUGAAAACAUUUUGCACAUAAAACCUAGAGAAAUUUCAAAUAAAGGCCUAAAGUGUCCUUAUUUUCUUAAAUGAGAACUUGAAACAAAAUAUUCCAACCGAUUAGGUGUAUUUUCAUUGAACACAUUUUUAAUUUAAAUAUUAAUUGAAUAAGAAGAAGAAGAAAAAAUAUAAGCCACUGCCCCCAUCAAGAAGGGAGAGGGCAAUGACCCUCUCUGAGAUUUGGUUGAGGAUCACCUAUCCUCACCUUGAUUUGAGCAAGAGUUACCAGCCUUCACGCAAGUUUGGCUGCCCUCACCUCGCCCUUGCCCUCGUCUGAGGGCUCUUGCUGAGGUGCCAAUGACCCCGCCAGCCAUCGUAGCCACCACAUUGGCGAUGGGGGCAAUAGCCAUAGGUGGGAGGGAGCCUUCCCCCUGUGCGUGUUGGUUUAUUUAUUUAUUAAAUAUUAGUUUUAUUUUAGUUUUUUUAUGGAAAGAAAAGGCAAAAAAAAAAAGAAAAAAAAAAGAGGAAAGAACAUAUAAAAAUACAAAAUUACCCUUAACCAGAUAAAGAGUUCGAGCCACUUUAAGUUCUUAUUUAAAAUAAUGUUCAUUUUGACCCUUAUUUAAGCAAAUCAACAUCUACUUCAUACAUUUAUUUGAUAAAAAAAAAAUAUUUCAUGCCUUUAUUUGAAGUUUUUCCUAAAACCUAUAACUUAUCUCUAUAAUACCACAAUUUUUUUUUAUUGUUGGGAUUGAAUCCUCUCAAUGUUCUCGCGAGUGGAUUCAUUGGGCCGUUGUGAAAUUAAAGGGCUCACUUGUUAACAAUUGAUAUAAGUUGAGGCCCCGCUGAAGGUACCGAACAAGCAUCCCGAUUGAGAUGGGCGGUUCAUCGACUGGGGUAGCGACUUGCUCAUGUCGAUGAUGCGGCCCAUAACACCCCGUCGAGCCAUUCGUCAUUGAGAAAAAAAGGAAAUUCUCAUGUUUGGACUGUCCAAUUUCAACCCUAAUCUUGUGAUUCCAUGUAUGGAAUCUCUCAUGUUUUUGCAAUAUUAUCCAUGCCGUGCGAUAUAAAUCUAGUCUUUAUGAAAAGUAAUGGAAGAUUCAGAAAGCCAAACGACACACCACUUCACAAAUUUUAAUGCAGAAAGAAGAGCUGAACAAACUUAUUGAUAGCUUACAUGCAUCGACUCGUGCGAGUAAGGCUCACCAAAACACGACAGGAACGGAACACAGAUUCAACAACUAUUUCACACGCGCAGGCACAAGAGCAAAAUACAGUAGAUCGAUCUCUCUCAUCAGUGGAUCUCAACCCUCUUGACCUCGGGCUUCUUCUCCUCCGCCUUGGGCACGAUCACGGUGAGCACCCCGUCCUCCAUGCACGCCUUGAUCCCCUCCCUCUUCGCGUUCCUCGGCAGCCUGAACCGCCUCGAGAACUUGCCCCGGAAGCGCUCCACCCUGUGCCACUUCUCCUCGCCCUCGCCCUCGCCCUCGCCCUUCCCCUUCUUGCCCUCCCCGCCCUUGGCCUCUUUGUCCUCCGGCACCUUCCUCUCUCCGCUGAUGAUCAGGUACCCGUCGCCGUCGACCUCCACCUUCACCUCGUCCUUCUUCAGCCCCGGGAGGUCGACGAUGAACAUGUGGGCCUCCGGGGUCUCCUUCCAGUCGGUCGGUGCGUUGAGCACCGGGCACUUGUUGACCAUCGACAGGAAGGGGUCCAGGAUCUCGUUCCCCAUGAGCUGAGAGAUCACAGACAUCGUCGGUAGCUGAAACUGGCGAUGAUUCAGACAAUGAUCGGGUUGGUUUGUGUGCGUGUGUGAGUGCGUGUGUGUGCUGGAGUGGUUUGGGCGAGGAGGCUUUGAGGGUUUUUAAGGGCGAGCUUGGAUGCGUUCUUGAAGUUUCUUGUCUGUUCAGUUUGGUAGAAAUUUUUUGUUUGUAGGUUGACGUGAUUAUUGGAAAAGAUAAGGUCCCAUCGAGGGUGGUUCUACGACCUUCCCGCAGGCUGUGCUGCUUGAACCUUCUCCUGCGUUCCACGCACUGUUUUAGCAUCAUUCCUUUUUCUUUUUUCACCCCGAAUUAAGCUGUCGCCUAUGUAAUACAAUACGAAUCUAUUUAGGUAAUAUGUGAAAGACCAUAAAUGAUUUGAGUCUGUUUCUCGCUUAAUCUCAUGGGUCAUUUUGGCAAGGAUUUUCACAAGAGAUGUUACUCAUGCGCAUCGACUACAAUCAUGUGCAUAAAUAUAUAUGUACGUCACUUGAUCACAUGACAUGCAAUGAAGUUACAUGUGACACUCACUCCAAUUUAAAAUACAAACGAACAAAUUUGAUAAAUAUGCACAUUUGAUUCAUAGAAAAAGUACUAGAAAAGUCAUAAACCUAUUAUAUUAGUAUCGAUUCAAUCUUUAACAUCUUCGCAUUUUGUUAGUUGAGUCCAUCCAAUUUCGACCAAGAACUACUUACGUGGAUGUUAGCUGUCUUACGUAAUACGGUUGGUUUUGACUUGGAUAAUUUGUACAAUUUUUUUAAAUGAAUUUAUUUUUUUCUCUCUUUUUUUCCCUUUGUGAAAGGAAAAAAAUAAUAAAAAAAAGUCCAUGGUAGUGCUAGUAGUGGUUUCUUGUCAAAAUUGACUAGAUUGACUAAAUUGAAAAUUAUGAAAAUGUUUAUAAUUAAAUUGACCAAAUUAAAAAAGUGUAGGACUUAAUUGAUACUAAUGUAAUAAAUUUAAGAUUUUUUAUGAACUAUGUAAUUUUUAAAGCAUGUAGGUAGAUAAACUAUAAUUAAGAUUAGAUGUGCCUUUAUUUGUUAUAUGGAAGUAUAUGCGAAACAUACCUCAAAAUUGGAUGGGUCAAAAUUGGGAGAAACGUCUCCAUGCUCUAUAUUUACUAUUUAUUUAUGCAAUAAAUAUAAGGCACUUUUUCGGAGGCUGGUCAUAAUGACUUUGUUGAUAUUUAUUUCAAGAUUGUUUCAAAAUUUAAGAGAUGAUGGCUACAUUUGGUAGUCAGAAUAAAAUUUAUCUUACCUUGUAUCUUGUGUAUGCUUGAGAUAGGAUAAAAUUAGAUAUCAUAGAAAUAUAGCCUAGAUAAAAUUAUUUCAUUGGGGAGGUAGGAGAAAUGUGGAUAUGAAUUGUAAUAUCCAUAAUAUAGAAGUUAUUGUAUUGAAUAACAAACUUCUUAAAUUAAUAAAAAAUAAAAAAAAUAUUUGCUUAUAAAUAAUAUUUGAAUUCUGAUGUAAAAAAAUUCAAAAUAAAAAAAAUAACAACAAUUUUGUUUUAUUUAUUCCUAUUUUUAUUUAUAUAUUCGAAUUUCUUUCAAUCUUAUAGUAUAAAUUCAAUAUAUAAAAAUAGAUAUAAUAUUUAUAUUUAUUGCAAGUUUUAGGUAUUUUAGUAUAUACUAUUUAAUAAAAUUUUAGUAGAGAAAGAUGGAAGGAGAUAAAAGAAUUAAAAAAGAGGGAAAAUAAUAUAAAAAAAUAAGCAAAUAAAAAUGAAUUUGCCUAGAGUGUUAUGAAAGAUUCUUACUAUCUCCAUUUGUGCAAUUUUUAGGCUCAUUUAUCAUUUAUAUCAUAUAGAAUGUAAAAAUAUCUGAUUUUAUUAGUGUAAUUCAUCAAACGGUGGAUAUGAUUUAGUAGAAUUUAUAAAUUUUAUAUCCUAUUCAGUCAAAUUCUAUUAUGAGUAGAAAUUUAGAUAGCCAAACAUGUGUCAAAUACGGAUAAGGUUACAUCAAUGGCCAUGGCGCAUAAUUUCCAUUGCUUGAAAUGCCCCUGAAGAAUGCGGAUUGAAUUGCUACAAUUGGACUAAUUUCAAUUGUCCAUAUCAGUAGCUGCGCGUCAUCAUCAAUCAUCAUGGCAUAUGUGGGCCGCCCUUGAGCAAAGGUCUCCGACCCCAGCCAGCUCUACUGAAAUUUGAUGGAAGCCCAGCACAUUUGAUGUCGCCUUGACAUUACUUUACUUCGAUAUUUGUCCACAAUAUUAAUGGCCUAGUUCAGAGUAUACGUUGAGGAAGCUUAGGCUCGCCGAGUUAAUUAGUAUAAACUCUCUAGUUUGAUCAUAAAUAAGAUCAUUUAUCUCCAGUCAAAAAGAUUUCCAGGAAAUUAAACUGUCGUCAAAUAUCAAAAUGAGGUUCGCGUGUCGGGACGGGAAUCAAUUAAACCGUGGUUUAUGGCAGACUGAAGCCAGAGCCAGUCACACUAGUAAAUUGUACAUUAUAAACAGGCAUAUGAGAUUAGGAUUUAGCUCGCAACCUCUUUACCUUCGAGCUAUGUAAAGGACUCGGAAACUUUUAAUAAUAAUAAAAAGAAGCAAGAAACAAACGACGCACAUCGAAACAUUAUUCUUCCCUUUAUUGCUUAUCGACUAUUUGCUAUACAUAAUCAUAUGCGCGAGCUUCGAUUAAUCUUCGCAAUCUCUUCUCACAAAUCGGCCCUGCAACAUAAGAAGAAAAAACGUCACAUUCCACCAGAAGCAGGAAAAACAAUCUCGGGAAGAGGCCAAGAAAAGAGAGAAAAGAGAGGCGAAACGAUGCGAACCUUGAUACGGGGUCGUUUCUGGGCGUUGAGCUUCCUGACUUCGUAUCGGAUGCGCUUGGAGAAGAGCCUGCUGUGCCUCUUCUCCUUGUACCGCAGCACGCUCGCCUCUCUCUGCCUAAUCUUGUCGCUGAACUCGCCGCCGUCCUCCGCGAUCGCGUCCCUGUUGAUGGCGGCUUCGCUUUCUGCUGCUUUCUCCGGGACUCUCCACACGUUCUCCCAUACAUCCAUCGGCCCCUGCUUGAUUUGCAGAACCGAUGAGCUAUUAUCGCCUUUGAAUACCCAUGGGCAUGCUUCUAGUGCAGAAACAAACGAUGCAACAAGAAGGAAACGUGGGAUGAUGGGAGUGCAUCGGUGGGCAUUGGGAUUGGGAUUGAUCUUUUUCGAACCUAGAUCAGCACAUUCUCUUAAGAGUCUACAACAUGAACACUUCUCAUGUGGGUAAAUUUACUCUGUCGAGACAGAGUAGCUAGACUCGUGUUACCGAUGGAAUGCAAUGGACAGAGUUAAUUUCAAUGUACCGACUGCGUGAAAAGUCACAUCUUUUCCAUGACAACAAUAUUUUCCUGCAAACCUGGCUAAAGGAACCUUCUUCCAACCAUACCUCUUAUUGAUGGGUCACAACUAUCACUUACAUGUAAAUUUAACCAGAGUAACAGGUGAUUUACAUACUUGUAUCUCACCAAUCAAAAUUAUAGUUGAAAUAUAAUUGGAAGGACUUUCCUUCAAUCGCAAUUAUAGAAAUAUUGUGGCAUUUCUUUGGGCAUAAUCAUAGGAAUUCCACACUUGCAACAGAAUAUUUGAUUGGGCUUUGCUAGAAUAAUAGUCAUUAGAGUACCAUGAGAAUACCAAUCUAUUGUGAGUCAUAAAUUCUUGAAAAAGUAGGUUCCACAAUAAUUUAUAAUUAUUUCUAAUUUGAUAUUUUGUGGUCAAGAAUAAACUGGUAUUCUCAUAAUAUCAUGGUCCGAUCAAACUUAUGCUAUAGACGAACCAAGGCCUUUCAAGGUCAAGGUUGGAUUGAGGGGUUUCACAUCAAUGACCAAAAGGCCCCUAACUAUUUGGGAGUAAUCCCUACAUGGCGGGAUCAACAAUCGUGAUCGUGCGCUUUGCUCAACCUCCUCAAAAACUUCAAUAAUAUCACCGAUCGAUAUCGUGCUACCAUGGGUCCACGACAACGCUCGCUCGGUGAGCAAACGGUCCCCCCAUUAAAUGAAAGCAUUGAAGAAAAAGGUGAUAGAGCUUUUAGAUUCCUGUGAACUCACCCAUCGAUCUGAAAAAGAAAGGGAUAAAAUCUCUCUGCAUAAUCCAAACCCGAAGCUCCCUACUUCGCAUUUAACACGCGACAAUCUCAAAAAAAAAAUCUUUAGGAAGAAAUUUUUAUUAAUUUCCUUUGGCAAUCACCGUAGUUCAUGAAAUAGAUCAAGUAGAGAGAGAUAAAGGGUUAACACAUACAAACCUAAGCAUCUCAACAAUAGAGAAAAUUCACUCGUAAGUUCUCAAAUGCACGCUUUUCAGGAUGCUAGUAGUGGUGCCCAGAAGCCCCGGACUAAUGGGGCUGAAAUUAACUAAUGGAUUCAUGUCAGUUCCGCUUUUCGACUCGACUAAUUUUCAUAGAUAUACGAAUAUCAUAACGAUGGGGUGCAUCGACGCUAGGCCGAGGGUGUGACAUGUGCCCGUCGGUGCAAAUGUUAAGAAGUGAUUAGAGUAGGCCGAGGGUGUGACAUGUGCCCGUCGGUGCAAAUGUUAAGAAGUGAUUAGAGAUGAUGAAUGAAGAUCGACUAAAUGGAGGGAUUGGCGAAGAUGGUCUUACGCUGUCGACUCGCAUCAAGUCGGGCACGGUCUGAGGCGUCUCGUGAUUCGCGUUCCCGCCGUACACGAAGAGCGAGCCCUUGUCGGACCAGGCGUCCAGGAUCUCCUGGUAAUCGAGCUUCAGCGACAGCAUCGUCGUCCCCUGCGGGUGCGCCCUCCGCCCUCCCCGCCACGCGUCGGCGGCGCCGCUGGUCACCUCCUCCAUCUCCGUCUUCUUCUCCGCCUCGACGAUGACCUCGCUGUAGCACACCCACCGCUCCUCGCUGCCCCCCCACUCCCUGCUGCUGCUCUUCAUGGCGCACCGUAUCAGCGACGACACCGCCGACUCCUCCUCCUUCGCCCCGGAGGAGGCGGCAGCCGCGCCGGAAACGGCGGGGGCGGGGGCCGCGGGGUCGAGGAGGUCGGUGAGGGUGGCGGUGUCGGCGGCGGCUGCGGAGUCGAACAGCAGGGCGACGUCGUUCUCGUCCUGGAGGUGGUGGUCUUGAUCCCGACUGCCCGCGGCGUCGUCGCCGCUGGCCAAGUGGGCUCCCGGGCGGAGGGGGGACGAGCUCGGCCGGUGCUUCUGGCGGUGGCGGCGGACGGCUCUGCGGUGGUAGGUGAGGUUCAUCGGGGCGGCGCCGGUUCGGGAGGUUUGAGGAGAGAUCUGGAGGCCGAGGCUCAAGUACUUGGGCUUCCGGGUCUUGCUUCUUGAUCUGCGAGACGGGGCGGCGAGAGACGACGGGGUUUGCUUCUUCGGCUUGCCGGGCGCGGAGGAGGACCUGGACAUGGACCUGGACCUGGUCCUCAUGUUUGCAGCAGGAGGAGGGCAGUUCUUGGGGCACAUCUCCCGGCGAUCGUCCCUCUCUCUCUCUCUCUCUCUCUCUCUCUCUAGGCUGCUUCAGCCAGUCAUUGGUCCUUGCCUGAAAAAGCGAGAAAAAGUGCAUGGGCUUUUUUCAGUGCGGGACCCGCUCUGGGGAGAGAGAUGCUGACGCACACGAAGGGCGGAGGGAGGGAGGGGGGAGAGAGAGAUGAGAUGGUGAUGGUAUCGACACGCGGCGCUCUGCUACUGGAGGAGAAAGUGGAUUGUGCUGUGUUAUCCAGAUUUCGCUUGGGUUCGGGUUGGAUAUUGCACGGAUUCUUUGGUCGCAGCGGAUGAGCCGUGAGCCUAAUGACGUAUUUACCCCUUAAAAUCAUGCAGGUCCCUUAUUUUAGUUAUCUACAUGAAGGAUUAUUUAGGACAUUUAUUGAGCUCACGUGUAUUUGGGUCGACUGUAUUUCUUUUCUAAAUUUUGGACCAGUACAACAUUUGGAAAGUUGAAGAGUUGUGGGUCGGUGAGACACUAAUUUCUCGUUUAGGACAACAAAAUCAAAUGAAAUAGGCAACUGGAGUGAUAGAUCUAAUGAUUUUGUCUGGUGAAUUUCUAGAAUGGAAGAGAACGGUAGUUUGGAGAAAAGAUGUUGAAUUGAAUGGGAAUGUUCUAAGAAAAGUCAAUUUGCAUUGAAGUUACAAACAUAAUAAUUAAAGUAUAUUAAAAUAGAUACUUAAAUUUAUGUUAUUUAAAGCACGAUCAAGUGAUGUUUCUUUUUUGUAGUUCGAUAGUAUACCAAUUGGUUCUUUAUAAUUUGGAAUUAUUAGCCAUCUCGUAUAUUCUUGGUUCUUUAUAAUGGUGUUGUAACUUGCUAGCUACCAUUAAAAAUUACUAUUUGCAGUCCAUCAUAGAUUCUUAGUUAUAUAUAAUAUCAAACAUUUUAUGAUAUAUUAAAUAUAACAUAGAGUUAUCAAUUAGAUUUAUUGUAGAAUGGUGAUAGUUUAACGUAACUAAAUAUUCAAUAUGAAUCGGGAUUUUCUUACUUAUAUUGAAAAUUUUAAUUUCUUUUAAAUAAGUUAUAUUUCUUAACCGACUACUGUUAACUAAUCAAAUAACUAUUUAUUUAUUUUGAAAUAAGGAAAGCAAUCAUGGAGAAAUCGAGAUUCCUCUGAUUAGUAAAUGGGAGAAGGGCAACUUGUGCAGCUGGGGCACUACAUGACUACGUGGGUCUCGUGUUGAUUUCGUCAAAUCUUAUGAUUAAAAUUGAUCUUAGCAAUUGAGUUUAUAUCUUUCUUUCAAAUUUGACAGAAUAAAAAGAAGCAUUUUAAUUUACUGUGUUGAAAUUUAAAAAGAAUUAUUUUGAUUUACUAUGUUUACAUUUUACCUGCCACGCAAUCAAUGGACCCCACCGACGCUCCAUUUCACCAGUACUUUAAUUAGCCCAAAAGAAAAGCAAAACCGAAAAAAUGAAAAAUGAAAAAGAGAAAGGGGGGCAUUCCGAGAAUUGAACUCGGGACCUUAUAUCUUUCUUUCAAAUUUGACAGAAUAAAAAGAAGCAUUUUAAUUUACUGUGUUGAAAUUUAAAAAGAAUUAUUUUGAUUUACUAUGUUUACAUUUUACCUGCCACGCAAUCAAUGGACCCCACCGACGCUCCAUUUCACCAGUACUUUAAUUAGCCCAAAAGAAAAGCAAAACCGAAAAAAUGAAAAAUGAAAAAGAGAAAGGGGGGCAUUCCGAGAAUUGAACUCGGGACCUCUCGCACCCUAAGCGAGAAUCAUACCACUAGACCAAAUGCCCAUGACUGCAAGCUUGCUCUAAUUUUUAUUAUUUAUUUCUAAUAAGCGGAAAUCCUCUAUAAAUGCUCGUUAAGGAGAUGUACCGGGAAGACGAUGUCUAUCAUUUGCACAGGCCCGGAUGCAUCUCUUUCCUAUCGAUCCUCGUCGCGCUCUGUAACGUGUAAUCAAUUUGAUCUUGAAUUGAUAUGAAUUAAUUAGGCAUGCCUUUGAAUUGCGUGUUGUUAUAUUAUAUUUCAGACGAGAUAUAUAUAGGCUAACGAUUGCUAAAAUGAGGAGCUGUUGCUUAUGGCAACGGAACCGUUUAGUUUUGCUUCCAUCUUACAAAUUGCUCGCCAAGUCAAUUUUAUCAUGGCCAAGUAGAUUCUAAAAUUCAACUUCAAGUGGAUCAAUGGUUGAUUUGAAGUGCUUCCAAAAUUUCCAAAGUAAUCUAUCAUGCAGUCAAUUCUCGUAAUGGAAAAUACGAAAGUUACGAAUGUCGAAGGUGUGUAGUACCUUGAUUUCUAUCUUUCUCGAAAGAUAGAACGUGGCUUAUCAUCAUUUCGUAUGUUGUUUUUAGGGUUAAUACCUUAAAAAAUCCAAAACUGGUACACUUGUGACAAAUUUACCCCAAACUAUUUUUUUGACCAUGAAAAACCCCAAACUGGUACAUUUGUGUCAAAUUUACCCCGACUAACUAUAAAAAACCCUAAACUGGUACAUUUAUGACAAAUUUACCCUAAAUUAAUUUAUUCGAUCACAAAAAACCUCAAAUUGGUAAAUUUGUGACUAAUAUAUCCUCCGAAAAAUUAGAUUAAUACCACAAAAAAAUCACAAAAAUUAUAAACUAUGACAAACAUAGUGUAAAAUCUCAAAUUGAUAUACCGGUCAAUUGUCACGUGUUAUUUAACUUUAUAAUUUAACAAGAAAAUUUAACUAAAACUAAUAUAGGGUAAAUUUGUCACAAGUGUACCAAUUUAUGGUAAAUUUGUUAAAGGUAUACCAGUUUGGGGUUUUUGGUGGUCAAAAAAAUAGUUUUGGGUAAAUUUGUCACAGGUGUACCAGUUUGGGGUUUUUCAAGGUAUUAACCCGUUGUUUUAUGUCAUCAAACGGGAAAGAGAAGGUCGGUAUUUAUAUGAAGAAUUGUCAAACGACCAAGAAAAUUAGAAAGGAAACUUAGAUGAAUGGACACAUCAAUCCAAGGAAAACAAGUUUUUUGAAAAUAUAUAUGUUACACUAGAACAAAUUAUACCGUGAGACUUAACUCACAAAACUAAAACGAAAAAGAUCCAGAAAGAAUCUUCUCUCGAAAUGGACGCUUUUCUCUUAAGCCCCACAACUUAAAAGAAAAAUAAGGCGGCAGCAGCGAGAGCAACCGGGGCCGAGAUCUUGACGACGGUGGCACUGCCCUCGGCAGGAGCCUCGGCCGGCGAUGACAAGUCAGAGGCAUCGCCCGCUGGUGCAACGGAGGCCUCACUGGAGGGUGCGGGUGGGGACGACACAUCGGCUACGGGAGACGAUGCCGGUGUCUCGACAGUGGCAUCAUUGGAUGGGGCGGCGGCAGGAGAGGUGGUGGACGAGGCUUGAGGCGCCUCGGAGACAGGUGGGGGUGUGGAAGCCUCGGGGGCGGUCGACGCGGCAGGGGACGAUGCCUUGGGGGAUGAGGCGGACGGGGAGCUGGCGGAGGACGACGACGACGACGAGGAGCCUUGAGGGGCAGCAGCAGGCGUGGCAGCAGGCGCCUGGGCCGAGACUGACCCGACAACGGCCGCGAUAGCUAGGGCAAGCACCACAAGUCGACUAGCCAUUCUUUCCGCAGUAUAGAACUCCCAAAAACGAAACGAAAAGAAGAACUUCUUCUCGUCUUUUCUUGUUUCGAGGUUUGAUUGCAGAGGACGCAGCUUUCUCUAGGGAACGUAGAGAAACACUGCGAAAGCUUUGAAGAUCUGAGAGGGGAAGAUUUACGACGAGAAGGAGAGGAUUUAAAUAGGGAUCCGAAGGGUAGAUUAAAAAUAGUAAGAGCCAAUUUGGAAUUUUGAGGUGUUUUGGAGGAACGAACGUGCGUGUUUUGAGAAGUGAUCGAGUUCUUACAUGCAAGCCAACGUGCGUGGUGGGGAGGGAUUUGGUUUAUUUUUGGCAGGUCCUUAAUUAGAGAGAGUGAGAGAUUUUCUUGGUGUUUGAGGUUAUGAUUGAAUAUUUAUAUUAAGCGAUGAUCAUCACUUCUUAUCUAGACAUAAAAAUAGGUUUGAUCUCACGUUAAUUUUGUAUGCCUUUUGACAAAACAGAGCGAACAGAGACAAUACUCGAUAAGACUCUCUUUAAUCUCUCUUUCCUACACUUUUAGUAAACUGCUAGCAAGAGAAUUUGGGGAAUGUCCUCUCAUUUUUUGGGUGACAGCUUCAAUCACAAUCCGACAAUUUUAGUCUUCGUUAUAAUCCCUGUCGUUAUAUCCAAACCAUACCAAUUUGCAAAGCUCUCUUAUUCUCUCCGUGACAAUUCAAACCCUUUUAUCUGGCUCAAAUAUCCACGCCGUUCCACUUAUUUAGUGGUAAUAAUGUCAUUUCAUUAACUUCAAGGUAUUCCGUCCAAUGAGAAAUGAUGUCAUUUUCAUUAAAUAUGGUAGAAUGCAUUAUUUUGAUUGAUUAAUAAAGUCACAUCCACUGACAUAGAAUUUGCCAUUUGCAGGGCCGUCAUUUUCAUUAAAUAUGCCUUGUAUCAUGAAGUUAUCCUCAAUGUGAUAAAAGUCCCAUCGACACAUAUUUUAGGAAAAAUUAUACGUCUAAAAUUAUUUCUAGAUAAGCCAUUCUUUUCACGUGGAAAGAUGUACAGUUCGAUUCUUUAAAUUAUCAGAGAUUUGAGGUGUGAUGGAGAUGUUUAGGACAUGUAUGAUAAUCAUUUUAUUUCUAUUAAAAAAUUAUUUUUUAUUAUAGAUUUAUUUUUGGAACAUAAAUUCGCUUAGCAAAAUUAUUAUUAUUAUUAUUAUUAUUAUUAUUAUUAUUAUUAUUAUUUUAUGUUUGGAAUAGAGUUUUACUCCAAAAAUAGAUUUGGAAUUAAAAUAAGAAGUAAUUUUUUUUUGUUUAUAUAUUUUCAGAAUAAAAAUAAGAAAUAAAAACUAUUUUUUAUUAUUUGUCCUUGUUACUAGCCGGCUGCCCAUUUGCUGUCGUUCACUGCAGUUGUGACAGCCUGAUUUUUCAAGUUCUGUUUUCAAUUGAAGAAGUCGGGCUUUUCAUCGAUGCGUCUAUAGUUUUUUUCUCUGAACUGAUCACUCAAGCGAUAACUAGUCUAUUUGAUGAAGACAUUAAGGGAUUUUAACGCAAUAGACUUGAGAAUUUGAUCAGAAAUCGACUGCUUGACCGUGCUAAUCUACAAGUGUCAUUACGGCACAGUUAAAAAUUGAUUAGAAACCGGAGAUAGGUUGAUUCAAUAGAGCCAUGUGAUUAAGGGUGGGUGAUUCCACCUAAUUGUAAAAUUUUCCUCGAUCGACAAUAAACCAAUUUUUUUGUCGUUUUGGUAUCUUGUGUUUGUAUUUGAAACCUUGAGAUUUUCACGACAACUGAGAGUCGCCAAUGUGUCGAAAAUAUACAAUGUGGCUCGAAAAUAAUCGAGUACGGGUCAAUUGCAUUAAAAAUUCCUAAAAAUUACCCGGUAUGUUAGGUCACGCUAAAAUCGCGUCUAGUUGAAAUUAACUGCGAAUUAAAUCCGAUUUUAGAAAUUGAAAGUUCUGUCAUGUCAUGAUUCAUUUUAGAAACGUCAACUCAUCAUUCAAAGAUUUUUCUGCAAACUGUGAUUUUUGGCGAAAAUUCAAAAUAAGGUUAUUUUGGACCGGGAAAAUUAGAUGAUUGUUUUUUGUCGCAUUUUUUAAAUUCAAGUUGGUUCAAUUGAUGAGGAAAAAUGUUGAAUUUGACGGGGACACUUUGGUUGGAUUUAUGGACAUCAAAUUGGGUUCAAUUUGAGGGGAAUUGAAGUGGAUUUCGUCUAAAAUUUGUAGGCCAAGGGGGAGACAAUAUUUUGGACCACUUGGGGAAGCUUCUAGGGGAAUUUUGGUGUAGCAAAAUUGGCUGAGGAUAGGGCUGAAGUGGUGGGGGCAUGUGUGAUGAGUAGAAGAGGAUAUGCAAGGACUUGGGGUCAAAGGGGACCCUCCAAGCUACAACUGGCUUCAUCUUCUUCAACAGGCCCACUUUAUCUAUUGUUGAUCAAUCUUUAAGCUCCAAAAAUCAGAGAGAAACCGGAGAGAGCCCCCCUGGCCCGUCGACCACCGUUGGAGCCCCCUGCCACCGUCGCAUACCCGUCACUUGCCGUCGCACCGUGCGCUAGCCUGCGCGAUUGUCCCGCUUGCCUCGCGCCUCCUCACUAUCUCUCGAGCUGCCCAAGCCAUCAUCGAAGUCCCCUAGCUGCUGUCCAAGCCGCCGAAACCGCCACUAUUGUCCUCCUGACCCCACAACAGUCUCACCAUCUCGCCAUGCCCCUUUCCUGAGUCGAGCAGCCCUCUCAGCCCGUUUCAAGGCCCAUCCAGACCUUCGUUGGUGUCGCCGCAGGCUUGGUUGUCGCCCGCCUUCACGUCGCCGUCGCUGUGAACUCAUCGGAACACUAAACCUGUGAGUUUACUUGCUAAACUUUGCUUAGGGAGUUCAUGAUGCUUAAGGGGUGAUUAGUUUAUGCUAAUUAGGGAUUAUGUGGUUAGUCAGUAUGGAUUAGUGAUUUAAUCGCUUAAUUAUACAUGUUAGGUGGUUAGAAUAAAUUAAUUAAGGGUUAAAUAGAUUGUACUAUUUAUCUAGAUAGAUUUAGAAAUUUUCUAGGCCCAUUUAGGUGGUUAGAUUAGCAUUUCCGGCCUAAGUUUGCAUUUAUUGGAUUUGUUGGUAUUUAUUUAAUUAUUGGUAUUUAUUUAAUUAUUUAAUUUUUUCAAAAAUUAUACCGGGAUAACCUGAGAUAAGAAUUUUGUGCUGAUUGCAAUGGUGUAUUUAGUUUAUUCAAAUGAAUGCUAAAUUGUGCAAAUUGAGUAGUAAUUGUAAUUUUGGAUAUUUAUUCCAAAAUUGUGAAAUUUGGAUAUUUAAUUAGAAAAAUCCUGAAUGUCAGGUUUUGACACCGAAAAUGGUUUUAAAGAUUGUAUCAGCUUGUGUGAGUAAUAAUCUAUGUCAGCUUGUGUAAAUAAUAAUAUAUAUUAGCUUGUGUGAGCAAUAUUAUAUAUCAGCUUGUGUGAGUAAUAUUAUAUAUCAGCUUGUGAGAACAAUAAUUUAUAUCAGCUUGUGUGAGCAAUAAUCUAUAUUAGCUUGCGCGAGCAAUAAUUCGUGGCUACGCCAGAAGACCAAUGUGUGUCGAUAGAUUAGCUUGUGUGACCAAUAAUCAAAUUGGGAAUUGUGAUUGAUUGAAAUUGAAGCGUUACAUUAUGGGGCAAAAUUGUAUGGCACGGUAUGGGACUUGUCAUAACGAUUUGGUCUUAUAAUCGGGAUCCCUGAAUUGAUUGUAUUGAUUGUACCAAUCGUAUAGAUUGAUUGAUUGAUUGAUGAUAUUGAUUGUAUCGAGGGCAUUGAAUUGAUUGAUCAAUUGAUUGUAUGAGAUGAUUGGAUUGAUUGAUUGAGUAUAUGGAUUGUACUGACAUGCAAGAGCAAAUUGAGGUGAGCAUAGAUUGCCUCUAAGUGUAUUUUCUUCCUAAUUGGAGUUUACGGGGUGAACUUGCUGAGACAUUAUUUCACCUCAUCGUGGGCUCAUUCUUUAUAGGGCAGCCCCACCAGUUUGUUAUGGUCAGCCUCGAAGGGUUACUGAGUAGGUGAUUGAUUUCCCUGCUCCCGUAGGCCAUGGGGUUUGGGUCUACGAGCUUGUAAUGACUAUUGUUUGGGUCAAUGAGGGCUUGCUUGAGAGGGUAUCUCAUUGAUUUAGGGUGUGAUUUCGCUGCAGGCUCAAUAAAUACAGAGUUGGUCCCCUCCAGGGUUUUGAGGUCCCAAUUGUGGUAGUAGACACCGCUUUUGGAAAGGUUACAGCUAACCAUCCCGAUGGUGCAGUUGUGGACCCAUCGCCCUAAGAGCCUGCGGAGUCUGAAGGAUAUGUGAACGUGUCCUUAGUGGACCAUUAGACAGUUUCCUUUUUUUGAGGGCAUAGGGUGCGUUUGGAUGGGCAUUUAGAAAGCUCAUUCAGUCCCCAAAGCCCAUUCAGCCCAAAUAUGGGUGUUUGGCAACCAAUCUCAAUGAGCUUUCAAAUGAAAGCCAGUCCUUGGGAACGUUGAAAACAUUUUUUCUCUUCCUAAACUACCCUCAUUAAUUUUUCAUAUUUUCGUUAUUGCUCCUGUAUUUAUUUAUUUUUUAAUUGAAAAAGGAGCAUCCCUUCGCCAGACCGGUGAAGGGCGACGGCCGCCGGUGGCCACAGCCCUUUGCUGGUCCGGAGAAGGGUUUAGCUGAAUUUAAAAAAAAAAAGAAUAUAUAUAUAUAUAUAUAUAUAUAUAUAUAUAUAUAUAUUAUACCCACCAAAGCCCUUGCGAAAGUUUUCUUUACCAAACGCACAUUCAACUCAAAGUUCAUUUGCAAUUUUUUUUUACCAAACACAAUUGCAUUUUUGCAAAUUUUUUUACCAAAUACAAUUGCAUUUUCCCCAAGUAGCUUUCGGUUUUCAGCAUUUGCAUUGGACUCAAAGCCCAUUGCAAAUACUGAACCAAACGCAGCCAUAGAUUUUUGGUUAUGGAUCUCUGUAUAUAAACCGAUGUGUAUAUAAAAGUGUUUUGGUUGUGAAAUUGUUCUUGCCUUUCUAUCCCGUGUUGGUUGUUGUCAGGAGUAUUGUUUCGCUUUCGCUAUGCAUUAAAAUGAAUGGGUUGGUGACGUGUCCUAGAAUGUCGCAAUUUUAUUAACCACCGAGAGAUGUGCGUGCGCUCGAUGAUUUGGGGUGUGACAAUAGUCGUUGCUCGCCAUCAUCCGCCACCACCAUUGGCGACUAUGUGAGAGAGAUAAAUUUUGUAUCACUGUCAAACGAAUUUCUAUAAACGAAUUUCUAUUCUCGAAAUAAAAAUUUUGUAUUCUCAUUAAACGUGUAUUUUUGCUUAAAAACUCAUCCACUAAUAGAAUUAGAAAAAUCUAUUUCUUUUAUAGAAAUCAAUUUUCUAGUCAGAAUGUUAUUAUUCGCAUCCUUAGCUUUCAAUUUUGGGGUCCGACUCUUAUGCUUUUACAGAGAGGUAGGUAAAAAUUUAAAAGUGAAUUGACCAUUAGAAUUGGACAGAUAAAAAAAAAAAAAUACUUUGGGUCAAAGUUAACUACCGGAUGACCGUUGAUAUUUUGUUAUGCGACACUUGAAAAUUGGGGCCAAUGUUCUUCCGGACAACAAUUUCGGAUCUGCAAAUUUCUCGUUUUCUCCUUUUUUAUCUGAUAAAAAAAAAAAAAAAACCCGUCAAAUAGCACAUGGCAAAUUUCGGACCUGCAAGUUGACCCGAACACAAGAGGCGAGAGAGACAGAGGAUGGCCGAGGAGCCUCCGCCGGCAGGUUCCUCCUCCUCUGCCGCCGCCGCCGCCGCCGCCGACGGCGGCCGAGCUGUGAAGGAGUGCGAGAAGAUGAUCCAGAGGAGCCUUCGAAGUAACGAUCCAUCCCCAUGCAAAUUUGCCAUUUCCCACGCCUCGUUUGCAUCUCUUCAUUUUCGCGCGUCGGGAUAAAAAUCCCACCUUUAUGCGCCGAGUAGGGUUUAGGGUUUUAGGGAUUUCGCCUGUCUCGUUCCUUCGCCUUGAUUGCUCGAGAUUUGACGCAUUGUGAAAUGGGGAAGACAGCGUCCUAUUGCCAUGUUUUGUGUGUUCCAUUUCCCUUUUAUCGAUCCUUGUCCGUUUCGAAGUUGGGAGCUUGAGGUCUAUGGAAUUGCCUUGUCGUCUUUGGAUCUACCGUUUGAAUUUCUCUCCUUGUCGUUGAGCAGCUCCAAUGGUGAGAUUCCUGAAGGAGCAGCUGGAGAAGGCGGGGUGUGCGUUGGGGGACAACUUCAUCAAGGCCGUUAACUGCGACGGGCAAGUCAGCGGUGGCUACAUGCCGGGCCUAGGGGUAUGAAUUUGAAUUACCCGCAUACAUCAUUUGGAAAUGAACUCGAUCCGUGUGUGUACGCCUGUGCUGUUUUCUUGCUACUUUCAUUUGAUGGGUCUAAUGCUAAACUCUCAAAGUUCUGUUCGCAUAUGAUUCGGUGGAUCUGUUAGAUAAUCACCUUGGUGGUAAGAGCAGAGGAGUAAAGAGGCUGUUGUUGUUUGAGUUGGUCAAGCUUAUAGCUUGUAUCAUAUUUCAAGCUUUUGAAGUCUGAUGAGCUUGUCGGGUGAAAUUUGGUUUUCAGUUUUCAUCCUCGCGUGUUUCUUUGACCCUGUUCAUCGGAAUCUCUUUUUUCUUUUUCAAUUUUUUGUAUUCCUUUGUUUGAUGUAAAGAGCUGUCAUUCAUGAGUGCCACACUGCUUUCUAGAUAGUCGUGUGUAGUAACCACAUGGAACUCCAAGAUGAUGUAAAUCAAGUAGUCAUACACGAACUCAUUCAUGCAUAUGAUGAGUGCCGAGCUGCAAAUUUGGACUGGAGUAAUUGUGCCCAUCAUGCCUGUAGCGAGGUACGAUAAUCAAUUCUUGUAACUGCCAUUUGAUUUUUGGGAGAUGGAGUCUUUAAACAGGACUGUUUAUAUCUUUGGCGAAUAUGUCCGAUGAUUAGAUACGUGCCGGCCAUUUAAGUGGUGAUUGUCACUAUAAACGGGAACUAUUGCGGGGUUACAUGAAGAUACGUGGUCAUGAGCAGGUAAAUUGAAAUUUACUUGUCUUUCCCCAAAAAUCCAUUUCCUGAUAUAAAAAAGCCUGAAAUAGGGAGUACAAUGUGCUCUUUGUCAGUUUUUAAGCAUUUGGAAUGUGUAUGUGUACCUGGAUGCAAAUUGCUGUAUAGGGCCUAAUUGCCUUUCAUUCUAGUGAAGUGAAGGCCCUUGGAUUCUCUACUAGUUGCAGUGAAUCUCAGGCAUCUGAGCAACUUACCUAGGCCUAUACGUCUCCACACUCUAUCAUUGAAGGACUGCUGUCUGUCAAGUCUUACAAUAUCUAAGUGUGCCAUAUGCGUUUACAGUAUACUUGUGUGGUUUUAUUUGACGGUUUGUAACAAAACAUUCUUUCUUGUUUGUUUCUCUGAUUGGAGAACUUCUUAUGGAGCUUUACUUCAGAAUUUUUUGCAAUUAGGAAACAUUAUGGUCCAGGCCAUGACAACGGUGAUGCUAUCAAAUAUUUAAGCAGAGGCAGCAUAAAAGGAAUUUAGAUGAUCAAGGAGGCUUGCAUUUUCUUAGUUCAAUUUGGGACUAGCAGUCAGGAAAGUCUGUAGAGAAUCAGAUCACAUGAAAAAUAUAAGCAGUGGGGAUCUUUCAAUUAGUUGCCUAUGGACCAACAAAAAUGCUGUUCAUAAUCUGAGUCCAGCUCUCAUGUUCAAACCCAAAAGGAAAAAGCAAAGCAAAUCCUCAUACUGAAACUUGUGCAGUAAAUUUUCCUAGCCUAUUUACUUCAUUGAAAUCUAGAAAUCCAUUUGACUCGGGUCAGGUCGUGACCAUUAUUUUCUCGUUAGUUACUGUCUUCUUAGACAGCUACUGAAUGGUUAGCAAACUAUUCUUUGCAGUUUAGUUUUUCAGCACUUUGCACAGUGCUCUUUCAGAUAUGAUCUUCCCUUUCCAUAUUGACUACAUGAGCAAUGCUUUGUACUUUUUGAGCGUUUGAUUGAUUAUGUUUGGUCAUGCUCAUCUUGUCUUGAUAUUUCAAGGAAUGUGUGAGGAGAAGAGUAAUGAAGUCGGUUACUGCAAACCCUCACUGCUCAGAAGCCGCUGCAAAGGAUGCGAUGGAAGCUGUGUGGGAUGUCUGUUACAAUGAUACAAAGCCAUUUGACAGAGCUCCGUGAUUUUGUGGUUUCUGGCGCUUGUUGAUGCCCAUCAAGUGGAAUUACCAUUCUUAGAAUCUUUCAAUGGACACUGGUGCAUAUCGGAAGGUGGAUCGAAUCUUUAGUCAUAGAAGGGUAGAACAACCAAAAUAAAGUCUCCAUGGUUUCCAUUGUCUUUACUCUUUUUUCUUUUCCCAAUCAAAUUGUUGCAAGAUGAGCAUCCCACAAUUGUCUAUUGUUUACUGCUUUCACCCAGCAGCAUUGGUGCCAAUGUUUUAGGUCAAAGGAUGACACAGUCUUUUGUCCAUGAGUGUGCUGGAGUAGAACAUAUCGAUUUUUGUUUAUUGUACUGAGAAAAGUUUUUACUGUUUGAAGAAGUUGAUGCUCUUGCUCAUUCUGAGCUUAUAUUAUCUUUAUGGCGUUAAUUAUAUUCUGAAAACUGGAUCUGUGCUGGUUGAGGGGUUCAUAGAAGCAAACUAACUUCACAAAUUCUGCGUUUGCUUGCCUCAGUUUUGUUGCAUUAUCACAGAUUAUGAAGUUCAAAUCAUGUUUUGGUUUGAGAACACAGACAUCACUCAAAAAGACUUUUGCCGGGGUCUAUAUCAUUUACCAAACUCAAUGGUAAAAUUAGAAUUCAUGCUAAGGAAUAUACUUGAGCUUGACGCAAUUCAGAUAGGGAAGACUUUGUGGAGUCCAUGGCGACUUGGGAAAUGAACAAGGAAAACCAGCAUUGGGGUCACUGGGUGUUCAAUUAACGACAAAAACCUCUUUUCUUUUUGCCAUAGUGAUAUAGAGAUUCCAACAGCCAGAGCCAACUACACAACCAGAGAAAAACAUAAUCCAAGAGAUAAAUCAAUAAUCCCCACACAACCAAGGUCAUGCAUAAAAUUAUACAAUGGUAUUAUAUGGCAAGAUGGGAUGAUCGUGUCAUCGUGUUUCGCUUCUGACAUCUCGCUUUUAAAAUCUUUAUCCAUUCCGUAUCCGAUCCAGCCGGUCGACGCUCUUCCGUGCCUUUUCCAACUGAUGAUCAAUGCUCUUUCUGGAUUUCUCGUGGCAAUCCACACUUCUCCGGGACCUUUGCAUGUGGUCAAAAGAGAUGCGUAAUUUCUCUAGCUUAUCAGCGCUGAGACCCUGAUUUUUCAGCUUCUCGGGCCUGUCUGUGCUCUUCCUCGGCUUCUCUCUCCUGUCGGUGCUCUUUCUAGACACUUCGUACACAUCAGUGCUCUUGCGGGGCUGCUCGAACUGAUCUGUGCUUUGCCUGGAGCUGUACCUCUGGGAAGGAGACUUCUCGACAGUAGUUAUGAACUUUUUAAGAUGCCUUAUAAAUUCAGGAUAGAGCUCUAGAUCACAGUGAUUUCCACCUUUAAUCCAUAAGGGUUCAUACUUCUCCUUACACAGUUCCCACAGUUGCUUCCCGUGGGAGCAAUCAACAACUUCAUCAGCAGUUCCCUGUAAAUGGUAUAAAUUACUUUAAGCAUUCUUCUGUACAAACAUGAGAGUAAACUAGGUCUUCAACUGCAAAAGAACAGAAAAAAGGAAGCACGCAAGUCGAGCAGGAUAAGCAUAUUAAUGGUAUCUCCAAUUUCAUAUAGAGGUCCCAUCACUUUCUUCACUAUGAUAUGCCUACUCCUAUAAGUAUUGCUUUAACUUAACAUUCUCUCGCUGCAAUGUUUUUAUCCUCCUAUUACUGAAACGAUGACUUUCUGGGAAUUUCUUCAUAAAAAUAGAAGGUUCUGGAGUAUGCUUUCUGUUUCAAGCAAAUGAUAUAAGAGGAAACAACCAACCGAAUGCAACUUUCAGCUGGUGUUGUAUAAUUUUCCACUGCCACAAGACCAGACUAGACCUGCUAAUUUGCAUGGGUACUUGCUUCCAGAGUACUGUUUACAGAAGGUACAGCCACUUCUCUUAAAUAAAUGAAAACUGCACAGAAGUCAUGUCUAGAUCAUCUGCAGGAAUUAGAUGGACCACAAUGCGUGUUCUGACAGUGCAUCUACUCUUCAAUUCUCUGGUUUGUUUUCACCGCAUUAUUAGCUAAAUUUUCAACUGUGUCAGAUCAGAGAUGACACGAAAAAUGUCCCCUCAUCCCCUCCACUCUAAUGGACCGUAGGUUCUACAUAACGUAUGUAGAAUAUUUUAUCCUCGAGAAGGAAAUUUCAUUGACAUUACGGUACCAAUGAAACUUCUCCAAACAAAGCAUUCACAUUUUUGUGAACCUCCAAAAGAUAAUGGAGGGGGGCGUUCUCCAUGCAGCAGUUUUUCGUUACAGGCCAUAAUAUUAUCAUCCGACUGUCAACACCAAAGCAAUAACAGCCAAUACGAGAGCCAUUCUUCCACUCGAAUAUGGCUCCCCUGCACAUGAUGACAUGGAGAAAGCAUUGGGUCAGCAUGUUAUGGGUAAUACAUCUAUACCAUGGGAUCCAGUGGAAUCCACCAUACUCAAUGGUCCAUAUGCACAUUAGCGCCUCUACCAAACUCCCUUAACAAUUUCUGAACGACAUGUCAUGUAGAAAAGUAUUGCUAUUACUUGCUUAUGAUGUCAGCACUGAAGGUCAGCUGACAGGACAGUAUCCAAACAUGAUGUCUCCAGAGGCAUGCUGUGGAUCUUACAUUCCUGGAAUACUAAAGAAAGGGUAGCAAAUUCCCGAUGAAGAAGAAACAUGAUUACAUGUUUGAGAACUCAAGCUUCAAAGAACAAAGAGAAGCAGCGAAAGGGUGGUAUUAGAAUGUGAUAAAAGAUUAAAGAAAUUAUGGCACUUGGUUAGUUGUCUUCACACAAAGAAUUUUUGCAUAAUUUAUAAAAACCAAAUCGUUGUCAUCCUGAUUCCAUGGAACAUAAAGAGAAGAAUUUGCAUUAAAUUAAUUCACGCAUAUGGUGGUUUGCCAGUCAAGCACAAUAUAGCCAUAUGAAGAAAUAUAUACUCACAUGAAUGAUGAGGACUGGACAAUUAACCAGUGGAAUUUUGUCAACAUUCUGCCAAGCAACAAAAUUGUCACUUCAAGUGAGCAAAAGAAUUAAUCCUUGAGCAGGAGAAGAAACAGAAAUAUUAAACCAAGAGUAUCACUACCUUGUAUAUAUCAAACCAGUAUGUACGCUUUACAGGAUACAUGACUCUCACGCCAGAAAGUAUAGGGCUAUGCAAAACGACAGCUCUUAGCUGAGGCAGUCUUGCAGCAAGUUCCACAGUGGGGCCACUACCAACAGAUUGUCCAUAAAGGAUAAUAUCUUCCUGCUUAACACCAUAACUCUCUUCAAGACACUUGUAAGCAGCUUCUAUAUCUGCAUAAGUAUUCUGCUCACUUGGCUGUGACAAUGAAAGGGAUUGGCUUCAGAAAAGCUUCUCUCUUCAAAAUAAAGCUUUUAGCUUCCACAGAAAGCAUAUUAAAUGUACAUCAUACUUAUUUACUUGAUAAAAUUUUCUUCAGAUUCUAACACACCUUUCCAGAUGAUUGUCCAUACCCUGAAUAAUCAUACCUGCGGAAGUAAUGUUUUUCAUUAGAACUAGCAUCAUUCAUUGGAAAUUAAAUUAUGUAUUCUGCGAUACAUGCUUUUGAACAUGGACAUGGAGAUCAAUAUUUUCAUAUCCUAGAGAGGUUCAUGAACAAAUUUGAAACCUCUGAAGGACUCGAGUUUAGAUGUUCAGUGCAAAGAGUAAGACUUCAAGUUGAAAUAGAAAAGAAUACUUCAAAGCUACAACGGUGCGAGCUGGCAAAUUCACAUGACUUUUGCUGUUCAUAUGCAUUCUUCAUACAGAGUUUACAUAAAAAAUCAGUUGAAUAGAACUUAUCAAAGUCAGAUUCCAAGAGGCAGGUGUAUUCUAAAUUUACUGAAAUUAGUUUAGCUACUUCUAACUUUAAAUUAUUUCCAAAAUAUAAAUUUUCGCAAUUAUGAAUGCCGUUAAAGUUCAAAAAAGUAUGUCAGACCUUUAUAUUACUUCGACUGCACAAUUGAUGACUUUAACUAAAUCGUCUGGCUAUAUACAUAUCUCAUAAAUUAAACAAACGACUGACUUGAAUGACACUUCUAUGGACUGCUUGCACAUGUAGACAUUGCAGGCUGCAGAGAAAAGACAUUGACUGACUUUCUGUGAUUUAAAAACUAAACUAACCUCUAGAAUAUUUUCACAAUUUUUGUUUUUUACCUAACCUCUAAGAGAGUCAAUUGUUAAUGUAAGGCACGGGAAAGAGGUGUUUCCAACUGGACAGAAGAAAAACUGAGCUUUGAGUGAGCCACUCCUGAUUACAGUGAAGACUAGUCCAUUGCCGAAACACUAAAAUGGUCUCACCAUUCACUGUAAGCUGAUGAUAAAGUAAAAGAUCAAACGUAGCUAUACUUCUAAAUCAGGUAAGCAGAACAAGAAAACAAUGGAUAGGAACCCAAUUAUCCAAGCAACAUCAUCUUCGAAAUUUGAAUCCACCAGUGGACAACGAGUCUAGCUUAUCGUUUCUCCAAAUACUUCAAUCAGCUCAACUCCUCAACCAUCGAGGCCACAAAAGGGCUCUAACAAGAGCUAGAUACCAGAUCAACUGAAUCUCCCAUAAUUACCAGCUCACAGCUCAACAUAAUCCCCCGCAAAUUCUCCCUGCUUACAAAGAAAACCACCAGCUACGCAAUUCCACACAACAGCAAGAACCAGAAAAAGGGGAGCCGCCCAAAAAUGGAAAGAAAUGAAAAAGAAGAAGCGAAACCCAGAUUCAGGAAUAGCCCAAGAAGUCCAAAAGCAGCAACCACCCAGCUCAAAAGAUCACACACCAAGAACGAGAACCGUCAAAAAAGAGGCCAGCGAGCUACGAAUAUUAUACCCCAUGAGAUUGACGCGCAGGUGGAUGCUCAAUUCGAUGAAGAGCUCGUACAUCUGGCCCAGAUCGGCGGCGUUGCCGUGGGAGUAGAGGAGGGUGGAGGUGG
rnacentral:lncRNA from 1 species